rnacentral:lncRNA from 1 species
CCUGUGACAUCCGCCGCAGAUGAGGUAUGCGGAAGAUGUUUUAUUCAGGAACGGCAUCACUCUCUUCAUUCGAGACAGCUUGAUCUGAAGACACAGGUGCGUGAACCGCGUCCCUCCCUUCAUUAGAGCCAGCUUGAUCUGAAGAUGCAGGUGCGUGAACCGCGUCACUCCCUUCAUUAGAGACAGCUUGAUCUGAAGAUGCAGGUGCGUGAACCGCGUCACUCCCUUCAUUAGAGACAGCUUGAUCCCAAGAUACAGGUGUGUUCCCUACAUCUACACUUGUAGCAGCAGCCUUAGGAACAUUUCCCCCCUCUUCUUGGCUACCAGCAUCAACAUCCAUGCUACAAUUGGUAUUGUCCUGGUCAUCUAAUUUGGAUGAAUCAACCUUGUCAAUGGCGCCCUCGUUCAUGGUAACGCUGUCCCCACUAUGAGCAUUAGAAGUAGUCUGUCCAACUGAAGCCCCAUCGUUAUCCACUUGAGUGUCAGGCAAUGGAGGAAUAGGACCUACAAGGUCUCCAUCUACAUCUGCAUUGUCCAUGUCCAUCUGAUCCCCCUUGAUUUCUUUGCUUCCUGCAGCUUCUUCAUCAGUAACCAUAUUCGUCUGUCCUGAUUCCUCUUCAAUGUCAUGAUUCUUCCUCUCAUUUUCUUCCUCAGCAGCACGAUUUUGAGCUGCAGCUUCCUCCUCCUUAGCACGGGUUUCUGCCUCUAUUGCCGCUUCCUUAGCACGGUUUUCUGCCUCUAUUGCCUCCUCCUUAGCACGGUUUUCUGCCUCUAUUGCCUCUUCCUUAGCACGGUUUUCUGCCUCUAUUGUCUCUGCCUGUAGCCUAAGUAGCCUCUUGUGCUCCUCAAGUUGUUCAUGGAUGCUCUGGUAUCCAGACAGCAGAUCACCAUAGCGGCUCUGGAGAGUCCGUUCUAAUGCUUUCUGUUUAUUCACUUCAUCAGACAAAUUUUUCACACGAUAGGCAGCAGCCAUCUGUUCUUGUUUCUGCAACUCUUGGAAGCAUUCAAGUUCUGUGGCUGCAGUGUUCAUCUGCUUGAAGGUGUCCUGGAUCUGUGACCCCAAUUUUGCAGCCCGAGCCUAACAAAUCAAAUAACAAGUGGAACAAACCAUCAGCACUGCAAAUCGACAUGGAAAACCUAGAAACAAAAUGAAAACAAUAUCAUACAAUAUUGUUUCAGUAGAACUAAUCCAGUAUGUAUCAAAUGAAAAGCAAUAGAACUAAUCCAGUAUGUAUCAAAUGAAAAGCAAAAUAAGAAGUGAUCACUAAACUGUUGCAUUUCUUUGCAAAUUAUGCAAGUUUGGUUUGGGGCAACUGGAUAAUCUUUCAAAUUAUGGGUUAGCUUACACAUGGUGCAUUUUUAAAUGACACCAAACAUCAAUGGGGCAGAGAUGUUAGAGAGGUGCCCUUGGUGCCCUUACACAGACUAGAGAGAAACAUUUAGCAUAGCUAGACUGUAUAAAAUGCUGUCUGGAAAAAAGUUAAAACUAAUAUAGGCAUACCACAAAGAUGAUGCAUCAUCCUCAACUAACCUGGUAUCCUUGUGUCAGCAGUUUGAUCUUCUGCUCAAGCCGAGAAGCUUUCUUUGCCUCAUCAUCCAUUCUCUUCUUUACCAUUUCAAACUCAUGUUGCAAAGCAGAAAUUUUAUCAGCAUUUCCAGCAACACUAGCAAGACCAUAGCUGUUGUUAGUAGGGAAAAACAUAAGGUCCUCCUGGCAUGCAUCAUGUGACUUUACAAAAUCCUCAAAAGAUUCAUUUUCAUGGCCCAUGGCCACACGAAGAUACUGAAUCUCCUCCUCAACCAUAGAACUUGCCUGUCAACAAAUAAAUAUGUGAUUUUAAAAACUUCUUCAUCAUUACGAUUAGACUAAAGCGGGCAAACAGGACUGGCACAAAGAACUAUAAAAAACCGUAAAUAAGAUUUAGCAAGAAAUCAAAUCCAUAUACGGUUAAAGAAAACCACCCACUCACAAGUCAUAACACACAGCCUUCUAUUGAAAGGCAAAAAUCUCCAUUCACAGAUGGUAUGCUAGACAACAACCCACUUAGUCAGGCUAAACAAAAAGGACAGAUGGCUAUAAGUGAUUACUAAAUUGAAGAAGUGUUUCAGUAAUUCAAUAUAUGUGUAUCUGAGUUCUUAUGCAGAAAGAAUACACAUCUCAAACUUUGUCAAUACUAUUGUGAAGAAAUACUGCACAGUUCUCUACAUGGUGUGUGCCCAUGUGCAUAACAUAACAAUUCUAACUAACACAUUACUUGUAGAUGGUAACAUCCUUUACACUCCGGAGGGACAUAUUUUCAAACUGGAGAAUCCAUAUAUUUUUAUCUUGAUUGAAUUCUUGAUAUUUCAGACUUCCAACCACGGUUUUCAAAUUCUUUUCAACUUUCAAUCCCCGAGAGAGGUUGUUUUUCAAGCAAUCUUGUGCACUCAUUGUCUAUCCAUGACAAUGUCACAUCUAAGUGAUGCAUGCUUAACCUGAUUAGUGGCCUCUUGGAUUUUUGAGCAUUCAUUCAUUUUCCAGAAACACGAGUAUCCUAAAAAAUGGGGUAAGCACUGCAUAAAACCUAGCACAAUUCUUCAAUGAAUCCUACAGCAAAACAGUUAUCUUGUGAGUGAUGUGCUGUAUACAGCUCCCACUAUACAAAAUAAACAUGCUUUCCUUCCCUUGCCAUCUCCAGGAUAGCACUCAAUGCCAAUGGAUUAGCUAUAAAAGUAAUUGGCUAUCAGAAGUAAGAUCAUAAAGGUUGGUACAGGAAUAGUUUAGACCUGCUGCUCACAUACAGGCGCUAUAUUCCAUAUUACUGUGUUACUCACUUGUGUAUAUACAAUUAUGAAACCACAGCAAGUAAUUAUUGAUGUGCCUAAUACUACAUGAAAUCGGAAUAUAUGUUAUCAUGUAAAUUGAAUAUACAGUUCAACAUCAAAUACCAAUAAUAAAAAAGGAACAGAAAAGAAGUAUACCUCUUUUAGUUCAUGCUCAUCAAAACCUUCGAUUUCAGGGACGAAAGCUGCCCCAUUUGCCUGACGCUUGCUGCCUUUCUUUUUCUCUCUUUGAGUUUGUUCAUCAAGAGGAUAUUUAGCAUUAUCAUGCUCAAGGAGCCUAAGGAGUUCCUCAUUUAUUAGCUCGUCAGCUUGUUCAAGUGAUGUAGGAGGCACAAAGGUACUUCUGGUUUCACCACCUUUAAUCAGAGAUUGCCGGAGAAUCUCCACUGAAGCAGCAGGUGGCCUAGGCAAACUCCUCUGCAACACUUUGGACCUCUUUCUGAGCAAUGCCUCCUGCCUUGCUUGUUCCUCAGCCCUUUCUCGUGCUAACCUGUCUGACAUAUCCUCUUCAAUUCUCUCUUCUGCUUCUUCCUUCUCCUCUGUGAUAGGUGGCAUAACUAUCUGGUACUCAUUCUUAGGCUGUGGAAUAGAAGCAAAACCAGACCGCAAACCUCUUCUCAGCUCGGCUUGCCUACGAAGCUCAAGCUGAGCGCUGUCUUGCAUUUCCACCUCUUCAUUUAUGUGAAGCUCAUCCCUGAAAGGGGUUCCUUUUGGAGUUAACCCAAAGGCAUUUCCAUCUCUGGAUGGUGUCAAACCAAUCCUUGGGGUAACACCAGGGCCAGGGCUAGCCAGAGGCGUCGCCAUGGGAUUUGGAGUCUGUAUCUCUUUCUUACGUGGUGUAACGCCUGAGAAAUCUGAUGGGUGAAGCUCUGGGUUAUCGCCUCCUAAAAGAGGUGUUUGUGAUUCCCUUAAACGUGCAAGAUUCUCUGCCUCCAUCAUAAUAGCGUCACCUUUCCCACCUGGCGUUCGUUGCGGCGUUCGCAAUGGUGUCAUACCAAGCCUUGGAGUCUGGGAAUAAUUUGCAAGCAGUGUCCUAGUGGCAGUACUUCCUUCACCAAGCUCCUCGGCUAGAGCAGGAUCACCGGCAUUGCCCAUCUUUGCAAUCUCCUCCAAUUCAUGGUCGGAAAUUUGGGGUGGUGGAAGCAUUAGUUUGGACCUUCUUGUGACAGCUUCUGGGUCAUUGAGUUUAUUUGCUUGCAUUAUUGCGGCAGGGGCAUCCUGCCUCUGCAGAAUCUUGUUCUUGGCAAUGUCUUGCUUUCUUAAUUGAGCCUCUACAUCCACUCUUCUCCUCCCUUCAAGCUCCUCAAUGGUAGUUGGAAACUGCACAUGCUCAAGUGGCCUGUCCUCGCCCACUGUAUCAUAAAAACCUGGAGGGGGUCUCUUUUCAAAAGGGAUCUCGGCAUUAUAGUCAAUUCCCUUUCUCUUUCUUUUUUUGUGCCGGUUGUCAAUACCAGCUGCCUUCAGUUCUCUCCUUUUUUGCAGUGAUGCAAGCCGCCUCGCCUCUUCAAGCUGUUUCUCUCUUGCCUUCCGUUUUGCCUUUUUACCCCUGGUGUUAGCUAAGCGAGCCCUUGCCUCAGAAAGCAUUUCCUUUUCAUCUUCGUCCAUGUCAACAGGAUCUGGACGUGCAGGUUUUGACUCAGGGUUUGGAUCUAUCUCCCCAGGUCGCAACUUUCUUGGGUCAUCGUUAGGCUCAUAAUUCUCAUCCUUUGCACAGGCAGCAUCAAGCAAUUUUUCAUAACGCUCGAGGCACUGGGAUGGUGUUCGACCCACAAUAGGUGCAAUAGUCCUCCAUUGAGUAGGCAUGAGCUUAGCAAGAUGAAGCAGCUUCUCAUCCUCUUCCCUUGUCCACUCAGUCUGGGGUUAAUGGGCACUGGUUAGUUAAGUAACGUAAAUGACAGAACCUCUAUAUUAUUCGACAGACAACUGAAAACUGAAAAUGGGGCAGACCUAUGUCAUAAUAGAGCAGAUAUAACCAAUUAAAAGAAACAUUAAGCAUCAUAUGACAGGUAAAGAUUGACGGUUAUUUUGAACAAGUUAAUUUGAUUAGAAUGUGAAUCACACAGACUGAAAAUAUAGUUUAGUCAAGUUAGCUUGGUUUUUAUUAGACACUUAAGUUUUAGAGUUAGAUGACAACGCUAAUGAAGCAUUAAGAAUCAAAUUUAGAGUUCUCAACAAAGAUUUAUUAACAUCUUUCCUAUAACUUUAACAAGCUAGGUCCAUAUUUCAACGAUAUCACAGAGAAUGUGUUAAGAGCAUAACAUCAUGCAAGCCAUAAUAGUCAUGACCAAAAAAUAAGUAUACGAUGGCAACACAGAUAUGACAUAUUGUGUUCAUUAUAUUACCCUCGCUAACAAGAAUAUUACAAUGCACAAAGACAAUUAGUCAGUUCCAUUGGUAGAAGUUGACCAUCCAAUAACGUAUGUACAAUCAGUGCAUAGGAUUCUAGCAUGGUAUAGUAUGAAGAGAGAAUAACAUAACCUCAAAACCAAUAUGUGUGUUGAAAUAUGAGCACUUCAAAAACAUGUGGAGCAAUUUACAACAAAAAAUGUAAACUAGAUAAUGUAAACCAAAUGGCAAUUCGUCAAAACUGUACACAGUGUAGCAUUUUCAAAACACCACAUGAUAACCACGGAUCCUCUAGUUUGUACUCACUCCGCGUCACAAUUACAGAUCCUCUAUAUAAUCCUUUCAUAGCAGCAUCUAGUUGCAGUUCACUCGCUAACAAAGUACUAGCCAUCUAAAAAAAUCUNNNNNNNNNNNNNNNNNNNNNNNNNNNNNNNNNNNNNNNNNNNNNNNNNNNNNNNNNNNNNNNNNNNNNNNNNNNNNNNNNNNNNNNNNNNNNNNNNNNNNNNNNNNNNNNNNNNNNNNNNNNNNNNNNNNNNNNNNNNNNNNNNNNNNNNNNNNNNNNNNNNNNNNNNNNNNNNNNNNNNNNNNNNNNNNNNNNNNNNNNNNNNNNNNNNNNNNNNNNNNNNNNNNNNNNNNNNNNNNNNNNNNNNNNNNNNNNNNNNNNNNNNNNNNNNNNNNNNNNNNNNNNNNNNNNNNNNNNNNNNNNNNNNNNNNNNNNNNNNNNNNNNNNNNNNNNNNNNNNNNNNNNNNNNNNNNNNNNNNNNNNNNNNNNNNNNNNNNNNNNNNNNNNNNNNNNNNNNNNNNNNNNNNNNNNNNNNNNNNNNNNNNNNNNNNNNNNNNNNNNNNNNNNNNNNNNNNNNNNNNNNNNNNNNNNNNNNNNNNNNNNNNNNNNNNNNNNNGAGACCGGGGCGACGGGGUGGUGCGGCGAGGAGGGGAUUGGAGGAGCGGGGCCGCGGGGGAGGGCGGGAAAGUGGGCGACGGGGAGGGCCAAGCCGGCGGCGGAGGGCAGUGGCGGCGCUCCUCUCACGGGACGGAUUGGUUCGGGCUCGGGAGGCGGGACUUGUCCUGGUGAGGUAAACCCGAUGACGUGGCAUGUAACGCUCAGUCAAAACCAGUCAACCGCUGGAAAGAGUUUCUCUAGAGCAACCCUACCACACCCCGCAUCCCGUCGACCCGAAAAACACGUUUGCAGGUCGUGCUAAACUGCUUAUGCGGGCUGGCCUGGGCUGUCACAUAUGCAGAUCCCACAAACGGAUCCGUAAAAAAUAUAUUUGUGGAAUAUUCUUUUUUACGGGUCGACUUUGAAGGGUCCGUUCUUUGCACCGCUGCUUCCCGUAUCAUUAGACCGUAAAUAUCAAAUACAACAUAAUUCAACGGCCGAAAACAAACUGAAUUAUUCCAAUCAAACACAAUACAAUAAUCAUCCGCAUUACAAAUAAUUAUUCAAAACUUGUCAUGAAUACAAAUACAAAUGAAUACAAAAAUAAGUCGUUGUCUAGCCCUUUGCCAAUAGUGUUCAAUGAGAUACUUCUGAAGUUGAAAGUGGGUGUCUGGGUUUUCAAUCUCCUUGUAUGUCUGAAGAAAAGCUCUAAUGCGGUUUGGGUCUCUAGCUGGUUUGACACGGCUACCCACAUUGUCGUAAAAGAAUUCUAAGUUCAAUCCUCUCUCAUCUUCAAGAAUCAUAUUGUGCGGGAUAACACAGCGUGUCAUGAUGUUCUUCAAGGUUCUCUUAUCCCAAAAACGAGCAGGACCAUGCACAAUGGCAAACCUAGAUUGCAAAACACCGAAUGCUCUUUCAAUGUCUUUGCGGGCUGCCUCUUGCACCUUUGCAAAUUCAUAUUUUUUUUGUUUUGGGUUCUUUGAUGCUCUUGACAAAUGUGCACCAAGGAGGGUAUAUACCAUCUGCAAGAUAGUACCCCUUUGUGUAUUCAUGUCCAUUAAUAGCGUAGUUGCAAGCAGGAGCAUCAUCACUAGCAAGCCUAGCAAACAAAUGCGACCGUUACAACACAUUGAUAUCAUUGAGAGUGCCCGGCAUACCAAAAAAGCAAUGUCAAAUCCAUAAAUCCUCGGAUGCUACGGCCUCUAGCACAAUUAUUGCAUCACGAGACUUGUCACAAUAUAUUCCUUGCCAAGCCUUGGGGCAAUUUUUCAAAUUCCAAUGCAUACAAUCAAUGCUAUCUAGCAUUCCAGGCCAACCUCUCCUCUCAUUAGAUGCCAUCAAUUUCUUUGUGUCAUCUUCAUUGGAUGCCCGAAGAUACUCAGGACCGAAGAGACGGAUGAUCACUUUUGCAAAUCUACGCACAUACUCAAUUGUGGUAUCUUCACCAAUGCGAAUGUACACAUCGGCAUAGUUAACCGGAACGCCAUAUGCAAUCACCCGCAUAGCUGCGGAGAUUUUUUGAUAUGCACUAAAUCCCUUUAAGCCUGCGACAUUCCUUCUUUGAGUAAAAUACCGGCAAUUUUCCUCGCAAGCUUGAACAAUUUUCACAAAGAGGGAUCAGCGCAUUCGGUACCUUCUCCGGAAGAGGUGUGGAGGAUAUGUAGGAUUCUCCGCGAAAUAGUCUUGCAUCAACAUCUCGUUCCCAAGAUGGCGAUUCCGAGGAAUGCACAAACGCUCGACAGUCGAUCCUCGCCUCUUCUUAUGGUUCUCGUCUUCAUUCUCCUUCACGGCAAGCGUCAUGACUAAUGUUUGCUGACGAAAGGUCGCAAGCAUGGUCUCAACAUCCGAGCCGUCCGAAUCGGACGAAUCGGAUAGCAGGAACUUCUCACAUGGGGUCAACUCCAUCUUCUCGGGUAGUUGGCGGGAGGAUAGUAGGAACCACAAAAAAGGUACUAACCGGCGGCGGCGAUGAGGCGGUGGUCGAUCCCGGGCGGCGACGGCUAGAGGGGGCUCUUCUCGCCGGAUCCGGAGGGGCGGUGCAGCGGCUCGCCUGCAGAUAUGGCCGGAAUCGCCACCAGCAGGCGGGAGGAAGCAAGGGCGGGGCGGCGGCGGCGGAAGGGAGGGGAAAAUAGCGCGGGCUGAAAUGUCCCUCCCGCCAACUGCCUCUCUGUUAUGCAGGGCACCGCAGCCGUGAGGGGGAAACCCGCGUUUUCCCAGGUUGGGGUCGGGAAUUUGCCGCGCCCCCUGAAAAUUUUUGCGAGCCGGGGCGGGAUGCGGGGUCUGAUCGGGCAGGCUUUUCCACCCCGACCCGCAUUUUGGCGGUUAUUUUGCGGGUCGAGGGCGGAUGCGGGGUCUGCUAGAGUUGCUCUUAGAACCGAAAUCUCAUCGAGUGAAUGUUUUACGGAAAUACUAACUGACGAACGUUUCCUCUGUGGAAGGUAGAUGGCAAGCGAAUGCAUUUUCAUGACCGUUUUGGUUACGGCGCGAGAUUAAACGAUGACAGUUUUAGAAAAAAUGCCUUCUUUGAAAGAAAAAAGAAAACAAUUAAAAACAACCAACUGAUUCUCUCUCCCUUAAACCGUCGCCUCCGUACGCCAUGUGCCCUCAUGGAUUCAUCCACCGCUCACUCUCGUCCCACCUUAUCUCUUCCCCUCCACUCGUUUCUCCCUUUCCCUUUUCAUUGUUCUCUUAUUCGUCAGCUGUUAGAUGAGACACUGGAGGGAAAUCAGGAGGACUGUCGACGGAGUUGAGGAAUCGAGUGCAGGAUCGUCGUGCAGUCGCAGUCCCGAUAUCCCACACGUGUUGCUGCCCUAACAAUUGAAAAUCGGGGAUCAUCUGCCAUUGUUGUAGGAGAGGAGAGCCGCACAACGCUGACCACCCUGUUGUCGUGAGUUGCAGGGCAGCCAUCGCUGCUGAUAAGGGCUCGUCGUAUCGCCGCUCGAGGGUGUGGCGCUGCCGCAAAAGGAGAUGUCGCAGCACCCGUGAAGUUGCAAAGUGGCAACGGUCCGCUUGAGGAUGAGGCGUUGCAGCUCUCGUCGUGCUACAAUGGAGUACUCACCGGCGGCAUGCAAUGCUGGUCGGUGUUGCCGAAGCUGCAGUGCAACGGUCACAAUGCUGCAAUGGAGCGCUCGCGUGAGUAGUCGGUGCUGCGGCGAGGCUGUUGCGUUGCAACAGUUGCGACUCUACAGGGAGAAACGGGUGCUUCGAUGCAGCUUUGUCGGUGGUUGUUUGUGCUGCGGCGCAACGUUGUCGGAGCUCCGAUGGGCGCUCAUGAUGAUGCAUGGACGAUGUUGGUGCUUCGAUGCAGCGCUCAUCGACGACUAUCGUGCUGCAAUGCAAUGCUCAUCGGUGGCUGUUGGAAGGUAAGACAGGGGUGUGGCAGGUGAACCUACUGAUGAGCAUUAGUGAUGGAUAUGACCCCUACCACGAAGCAGAGGCUGGGAGGCAGGCGACGACCAGAGGAGAAAUAAGCAGGACAUGUUGACACGGUUUUGCAUUGACCGAUCCAGCUGCUACGCGGGACGGCUCCAACGGCUUUCGACCCGACUGAUUUUCUCUAGAAAUGAGCCGGAUGAUCCCUAGCAGUGGCCAUGUAUUCCUAUAAAGAUAUUGUCAUGACAUUCUUUUUUUCGGAAUGAAAAGGAGUUUAUUCUAAUAUUAUAGGGUUACAAUCACGAGUCAAAUGCUCCUCACAAAACAGAGGACUCAUGUUCAACCAUACCGCAGGGCAACACUCGAUACGGCUAUAAUGUGUGAGAAGAUGUGCUACCCUAUUUUGCUCUCUACCAAUUUUACAAGGAACAAACUCACUAACAACUAUGUGAUUUUUAAUGUUAGCAUCCAACUGACUAAAGAUUGAUCUCGAAAGACUGACGCCUGAGAGUACUGUCAAGGCAUUCGUAGAGUCGUGUUGGACGAUUACCGGCUUGUUUGAAUGCUCAAUGGUCAAUGCCAUACCUUGCAUGAUUGCGUGAAUUUCUGCAUCAAGUGCGUCAUUGCAAUGAAAGAUAUACUUGUAUGCAUCAAAGUUCGCGGAAUCAUCCUCAUUUCACAGAACCAUUCCAGCACAUGCACGCCCAUCAUGACUCGAAAAUGAGCCUCAAACAGAAAAGGCACACCAUCCAGCUGUUGGAAAUAUGCCCUAGAGGCAAUGAUAAAAUAGUUAUUAUUAUAUUUCCUGUUUCAAGAUAAUCGUUUAUUAUCCAUGCUAUAAUUGUAUUGAAUGAAAGCAUAAAUGCAUGUGUGGAUAUAUAGACAAAACAAAGUCCCUAGUAAGCCUCCAGUUGACUAGCCAGUUGAUCAAGGAUGGUUAAGGUUUUCUGACCAUAUGCAAGUGUUGUCACUUGAUGACUGGAUCACAUCAUUAGGAGAAUGAUGUGAUGGACAAGACCCAAACUAUAAACGUAGCAUGUGAUCGUGUCAUUUUGUUUCUAUUUUUUCUGCGUGUCAAGUAUUCAUUCCUAUGACCAUGAGAUCAUGUAACUCACUGACACCGAAGGAAUACCUUGUGUGUAUCAAACGUCGCAAUGUUACUAGGUGACUAUAAAGAUGCUCUACACGUAUCUCCGAAGGUGUCCAUUGAGUUAGCGUGGAUCAAGACUGGGAUUUGUCACUCCGUGUGACGGAGAGGUAUCUCGGGGCCCACUCGGUAAUACAACAUCACAUAUAAGCCUUGCAAGCAAUGUGACUAAAGUGUUAGUCACGGGAUCUUGUAUUAUGGAACGAGUAAAGAGACUUGCCGAUAACGAGAUUGAAAUAGGUAUAGGGAUACCGAUGAUCAAAUCUCGGGCAAGUAACACACCGAAGGGCAAAGGGAAUGGUAUACGGGAUUAUAUGAAUCCUUGGCACAAAGGUUCAACCGAUAAGAUCUUCGUAGAAUAUGUAGGAUCAAAUAUGGACAUCCAGGUCCCGCUAUUGGAUAUUGACCGGGGAGUGUCUCAGGUCAUGUCUGCAUAGUUCUCGAACCCGCAGGGUCUGCACACUUAAGGUUCAGUGACGUUUCGGUAUAGUUGAGUUAUAGGUGUUGGUGACCGAAGGUUGUUCGGAGUCCCGGAUGAGAUCACGGACAUCACGAGGAUUUCUGGAAUGGUCCGGAAACGAAGAUUGAUAUAUAGGAUUGUUUCAUUUGGCCUCCGGAAAGAUUUCAGGCAUUACCGGCAGUGUACCGGGAGUGACGAAUGGGUUCCGGGUUUUUACCGGGAGGGAGCCACCCACCCGGGAGAGAACCCAACAUCACAUGGGUGGCGCACCAGCCUUUGGUGGGCUGGUGAGGCCAGCCCAAUGGGUCUAUGUCGGCUAGAAGAAAAAUCAAAGGAGAAAAAGAAAAAAAAUGAGGUGGGAAGGAAGGAGGGGACUCCUCCUUCCCCAAACUGAAUUGGAGUUGGAGUCCCCUCCUCCUCCACUCGACCGACGCCCUAGGGGCUCUCUUGAGCCCCAAGGCUAGUCCCCCCCUCCUGUAUAUAUUAGAGGUUUAGGAUUUUUGGUGACACAACUUUAGCCAUGUGCAACUGUAAACCUCUACUUCGUAGUUCUUCCUCUAGAUCGGUUUUCUAUGGAGCUCGGGCGGAGCCUUGCAGGAAUAGAUCAUCACCAUUACCGGGGCGCCAUCACACUGUCGUGGAACUCAUCUACUUCACCGUCUCUCUUGCUGGACCAAGAAGGCGGAGAUCGUCAUCGAGCUGUACGUGUGCUGAACGCGGAGGUGCCGUCCGUAAGGCGCUAGAUUAGAACGGAUCGUGGGACGACGGUGAUUUGAAUCACGAAGCUGUUCCACUACAUCAACCGCGUUUCUUAACGCUUCCCACUUAGCGAUCUACAAGGGUAUGUGGAUCCGAUCUCCCUCUCGUAGAUGAACAUCACCAUGAUCGGUCUUCGUGGGCGUAGGAAUUUUUUUGUUUCCCAUGCAACGUUCCCCAACAGUGGCAUCAUGAGCUAGGUUCAUGCGUAGAUGUAAUCUCGAGUAGAACACAAAAGUUUUUGUGGGCGUUGAUGUUCGAUUUGCUGCCCUCCUUAGUAUUUUCUCGAUUCGGUGGUAUUGUUGGAUUGAAGCGGCCCGGACCAACAUUACUCGUACGCUUACGAGAGACCGGUCCCAUCGACUAACAUGCAAAUUGUUGCAUAAAGAUGACUGGCGGGUGUCUGUUUCUUCAACUUUAGUUGAAUUGGAUUUGACCGAGGCGGUCCUUGGAGAAAGGUUAAAUAGCAAUUUGCUCAUCUCCGUUGUGGUUUUGCGUAAGUAAGAUGCGAUCAUACUAGAUACCCAUAUCAGCCACGUAAACACAUGCAACAACAAAUUAGAGGACGUCUAACUUGUUUUUGCAGGGUAUGCAUGUGAUGUGAUGUGGCCAAAGACAUGAUGUAAUAUAUUGGAUGUAUGAGAUGAUCAUGUUGUGAUAGUUAAAUAUCGACUUGCACGUCGAUGCUACGGCAACCGGCAAGAGCCAUAGGUUUGUCUCUAAACUAACGUUUGUGUUCGCAGAUGCGUUUACUAUAUUGCUAGGUUGUAGCUUUAGUAGUAAUAGCAUAGUUAGCACGACAACCUCGAUGGCGGCACAAUGAUGGAGAUCAUGGUGUGGCGCCCGUGACGAUGAAGAUCAUGCUGGUGUUUGGUGAUGGAGAUCAAGAAACACAAGAUCAUGGCCAUAUCAUGUCACUUAUGAAUUGCAUGUGAUGUUAAUCCUUUUAUGCACCUUAUCUUGCUUAGAACGACGAUAGAAUUAUAAGGUGAUCCCUCACUAAAUUUCAAGAUAAAAUUAUGUUAUACCCGACUGUGCACCGUUGCGGCAGUUCGUCGUUUCGAGACACCGCGUGAUGAUCAGGCGUGAUAGACUCAAUAUUCACAUACAACGGGUGCAAAACAGUUGCACACGCGGAACACUCGGGUUAAACUUGACGAGCCUAGCAUGUGCAGACAUGGUCUCGGAACACAUGCGACCGAAAGGUCGAGCAUGAAUCAUAUACUCCAUCCGUUCCUAAAUAUAAGUCUUUUAAGAUAUUUCACUAGUAGUUUACAUACGGAGCAAAAUGAGUGAAUCUACACUCUAAAUUAUGUCUAUAUACAUCUGUAUGUAGUCCACUAAUAAAACUUCUUUAAAGACUUAUAUUUAGGAACGAAGGGAGUAGUUAAUAUGAUUAAUAUAGAGAUGUUUACCACUGAAACUACACUCAACUCACGUGAUGAUCGGACUUGAGUUAGUGAAUUUGGAUCAUGCCACACUCAAGUAACUAGAGGGAUGUCUAUUUGAGUGGGAGUUUAUUAGUAAUUUGAUUAGCUAAACUCUAAUUGUCUUCAACAUAGUCAAGUCCAUUUUGAAAUAUUUUAUGUUGUAGAUCAAUGGCUCACGGAGUAGCAACCGUGAAUUUCAAUACGUUCCUAGAGAAAGCUAAGCUGAAAGAUGAUGGUAGCAACUUUGUAGACUGGGCUCGUAAUCUAAGGCUCAUCCUACAAGCUGGGAAAAAGAAUUAUAUCCUUGAUGCAGCGCUAGGAGAUGAACCACCCGCUACGUCUGAUCAAGAUGUUUUGAAUGCUUGGCAAGCACGUAAGGAGGACUACCCAGUAGUUCAAUGUGUAGUCUUGUAUGGCUUAGAACCGGGACUCCAACGAUGCUUUGAACGUCAUGGAGCAUAUGAGAUGUUCCAGGAGUUAACGUUUAUCUUUUAGAAGAAUGCCCGGAUCGAGAGGUAUGAGACCUCCGAUAAAUUCUGAUCUUGCAAAAUGGAGGAGAAUUUGUCUGUCAGUGAACAUGUGCUCAAAAUGUCUGGGUACUCAAAUCGUCUAGCUGAGCUGGGAGUUGAACUUCCGCAAGAGGCUAUCACUGACAGAAUUCUUCAAUCACUGCCACCUAGCUACAAGAGCUUUGUGUUGAACUAUAACAUGCAAGGGAUGAACAAGUCACCCGCGAGUUAUUCGCGAUGCUGAAAGUCGCAGAGUCAGAACUCCGGAAAGAACAUCAAGUGUUGAUGGUCAAUAAGACCACUGGUUUCAAGAGAAACAGCAAAGACAAGAAGGGUAACUCUAAGAAGAGCGGCAAAAUUGUUGCCACUCCGACGAAGAAACCUAAGGCUGGACCUAAGCCGGAAACUGAGUGUUAUUAUUGCAAGGGGAUGGGUCACUCGAAGCGCAACUGACCAAGUAUUUUUUUGAUAAGAAGGCGGCCAACGCCAAACCAGGUAUAUGUGAUAUACAUGUUAUUGAUGUGUAUCUAACCAACUCUCAUAGUAGUGCCUCGGUAUUUGAUACCGGUUAUGUUGCUCAUAUUUGCAACUCGCCCAUGGGUGGCGCACCAGCCCUUGGUGGGCUAGUGAGGCCAGCCCAAUGGGGCUAUGUCGGCUAGAAGAAAAAUCAAAGGAGAAAAAAAGGAAGGUGGGAAGGAAGGAGGGGACUCCUCCUUCCCUAAACCGAAUUGGAGUUGGAGUCCCCUCCUCCUCCACUCGCCCGACGCCCUAGAGGCUCUCUUGAGCCCCAAGGCUAGCCCCUCCCCUCCUCCUAUAUAUACUAGAGGUUUUAGGGUUUUUGUGACACAACUUUAGCCACGUGCAACCCUAAACCUAUACUUCGUAGUUCUUCCUCUAGAUCGGUUUUCUGUGGAGCUCGGGCGGAGCCCUGCAGGAAUAGAUCAUCACCAUCACCGGCGCGCCGUCACUCUGACGGAGAACUCAUCUACUUCCCCGUCUCUUUUGCUGGAUCAAGAAGGCGGAGAUCGUCAUCGAGUUAAACGCGGAGGUGCCUUCCGUUCGACGCUACAUCGGAACGGAUCGUGGGACGACAGUGAUUUGAAUCACGAAGUUGUGCACUACAUCAAUCGCGUUUCUUAACGCUUCACGCUUAGCGAUCUACAAGGGUAUGUGGACCGAUCUCCCUCUCAUAGAUGAACAUCAUCAUGAUAGGUCUUCGUGUGCGUAAUUUUUUUUGUUUCCCAUGCAACGUUCCCCAACACCAGCAGGUGGAUGAGGCCAUGGUACAAUAAGUAGCACACGUUUGUUGUGUACACAGCUUGGCCUUCCUCCAUCGUUGGCAUUUUUCCUUCUAUGAUUUCUUCCGUAUUGAACUUAGUUGCCAAGUUAAGCGACUUAUAAUAGAUGUUCAAAUAGUCAACUAUAACUUGAAUCGGGGUCUCACACUUCCCAUGUGUAAAAUCAUUCUGAAGUUGCCAAAUUCGUCAAAUGGUCAUGAUCACCAUGUCCUUGGUUUGUACCGAACAUUUAUACAAGAGUUGCAAGGGCCAAUCCUUCCCUCAUACUAUCCCUUACAACGAACAUUCACCAGCUAUCCAUUGUUGUGCAAGAAACUUAACUAAUACAUGGGGAGGUGUUCUUCGUCGAGGCAUUAUCGCUUCCCUACAACAUGCAAUUCAUGAAUAAGUCUCCACCAAAAACAAAGAGUUGAUGCUUUUUCCGCCCCAAUCACUUUGGCUCCUCAGUGUAAUGCUCGUCCUUUCAAAGUGUUGGAACACCGGGAAUGCAAAGGCAUUUCGUCAGCUUGAUAUCCAUUCAGACACAUUACUUCGACUUACGAUUUCAUAUUUGGACCUUUGGUCUCAUAGACUUUGUAAACAUGAGUUGAAAAUGCCUGAACUUCCAUGCCUCCGGUUCAUGUCGAAUAAGGAAAAAAAACAUUAUCCUACACGAAGGCAGCGAUUUUUCUUCACCCAUGAUUAAAAAGAAACAAUUCUCAUAUAUUUCUCCCGGAGCACUCUCCAACAUGAAAUUUCUCGCUUCGUCACCUUAAGUGUUUCUCUGGCCAGGAAUAAUUACACCUUUUAGGGCAUGAAUCCAACCACUAGUCCGGUUCGGUCCUAUUCCCUCAGUUCAUAAAUAUUUGUCUUUCUAGAGAUUCCACUACGGACUACAAAAGGAUGCAUAUAGACAUAAUUUAGAGUGUAAGUUCACUCAUUUUGCUCCGUAUGUAGUCCGUAGUUGAAUCUCUAAAAAGACAAAUAUUUAAGAACGGAGGGAGUACUUUCUAGGAAAAAAUCUGGUGCACCGACAAGCCAAAAAUCUACACCCUAUAUGAUGAUUUACACCAAUUCAUCUUUGACAUGGCUAGUAUAAAACCGCCCACAUAGCACUGCUGCUGAAACAAGAUCAAGCUCGCAUCAUAUACGUGUGUCGACCUAUAUCGUUCUGCCCUAUAAAAGCUUCAGCCAAACAGUGAUAAAUAGACUCAAACCUACAAUACCUUUCAUAUGUAUAGGGGCCGACAAAUGAGUAUCCUUUGAUGUUUGCAACUCCUGUGUCAGCGAUGAAGGAAACACCGAACGUUUAUUUUUUCCCAGCCCAGGAGAAUCGGUUUCCAGCAACAGCCCUGUCAAUUCUGUAUAGAUACCAAAGUUGGGUAGAGUUUUAUCAGAGACUUGCAAUGGAUAUCUUCUGAGCACCGAGAAGAUAUCUCCAUUUUGGCUGCUGACUAGCUCACAUUUUGACACUACGGUUAUCCUAUACUCAGUGUGUUCAUUGCAUCACUCGUAAGGACAGAAAACAUAUCCAUGGUGUUUUAAACUGGAAACCGCACGUUCUUCAAUCUUUUCAGUGUAGACAACGUGUGUUUCAGCCGCUCUGAACUGCAACCUGCGUUUCAGUGCGUUCUCGGCGUUUUUCUUGUUGUUGCUGUUCUAAUCACCUUCGAUUUCGUGCCGCCGAUCAUGGUAGUACCGGAAUUCAUACAUGUAGUAUUUGAGCAUGUCUAACAAUAUGUGAUUCUCUGAAGAACUCCACGCAUCAAAGGUACUGCGCUAAACUGAGUGACAAUAAUUAUGCACCACAGCACACAGUAUUUCUCAUUUCUUCAUCCAACAACUGAAUGAUAUCACAUAUUCUAUCUGACGGAUCAAGUUCCUGCCCGCCUGAUACAAACACCUUAGCAGCACCUUUCAGUUGGAUCCAGCUACAGCCAGGAGACUUCUUGACACCAUGCUCUGCCAUGGCUCUUCUCACCCCCUCCGCUUCCUUCCACUGCCCAGUGGCGCACAACAUGUUGGACAACAUCACAUACCCAGUGUCUCUCACAGGCUCCAUCGACACCAUGCCGCUCCCCACCUUCCUUCCGAUUCUUGUGUCCAGUUGCACCGAUGAGUAGGCACUAAGCAGAGACUCACGCAUAUCGCUGCUGUGCAUCUGAACCGUUUCAGAGUAUUGCUCCAGCACCUCAAUGGCUUUUGCGAUGUUCCCAGAUCUAGCAUACAUGUCGAGAACGCAAGCUAAAUGCUCCGGUGUUGGCUUCAGUCCAUGGACAGACACCAUCGACUCAAAGAAGGCUCUCCCUUGCUCCAGGAGGCCAGAAUGGCUGCAGGCUGUGAGCAAGCCUGUGAAUGUGACUUCGUCGGGGCAAACAUCCUGGGACAACAUCCUUUCAUACACUGCAAAUGCUUGCUUUGCCCAUCCAUUUAUUGCAAACCCGAACAACAUGGUGUUCCAUGACACUGUGUCCUUCUGAAGAACGGCAUGGAACACAUUGCUUGCCCCCUCGACGUCUCCGCACUUUGCAUACAUGUCCAUCAAACUGUUGGCCACGUACAAGUAGCAUGCAUAACCCGUUUGGAAUGCACAGCCAUGAAUCAUCCUUCCACUGGCCAUAGAUGCCGCAGCAGCGCAAGCAUGAAGCACAGCACCAAAGGUGAAGUCGUCAGGAUGGAUAUGCCCGUGUUCCAACAUCUUACUAAAUAGUGCAAGGGCCUCAUCCGCACAGCCAUUCCUCGCAAAACCUCCAAUCAUCGAAGUCCAGGAGAUGUCAUUGGUCUCAGGAGCACUUUGAAACAGAGCAGCAGCUUGUUCAAUGUGGCCAAGCCUUGUGUGUGCGUCGAUCAGUGAAUUCCAUGACACAACGGUUCUACUCUCCAUAGACUCGAAGAUCUUGACAGCACAAUCCAGCAAGCUGAACUUACUGUAGAAGGAAAUAAGCGAGUUAUUGACCUCAGGGAUGGCACUCCAGCCACUCUGAACCACAAUCUUGUGGACUGCAGCGCCGGUGGAUGGGCAGGGCAGCUCCGUGCAAGCAUCGAUCAGAAUGCAGAGCGUCGCAUCGUCGCAGGAAAGCCCCGACACCCGCAUCUCGUUGAACAGAAGCAGACACUGCUUGGCAUUGCCACAGCGGGAAUACCCCGUGAGCAGCGUGUUCCAGGCAACACUGCUAACGCUUCCAGCGGGCAUUUCGUCGAACAGCUCGCGCGCGAGCGCCAUGCGGCCCGAUGCGACGUAGCCGUGGAGGAGCGAGCACCAGGAGAGCGCGUUGCGGUCGCGCAUCUCCCGGAAGGCGCGCGCGGCGUCGUCGGCGCGGGCGCACCUGGCGUACAUGGCGACGAGCGCGUUGCCGACGGGGAGCGGCGCGCGCAGGCCGAGCCGGAGGAGGCGGGCGUGGAGCUGCGCGCCGGCGCCGGGCGAGCGGAGGGCGGCCGCCGCGGAGAGCGCGGCGGUGAGGGAGAAGGCGUCCGGACCGCGCAUGGCGGCGAAGAGGGCGAGNNNNNNNNNNNNNNNNNNNNNNNNNNNNNNNNNNNNNNNNNNNNNNNNNNNNNNNNNNNNNNNNNNNNNNNNNNNNNNNNNNNNNNNNNNNNNNNNNNNNACGCGGUUGAUGUAGUGGAACGUCCUCACGUCUCUCGAUCCGCCCCGCGAACAAUCCCGCGAUCAGUCCCACGAUCUAGUACCGAACGGACGGCCCCUCCGCGUUCAGCACACGUACAGCUCGACGAUGCUCUCGGCCUUCUUGAUCCAGCAAGAGAGACGGAGAGGUAGAAGAGUUCUCCGGCAGCGUGACGGCGCUCCGGAGGUUGGUGAUGACCUUGUCUCAGCAGGGCUCCGCCCGAGCUCCGCAGAAACACGAUCUAGAGGAAAAACUAUGGAGGUAUGUGGUCGGGCAGCCGUGAGAAAGUCGUCUCAAAUCUGCCCUAAAAGCCCCAUAUAUAUAGGAGGAGGGAGGGGGACCUUGCCUUGGGGUCCAAGGGAACCCCAAGGGGUCGGCCGAGCCAGGGGGGAGGACUCUCCCCCCCCCCCAAACCGAGUCCUACUUGGUUUGGUGGGAGGGAGUCCUUCCCCCUUCCCACUUCUUCCUCUUUUUUUUUCUUCCUUUGAUUUUUCUUCCUUGGCGCAUAGGAUUUGGUGGGCUGUCCCACCAGCCCACUAAGGGCUGGUGUGACCCCCACAAAUACCUAUGGGCUUCCCCGGAGUGGGUUGCCCCCCUCCGGUGAACUCCCGGAACCCAUUCGUCAUUCCCGGUACAUUCCCGGCAACUCCGAAAACCUUCCGGUAAUCAAAUGAGGUCAUCCUAUAUAUCAAUCUUCGUUUCCGGACCAUUCCGGAAACCCUCGUGACGUCCGUGAUCUCAUCCGGGUCUCCGAACAACAUUCCGUAACCAACCAUAUAACUCAAAUACGCAUAAAACAACGUCGAACCUUNNNNNNNNNNNNNNNNNNNNNNNNNNNNNNNNNNNNNNNNNNNNNNNNNNNNNNNNNNNNNNNNNNNNNNNNNNNNNNNNNNNNNNNNNNNNNNNNNNNNAAUAAUAACUAUACAUUUAUUAUUGCCUCUAGGGCAUAAUUCCAACAUAGAUGUCAUGCAAGUUUUUUUCCCUAAGCACGUAUGACUACAUACGGAAUACAUGCCUACAUUAGAUUGACGAAUGGGAGCUAGUUACUUCUCUCUCCGUGUUAUAACUGUUACAUGAUGAAUCACAUCUGACAUAAUCAUCCAUCACCGAUCCGAUGCCUACGAGUCUUUUACUACUGGUCCUUGCUACGUUACUCUGUUGCUACUGCUGUCACUGCUGCUACUGUUACUCCGUCACUACUGCUGUCACUGCUGCUACUGUUACUUUGUUGCUACUGAUUACAGUUGCUACUGCUGCUAUCAUACUACCUUGCUACUGAUACUUUGCUGCAGUUACUAAAUCUUUCAGGUGUGGUUGAAUUGACAACUCAACUGCUAAUACUUGAGAAUAUUCUUUCGCUUCCCCUUGAGCCGAAUCAAUAAAUUUGGGUUGAAUACUCUACCCUCGAAAACUGUUGCGAUCUCCUAUACUUGUGGGUUAUCAAGACCUUUUUCUGGCACUUUGCUGGGGAAGCACAUCUAUAUUCUCUGAGUCACUUGGGAUUUACGUCUGCUGGUCACUAUGAAGAAUCCGAUAGAUCCAAGAACUAAAGCCUUGCCCUCAACUACGAGGACAGGUAAAAAACUGCCAUCUAGCUCUGCACUUGAUUCACCUUCAGUUAUGAGUAAGUUUGCGACACCGCCCCCUGCUAGAAAUCUUGAUAUGUCGCAUGUGCUUGAUUUUGCUAGUUCUGCUGCCCAUGAUGCUUAUGAUGAUGCUAUGCUUGAUACUGCUUUGCCACUAGGUGCAUUCCUUGAUGUACAAAUUGCUAGAGUUGCUGCUAGAUGUGAUGAUACUUCUGAAACUGCUGAUACUAUUGAAGUAGAACCUGCUAUUUUGCCUGCUAGAACUAGCUCUUCUAGAAAUGAAUUGCCUGAUAUGUCUGAGCGUUAUGUUAUGGAGGGAGAGAUAGCUGAGGACUUUCUUGCGUGUAAGGAUAGCUAUGAUGUUGAUAAAUUACUGCUCAAGUGGAAAGAAAAAUGUAUGAACGCUAGGAUGAAAUAUGACCCGAAGUUUGCUACUUCGCCUAUCUUUGUUACCGAUAAGGAUUAUGAAUUCUCUGUCGACCCUGAGUUAAUCACUCUGGUCGAAUCUGAACCUUUUCACGGUUAUGAGUCUGAAACGGUUGUAGCCCAUCUUACCAAACUGCACAAUAUAGCCACCCUAUUCACGAGUGAGGAAAAGAUCCAUCACUACUAUAUCCUCAAGUUGUUUCCUUUCUCGCUAAAGGAUGAUGCUAAGACUUGGUUCACUUAUCUUUCUCCUGGUUGUGUGCGUAGCCCCCAGGAUAUGGUCUACUACUUCUUUGAAAAAUAUUUCCCUGCCCAUAAGAAGCAAGCUGCCUUGCAGGAAAUAUACAACUUUGCUCAAGCUGAAGAAGAGAGUCUCCCACAAGCUUGGGGGAGGCUCGUCCAACUACUGAAUGCUUUGCCUGAUCACCCUCUUGAUAAGAAUGAAAUAUUUGAUAUCUUCUAUAAUGGACUUACCGAUGCUUCCAGAGACCACCUAGAUACUUGUGUUGGUUGUGUUUUUAGGGAACGAACCGUAGAACAAGCUGAGAUCCUAUUGAAUAACAUCUUGUGCAAUGAGAAUGCUUGGACUAUUCCCGAACCACCUCCUAAGCCAACUCCGAAGAAAAGAGGUAUUCUAUUCCCCAGUCCUGAAGAUAUGCAAGAAGCUAAGAAAUCUAUGCGAGAGAAAGGCAUUAAAUCUGAAGAUGUCAAAAAUCUACCACCUAUCGAAGAGAUCCAUGGUCUUGAUAACCCGAUACAGGUAGUAGAAGUAAAUUCUCUGCGUAGGUUUGAUGAGAGUGAUAUUCCUUUUGAUAAACCUGCUAGCCUAUGCCUAGAUGAAUUUGAUAACUUUGUUGCCAAACAACAGAGUUUCAAUGAUUAUGUUAGCACACAAUUGGAACAAAAUGCUCGUAUGCUUAGUCAUUUAAGUGCUUGUGUGGACAAAAAUGUCAAUGAUCUUAAGCUCUUGAGUAAACAUGCCUCUAUGGUUACUACUCAGGUAGAACAAGUACUUAAGGCUCAUAAUGACUUGCUCAAUGAGUUGAAUGACAAUUAUGUUAGAGUCGUUACUAGAGGCGGUAGAAUGACUCAAGAACCUUUGUAUCCUGAGGGUCAUCCUAAGAGAACUGAAAAGAUUCUCAAGGAGUUAGCAUUGAUGCACCUAGUCAUCCUAGGAAGAAGAAGAAGGAUGAUAGGAACCUGCACGCUAGCAACCCUGUUGCUGCUACACCUGAGAGUCCAAACGAUGUCUCUGUCUCUGAUGCUGAAACAUAAUCUGGUGAUGAACAUGAGCCUAAUGAUAAUAUCGAUAGUGAUGUUCAUGAAGAUGCCCAACAUAGCAAUGAUAAGGAUGUGGAGAUUGAACCUGUUGAUCUUGAUAACCCAGAGCCUAAGAAUAGAAGAUACAAUAAGAAUGACUUUGCUGCUAGGAAGCAUGGUAAAGAAAGGGAACCAUGGGUUCAUAAACCUAUGCCCUUUCCUCCCAAACCAUCCAAGAAAAAGGAUGACGAGGAUUUUGAGCAAUUUUUUGAAAUGAUUAGACAUGUCUUUCUCCUAAUGCGUUUGACAGAUAUGCUCAAGAUGUCUCUGUAUGCUAAGUACAUGAAGGAUAUUGUGACUAAUAUGAGGAGGAUACCUGAGGUUGAGAUUUCCAUCAUGCUCGCUAAUUAUACCUUCAAGGGUGGAACUCCUAAGAAACUAGGUGAUCCCGGUGUGCCCACUAUACCUUGCUCCAUUAAAGGAAACUACGUUAGAACUGCUUUAUGCGACCUUGGGGCCAGUGUUAGUGUUAUGCCUCUCUCUCUUUAUCGUAGACUUGAACUAGAUAAGUUGACAGCCACUGAAAUCUCUCUGCAAAUGGCCGAUAAAUCAAAUGCUUUCCCUAUCGGCAUUUGCGAGGAUGUGCCUGUUGUGGUUGCCAACGUCACUAUCUUAACAGACUUUGUUAUCUUGGAUAUUCCCGCGGACAUGCCAUGGCGGUCAUCCUCGGAAGACCCUUUUUAAACACUGCAGGGGCUGUUAUAGAUUGCAACAAAGGCAAUGUCACUUUCCAUGUCAACGGUAAUGAGCAUACGGUGCACUUUUCGAAGAAACAAUAUCGAGUACAUUGCAUCAGUGCUAUCGAAAAAACUUCAUCGAUUCUUAUUGGGAGCUUUGAAUGCCCUAUUCCUCAUGUUAAGAUGAAGUAUGAUUUGCUUGUUGGGGAGAUACACAUCCCCAUUGAGGUGACCUAGUGACUAUUUGAAAAUUCUCCGGUCUCUUUUUCGAUUCGGAAAAGUUUAUCAAGGAGACUUGAUCAACCUCAUUGACAGAUUUCUUUCGAUGGACCAUGAGAUGGAUGAAUCGAGGAGUCACAAACCUCUAUUCCAAGCUUUCACCUUCGGUUGCUUAGAAUAAAAAUGACAGGUUUAGUUUAGUUUUCCCUGUUUUCUGUUUUAGCGUCCGGUAGAAAAGUACCCCGAAAAUAAAAGUUCUCCAAACGUCCUGAAAAUCAAGUAUGAUUUUUUCUGGAUUUUUUGAAAAAUACUGAGACGAAUAGCUAGUCUGGGGUUGCACCAGUGGGCCACAAGCCCUGGAGGCGCAGGAACCCCCUGGCCGCGCCUACCUGGCUUGUGGGUCCCACGUGCACCCCCUCCACUCAUUCUAGCUCCCAUCUGGUUCUCCUAACUCUAGAAAAAAAUCGUCUUGCAGCUCAAACCCGUGUUCUUGCUCCUCUUGCUGGGAUUUUCGAUCUCCUUGCUCAAAGCACCAUUCUCCGAACUAUUUUGGGAAAUUACUCCUUGGUAAGUGACUCCUCCAUUGUCCAAUUAGUUUUUGCUCUAGUGCCUUGCACUUCGCGUAUUUUUGCUGCCUUGGUGACCAUGUUAUUGAGCUUUGCAUGCUAAUUUUAGCUGGUCCCAAGUGGUUUUGAUGCGUAAUAUGGCCUCUAGGCACUUGUGGGAGUAGUUGCUACGAGUUUCGUUGAGCCUUGUUCACUUUUCCUUAGAAUCACUAAAAUUUCAGAAAUUUUCAGAGAUAGAAAAAGGAAAAGAUGAGGAGGUUCUUAAGAGGCUCUUCAAGCCGUGACCCCAAGGAUGAUGGAAGUGAGAAGAAGCCCAAGUAUCUGGUCCCUCGAGUCGCAGAAGUUCAAGCGUGCGAGUGGCCAAGCGGUGUGUUCUUACGCGCCGCCAGACUUUAUGAGGAAUUUUACUACUUGGUGGAGAACGCGGGCCUUACCGCCUUCGUUGAAGAUAAGUGUCCGCAAUACCUCCUCCUCACUAAUAUCUUCGUACAAAUCUUUAACUUCUAUCCGAGGAAGAAUCCUCCUAUGGUUGAGUUCAAACUUUAUGAUAUCCCCCAGCGCAUGUCACUCCAGGAUUUUUGCAAUGUCUGCAAAUUACCUUACAUUGGGGAUAUUCAUGAACCUCGUCCACGGGACUUGGAGGCUUUCAUCGGUACAAUUGUUGUAGGAGAGGAGAGAGGAGUGUCUUGCGCUAGAGCUAUUAGCAUUCAUUUUCCCGUGCUACGGUACUUCUCAUUAUUCGUGGGAAAAUGUUUGAUUGGUCGUGGGAAAGCUGGGUCACUUAGUUCCCCAGAUCUUGCGGUCUUGGGCGAAGCCCUUUAUAAUGAUAAAACUUAUAGCUUGGGCGCUAUAGUAGCUCAACGGUUGAACACGAACCAUUCUAAAGGCAUUGUCUAUGGAGGUAUCUAUGCUAGUCGUCUUGCUAGACACUUUAAGAUACCUAUUAGACUGGAGGAGGAAGAAGAGAUUCUUCUUCCCGAGAGAUAUCUAGAUUACGAUAGCAUGGUUCGCCAUGACUUUCUUGAUAGAGAUAUAAAUAGAAGGAUGAUCUAUAACCUGGUAUUUAGUCAGGGUACUCGUGAGACUAUUACUUUGCCUGCUCCUUAUUUGUUCAAUCUUCAUGCAUGUAGGUACAUUAUUAUGCCCUUGGACAUCUACGCAUAUUGGGGCUUGGCCCAACCACAGGUGCCCGUGCCCGAGCCACCAGUCGAGUACCAGACGCCGGUUUAUCAGUGGGAGCCAGAGGAGCUCACACAGCAUUGGCAUCCUCAGUCCACUCUGGAGUAUCCCGGAGCUAGUUAUUUCCCUCCUUGGGAGUAGCCCAACUUAGGCCAAAAGCCUAAGCUUGUGGGAGUACGUGUUUCUCACCGACUUUACAUUCUUGCUUAUGCUUUCACUUUGUUCGUCGGUGUUCACACUUUGCCAUUGUAUCAUCCAUGCUAGUUUAUUUCUUUUUCUCAUUUUCUUUUCGUGUGUCUGUCUAGUUUGAGAAAACCCAAAAAGAUUUUCUUUUUCUUCUCUUGCUUGUUGGGAGCUUUCCCGUGUAAAUAGUUUUCUUUUUCAUUGGGUCAAGGUAGAAGACCAUGGUUACAAUGUUUAAUGGCUCUCGCAUGCAUAUAUGUUUAUCUGUUAAAGAGCCAUAUUACUUUGUCUUCUCCUUUGUGUUUGCAUGCAGAUUCCAGCUUAGUCCAAUGCACAAGCACUCUUAUUAUUGUUCACAUCGUUCGGUCGUGAAAGUGAAAGGCAAUAAUGACGAUAUAUGAUGAAGUGACUGAGCCUGGAAAAGCUGGUAUGAACUCGAUCUAUUUUGUUUUUAUAAAUAUGACUAGCUCAUCGUGCCUGAUUCAGCUUUGUUGUGAGAGAAAGAUGUUUGCAACUUAGAGAUCAUAGUUGCUUAUGCCAUGCUUAUUUAGCUAGGAGCUUAUAAUGGUUUGUCUUGGAUGCCCACAUGAACUUUGAGAUGACUAUGAUGUAGUAUGAUAGGAUGGUAUCCUCCUUUGAAUGAUUCAAGUGGCUUGACUUGGCGCAUGUUCACGCAUGUAGUUGAAACAAAAUCACCAUAGCCUCUACGAUGUUCAUGUUCAUGGUGAUUUAUGUCCUACUCAUGCUUGCACUCAAUGUUAGUUAAUCUCGUUGCAUUUUGAUGACCGUUGUCGCUCUCUAGUUGGUCGCUUCCCAGUCUUUUGCUAGCCCUCACUUGUACUAAGCGGGAAUACUGCUUGUGCAUCCACUUCCAUAAACCCAAAGUUGUUCCAUAUGAGUCCACCAUACCUACCUAUAUGCGGUACCUACCUGCCGUUCCAAGUAAAUUUGCAUGUGCCAUUCUCUAAACCUUCAAGAAAUAAUAUGUUUUGCUUGCCCGAACCGCUCAUGUGGUGACAGGGGGCUAUCAAUAUCUUCCGUGCUAGGCGUGUUAUCCUCGAUAUGUGUUUAUUCACUAUCAUUCACGAGAAAGGGGCCGGUAAUUAGAAUGCCUAGUUCCAUGCUCAAAUCGAAAAGAUAAUUGCAAACAAAACUCUCCCUAGAUUGAUGUUGGUAUGGACGGCACCCAAGGAUUCGGCUAGUCGUGGAGUGUGAUUGAUCGGUGGUGGGGGAGUCAAAACUUUACUUUUCUGUUUGGGAACCGCCUAUAGCAUGUGUAGCGUGGAAGAUGAUGAGAACUCUUAGUCAUUGCGUUGACAAUGAAAGCAUGCCACCCAAAAUUAUUAUCUCUGUUUUCAAAGCUUGAGCUCUCGCACCUCUGCAAAUCAACGCUUCCCUCUGCGAAGGGCCUGUCUAUUUAUGUUCCUGUUGAGUCAUCCUCCUCUUAUAAAAGCACCAAUUAGAGAGCACCUCUCUCAUUUUUUAUGCUUUGCUUUUAACUGUGUUGAGUAUGACUCUGACUGGAUGUUCUUUGCCAUGAAUUACAAUGUUUAGUCAGCCCUUGGUCUUUGAAGGUGCUCUGCAUUUAUGUUUUGCGGUCUCAGAAAGAGCUAGCGAGAUACCAUCUGUUCGUACUGCUUCAUGAUUGUUUUGAUUGAAGUGUUGACGUUUGAGACUUAUUAUUAUUUGCUCGCUAGUUGAUUAUGUCGUUGAUAUGAGUUUAUCGUGAGACCUUGAUGUCAUUUGCUUAUGUGGUUUGUUUGUGAUCUUGCUGAAAUUCUGGUUAUGAGUUAGACAUAGUUGCAACCACAAGAUCAAACCGAGUUCGUCAAAUUUUUUCUUUUGUCCCUUUCAGUUUGUCAACUGAAUUGCUUGAGGACAAGUAAGGCUUUAAGCUUGGGGGAGUUGAUACGUCUCCGUUGUAUCUACUUUUCUGAACUCUUCUGCCCUUGUUUUGGACUCUAAUUUGCGUGAUUUGAAUGGAACUAACCCGGACUAACGUUGUUUUCAGCAGAAUUGCCAUGGUGUUGUUUUUGCGCAGAAAUAAAAGUUCUCGGAAUGACCUGAAAAUUUACGGAGAAUUUUUCUGGGAUUUAUGAAAAAUACUGGCGCAAGAAUUAGCGGAGGGAGUGGAGCCGUGAGCCCAUAAGCUCACCAGGCUCGGGCCCCCCUGGCCACGCAUGGCAGGCUUGUGGGGCCCACAAAGCUCCACCGCCUCUCAAUCCAGCUCUAUAUAGUCCGUUUCGUCCGGAAAAAAAUCAAGGAGAAGAGUUCAUCGCAUUUUACGAUACGGAGGCGCCGCCACCUCCUGUUCUUCAUCUGGAGGGCAGAUCUGGAGUCCGUUCUGGGCUCCGGAGAGGGGAGAUCGUCGCCAUCGUCAUCACCAACCUUCCUUCAUCGCCAAUUCCAUGAUGUUCUUCACCGUUCGUGAGUAAUCUUAUCGUAGGCUUGGUGUACGGUGAUGGGUUGGAUGAGAUCUAUCAUGUAAUCGAGUUAGUUUUGACGGGGAUCGAUCCUUAGUAUCCACUAUGUUCUGAGAUUGAUGUUGCUACUACUUUGCCAUGCUUAAUGCUUGUCACUAGGGCCCGGGUGCCAUGAUUUCAGAUCUGAACCUAUUAUGUUGUUGCCAAUAUAUAUGUGUUUUAGAUCCUAUCUUGCAAGUUGUAGUCACCUACUAUGUGUUAUGACCCGGCAACCCCGGAGUGACAAUAGCCGGAACCACUCCCGGAGAUGACCAUAGUAUGAGGAGUUCAUGUAUUCACAAAGUGUUAAUGCGUUGGUCCGGUUCUUUAUUAAAAGGAGAACCUUAAUAUCUCGUAGUUUCCAUUAGGACCCCGCUGCCACGGGAGGGAUGGACAAUAGAUGUCAUGCAAGUUUUUUCCCUAAGCAUGUAUGACUACAUACGGAAUACAUGCCUACAUUAGAUUGACGAACGGGAGCUAGUUACUUAUCUCUCCGUGUUAUAACUGUUACAUGAUGAAUCACAUCCGGCAUAAUCAUCCAUCACCGAUCCAAUGCCUACGAGUGUUUUACUACUGGUCCUUGCUACGUUACUCUGUUGCUACUGCUGUCACUACUGCUACUGUUACUCUGUCACCACUGAUGUCACUGCUGCUACUGUUACUUUGCUGCUACCGGUUACUGUUGGUACUGCUGCUAUCAUACUACCUUGCUACUGAUACUUUGUUGCAAAUACUAAAUCUUUUAGGUGUGGUUGAAUUGACAACUCAACUGCUAAUACUUGAGAAUAUUCUUUCGCUUCCCCUUGAGUCGAAUCAAUAAAUUUGGAUUGAAUACUCUACCCUCGAAAACUGUUGCGAUCCCCUAUACUUGUGGGUUAUCAAGCACCUCCGCCGGCUUGUUUUGCACGACCAUCGUUGACCUUGCAGGGAGGGGGAGUGGGUGGUGUGUAGCCGGUGUUGCAAAUCUCACCUAUGCAGCGGGAGGAACACCUGGUGCUGUAGACCUCGCCGCACCUGGCGACGAUGUCUGCUGCCACGCCGGCGAUGGAGUUCCGUUGCAGCAGGCGAGGCUAAGGGGAAGCUGCAUUGCAACAGGCCACAUCGAUGGCGAGCUGCAUGGCAGCACGAGAGGCUACGAGGACACUGUGAGGUCAUGCCAGUGGUAGAAGUUACGGGAAUGUUGCAUGCCAAAAAGCCACGCUGGCUGCGAAGCUAUGUUGCUAUGGACUAUGGGGACACUUCUGUCAUGCCCCCGGGGUGGAGCUGCGUUUUAGCAGACGGAUUAUGAUGUCGUUGCUGCCAUGCCCAAUGUGAGAGCUACGUUGCAAGAGUGGUCCAUUGCAACAGGGUGGCUGGAGACAACACUGCCAUGACCAACGACGAUGCAACUUCAAGCAGGGGCGGAGCCCAUGGGGGCGAGCAGGGGCCAGACCCCCCCCCNNNNNNNNNNNNNNNNNNNNNNNNNNNNNNNNNNNNNNNNNNNNNNNNNNNNNNNNNNCCCCCCCCCAUCGUUCGGCCACCCCCAUCGAUUUUCAGGGGGGCUGGAUGUAGAAGUUUUGUUAACUUGCGAUAAUUAGUACUAGAUCAUGGAAGUAAUUAUAUUGAUAUAAGUAGUCAAACACCAAGUUGGGAAAAGGCCCAAGCCUAGGAAGCAACUGACAUCGGCCCAUUAGAUGGAUGCGUAACUUUUGUAUUCUAGACCGAGUGCACCUGCACUACUCGAUGAUGUAUUAGUUGACUACCAGUAGUCGGCCCCGUGCGCUAGGGCAUCGUCAGCGUCUGGCGGCGACACAUGUGUUUGUUGAUUGUCCCCCCGUGCGCUAGGGCAUCGCCAGCAUCCGGCCACAAUGCGUGUAUUCGUCGUUUGUCACCCGUGUGUGCUAUGGGGAUCGCCUGCGGCGAGUCUAUGCGCCAAUUUCAUGAUAUCCAUGUGUUAGGCGCUUCAGCUUAUACCAUCAGAAUAACACUAUACCACUCGCGCCGGAUCUAAGGUAAUCAUAUUACGAUUUCAUGUCUUGGAUACCAUGUGUUAUUACUAUUGCUAAAUCUGUAUAUAAAACUGCUAGAUGCUAAAUACUGUUUGUUCAUCGGUUAUAAAUUAUACAUAUCGUCUAUACAUAACAGCCUCAAUAUCACAUAUUUUUAUAUAGAAACUGCCAAUCAAAUAUUUAGCGUAAAUAGAAAUUGCACAGCAAACUAGACAAUAUAAGAUUCUGAAUCUGUUACAUGCAUUUUUUUGUUGUGUUAGUGAUACAUCCAAACUAAUAAAAUUCUACAUGUUUUCUAAGUACAAAAUAUAUGUUAUCACGUGUUGGUCUUGUAUAGGCCCGGGCCCACAGUGGUGCAAACUGUGCGGCCCGUACAGGGCCCAAAAUUUUAGGGGGCCCAAAAAAUUUUAAGUAGGCCACGUACUAAAAAAAAACCUAUGGACUACUCACUACUCGACCAGUGGGCUGCUGGGAGCCAACGAGCCAGCGAGGCUCGAUGUCCCGCUGAGGCCAUCAAGGCAAGUAUCCAUCCAGCCAGAUUCUGCUUCCCCUAAUCACGCUGCUGCCGUUUUUUUGGAUCGUGGCAGCCUGCAGGUUGCCUCUUCGUCCGUUCGUCGCCUCGUCGUUCGUCUCCCCCUCGAGUCGCUCGUCCGCUCACAGGCUGGUCGUCGCCUCGUCGCUCGUCUCCUCCUCGAGUCCCUCGUCCAUUUGCAGGAUGCUCAUCGUGUCGUCGCUCGUCUCCUCGACGCCUCGUACUGUCAUACAAACUACAGACUACAGAGACUUUGCCUCCUCUCAAAAAUUUUAGAUUCGUGGACGUUUUCUUGUCCGAUUGAUCUUCAAGUUCUUUUUAUUCAUCGUCUAAUCGUCUUUAUAUUAUAUUUCAACAAUGCAGAUUUGAAUCAUCAUGGGAAAACAACAAUCUGAUGCCUAUAAACGCAAGAUAAAAACACAAGAACAAAAUUUAAUAAAUCUUAUAAAGAAGGUAUGGACAUAUUUGUUAAAAAAACACCAGAAGUAUCAUCUGGUAAUCGGUCUGUUGAUCCUUCUAGCCUUGCACUUGCAAUUUUUCCUUACAUUGAUUCAAGAUCUGCUCACACAGAGACAGAUAAUAUAGAGGUAGAGACAUAUAAUAUUGAGGCUGAUGAUUAUUUUCAAUAUGAUAUAUUUGACUCAAAAAACUGGAAUUCUCUUGAUUGUAAACAGAUUUAUAUCUUACCACAAAAUGAUCCAAAAAGAGACAAAUCAAUUAAGAAAGGUCCCAAAGAUAGACAUCGUAAAAGGUUUACUGCAGCCUUCUAUACUAGAUUCCUAUAUUUUCACACAGGGCCCCGGUUUUUGUCGGCCCGGCCCUGGUCUUGUAUGAUCAUUGUAUAAAAAAGUGUAUGAAAAUCUCUGGCAGGAGCUCGCCACCAUCAGGGUUAGUUUUCCUGCAUGUGUGUGGUGGGGUGGGCUGUAACUGGAUUUUCCUGCUCCUUUUUGUCGCAAGGCAAUGGGGGCGAAGCAGCCUCUCUAAUAUGUUGUGUAUCGAACGGUUAAGCCAACUUUAGAGUACGAUCCCAUUCGGUCCAGCUCUGUUUAUUUGGGUCAAAACAAACAAACCUCACUAUCCAGCGCGCAUCGUUCUGGACGCAUCUCGUCCGUUUUGUGUCCGGGACGACCCAUUUCCGACGCAAACAUGCGUCCAGUUUGGGUCCUGAUGGACAGCGAGCAGACGCGUUCGAGCCCACCUCUCGUCCGCGUCGGGGACGCAUGGCAGGCGGCCACCUACCUCCCACCCGCCCGUAUUUACUAUGCACGCCCGGUAGGCCCCACCUGUCAUCCACUCAGGCGGGCUAUCGUCGUCCUUCUUAAAUCGGGAAGCCGUGGACCGGCAUCGUACAACGCACGCGUCCACUCCACUGCCUCCUCGGGACCGACACCAAACCCGCGUGCCCGCUCCAAACCCUAGCUUCUCCCCCUCUCUCGAUCUCUCCGGCCGCCGACAGCAAUGGGAUGGUGGAGCACCGGCGGCAAGGGGAAGGGGGCGCACGACCACGAGGCUGGGUCCUCGUCUGGCCGCCGCAGCGCCGCAAGCGAGUCUUCUCCUCCGCGACGGCCUACUCAGGCACCCUUCUCCAUUGCCCCUCCGGACGCCCCGACGCGCUCCCGGCAGUACGUCCACGCGGAUGUGUGCCCUGACGACGAUGACGACAACGGCGGUCCCUGAAGACAUGACGGGCACAACAGCAGCGCGGGGCGGCCCCAUUUUUAUCUAUUUUUUUAAUUAUGUUAAUUAAGGAUUGUGGGUCGUGGGACCGUUAAAUUAUUGAUGUAUAAUUACUAAUGUUUGACUUUAUUUAUAUAUUUUUUUUGUUUUUUUUUGUUUUUCCAAUUUUUUAAUUCCGGAUAAUUUGAUGUGCGGCCACGCGUUGGACACAUCGACCCGGCCACGGACCGAUCCAGACAUGGGCAGGCCAAUUAUCGUCUCAAACGGAUAGAAUUGAGAUCAAACGGACAUUCGGAUGAGGUCACGCGCUGCAAUUGGCGUUAAGGAAGACGAAAUCGAGACAGAACAAGCGGCCAGCAAGCCGACUGAUUUUGGGACGCCUAGCAGCCGGCUACCAACAAAUACACAUGUGUGUCCUAUGAGCACAUCCGAAGGAAUGAACCAACGGAUCUUAAGAUUGAAAGUUCACCACAGACGCAAAUGUUGUAACAGUUCUCGUGCUCUAUUCCGUGAUGACCAUGGAACUAUGGAUGCAUUCGUCGUUUAAUUUAUUCCACUCCAUGGAGAAUAGCGGUUCANNNNNNUCCAUGGAGAAUAGCGGUUCAGCAGAUAACAUCGUUGUGGCACUCUCCAACGGCAGGUGCGUAGCUGCCAACAGGUAUGGAGCACACGUCUACCUCUAGGUAGCUAAGCUAGCUAGGCGAUGUACCCUAGCCUCUGGAGCAGCGCGGAGCGGAGGGCGCCGUCGCCGUCGUCGUCCUGUAGUCCAGCGGGCACGUCGAUGACGACGUCCUGCACCGUCACGCCCUCCAUGCGGUGCACGCACGCGUGCUGCACCUGCAGCUCUAGCGACCGGAGCGCACUCAUCAGCCGCGCCGGCGCGUGCCGGGCUCGUCCCGAGCUCAUCACGCGCACCGCCGCCGCGUCCUUCCCCACCAUCCGCACCUCCACCACAUCGUCGCCAGCCCCGGCGUGGCUGCCUCGGGACGAAGAAGCGGGCCCGUUCGACGCCUCCCACCUAGCGGCGGCCGCCUGCCGGCCCUCCUCCUCGAGCCGCGCGACGCGGGAGCGCAGCUCGGUGAUGUAGGCGACGGCGUCGGCGAGGAGUGAGGCCUUGUCCAUCCGGGACACGGUGGGCACGGCGGCGCGGAGGUCGCAGAAGCGUCGGUUCAGCUUGUCGCGGCGCUGGCGCUCGGCCUCCACGUGGCUGACGGUGAGACCAUCGGGCCGCGGCACGGGCUUCCGCCCACGCCGCUUUGUAGGCGUGGUCGUCGACGCCGGCGGUAGCUCGGAGUCCGGGGAGAGCGACGAGCUCCCGGCAGGCCACAAGAAAUCUACAUCCUCGCUCUUGGCCGGCACUGCGGUGUCGCCGAGCAGCCAUUGCUCGGGGACCUCGCAGGAGGCGAACUCGAGGAGCUGGUGGUGGGACCCUUCGGCGGUAGAGAACUGGGUAGGCGGCGAUGGCGGGAAGAACGGGGAGCACGGCGAUAGCAGCUCGUCCAUGGCCGGCACGCCGCUGUACCCUGUACGUCUCGCUAUGCUAACUGAAGAGCUCGAAGUGGCAAAUUAGCGGCCGGAGAUGUGUGGUGUGGUUUACUGUGGGCGAGUGUCUUAUACAGGUGGCAUAUUUGCAGUUGAGACCUUGCUUACAUGUAGGAGUAUGUGUCAUGUUAAAUGCAUGUAUCUGUCCUUCUCGAUUUUAAUUCCCUCUCGCGAAAAACAUGUCCCUUUGGGAUUAGAAGUACGAAAGAGAUUGGAAGUUUGGAACCAAUAGCUAAGGCUAUCUCCAAUGUAUCGAUGUGCUAAGCACAUUAAAAGACUUAGCAACUAAAACAUAUUGUUGCGAACGGACUAAAUCUGGGUCGUCAAUUAGCAAACCGUCGUUAGGACGUGAUUAGUCACUUAUUAGUCCAAAACGUCGUACGGACGCGUCCGUCCGUACAGGCGUCUUUUUGUACAGACACCUCUUCGCAUGCGUCCCAAACCUUGUAUAUAUAUUUCAGAUCAAUGAAAGAGAGACAGUGAUUCGCACAAUAUUUUGCUUUCGUUGUUUCACACGUUAUCAAGCACUGCUCUGCCAGAAAGAUAAAGAAGAAAUAGAUUUUACGGGAAAAUAAUCCAAUGAAAGAAGAAUUAUGUUUGGUGGACAGUUGUACCACUAACACAAUUUUAAGGGAAAUAAAAUAUUUCCAAACUCUAACUAAGAGAAAAGGGAAUAUUGUGACAAUCGCCGGUCGCGAUGCAUCAAUUAUUGGUUCAGGACGAGCCACACUUGUUCUACCUAUGGGUACUACGAUUGUAAUUGAGGAUGCACUCUUGUAUCCUGAAUCUACACGCACCCUUCUAAGUUUCAAAGACCUCAGAUCAAAUAAUUUUCAUGUGGAAACAAUUUCUGAAAAUAAUUCUGAAUAUUUGCUUUUAACAAAAAGCAAUGGGUUCUGAGAAACAAAUUCUUGAAAAAUUCCCCUCACUUUCAUCUGGAUUAUAUUACAGUUAUAUAAAACCCGUACCACAUGUUGCGUACAAAAUAAUUUUUCAAGACCUUGAUAAAUUCAAGACUUGGCAUGAUCGCCUAGGUCAUCCUGGCAUAGGGAUGAUGAGAAAAAUUAUUGACAAUUCUAUUGGUCACAGCCUUCCAACUAAAAAUUUUCCAAAAUCAUCAGAUUUUGUGUCCACCGCAUGUGCAACUCGAAAAUUAAUUAUAAGACCAUCUUAUCUUAAGGUAAAAAGUGAGUCACUUAACUUUCUUCAACGCAUUCAAGGAGAUAUAUGUGGUCCAAUUCAAUCACUAUCUGGACCUUUUAGAUAUUUCAUGAUGCUCAUAGAUGCAUCUACUAGAUGGUCAGAUGUAUGUCUAUUGUCCACACGAAAUCAUGCUUUUGCCAAGAUAAUUGCUCAAAUUAUCAAAUUAAGAGCAAAUCAUUCUGAAAAUAGGAUAAAAACAAUUCGAAUGGACAAUGCCGCUGAAUUCUCUUCACGAGCAUUCAAUGAAUACUGCAUGGCUAUGGGCAUUCAUUUAGAACAUUCUGUGCCUUAUGUCCAUACUCAAAAUGGUUUGGCUGAGUCUCUCAUCAAAAGAGUAAAAUUAGUUGCUCGACCACUAUUACAGAAUUGUAAUUUACCAGCAUCUUGUUGGGCACAUGCAGUAUUACACGCCGCAGAUCUGAUACAAAUCAGACCAACUGCAUAUCAUACAACCUCCCCACUGCAACAAGUACGUGGCACUCAGCCAAGUAUUUCCCAUCUGCGAAAAUUCGGUUGCGCAGUAUACGUACCGAUAUCACCACCGCAACGUACAUCCAUGGGCCCCCACAAAAAACUAGGGAUCUAUGUGGGUUAUAAUUCUCCGUCAAUUAUUAAAUAUCUUGAACCUCUUACAGGGGACCUGUUUACUGCCGGCUAAGCUGAUUCAAUUUUUGAUGAGGACCAUUUCCCGACAUUAGGGGGAGAAUCAAACCACAAAGAAUACCAGGAAAUAGAUUGGAAUGUAACAGGCAUUCAGUCCUUAGAUCCACGUACUAAAGAAUCUGAAACUGAAGUUCAGAGGAUCAUAGACUUGCAACACAUUGCAAAUAAUUUGCCAGAUGCAUUUACUGACCAUAAAGGUGUCACUAAAUCACAUAUUCCCGCUGUUAAUGCACCAGAACGAGUGGAGGUACCAACUAAAACCACUCAAACCCCAAAUGAGAGUAAGAGGGGGAUAAAUCUGGUUAGCCGGAAUAUAGCUUCUCAAAAGCCUCUGCGGAAACAGAAGAAACCAAAUCCUGUACCAGUAAAUGCAAUUCAACCUCAAGUUGAAGGACACCAACCAGAUGCUCAACAUCUUGAACCUAGCAUAAAUGCGCAUAAAAACAUAAUAGCUGGGACAUCGGAACACCAUGACUCUAUUGUUGUGGGAAAUCACAUAGAGUCUGAAGGUAUAAAAGAAAUUUCCAUAAACUAUAUAGAAUCAGGAGAAUCAUAUAAUCGAGAGACUACAAUUGUCGACAUAUAUUUUGCCUCUGAAAUUGCUGAAACCCUUCAACUGGAUCCAGAACCAAAGACCGUCAGGGAGUGCCUCAAGCGUCCUGAUUGGCCUAAAUGGAAGGAAGCAAUUGAGGCAGAACUGCACUCGCUCAACCAAAGAGAGGUGUUUUCCUCAGUAAUACCUACUCCUCAGAAUGUCUUCCCUGUGGGAGCAAAAUGGGUUUUGUCCGAAAAAGGAACGAAAACAAUGAGGUGGUGAGAUACAAAGCGAGGCUUGUAGCACAAGGGUUCACGCAGAGACCCGGCAUCGAUUAUGAUGAUACAUACUCUCCUGUUAUGAGUGGAAUAACGUUUCGAUACUUAAUAUCUAUGGCAGUACAAAUGAGUUUAUCUAUGCAGUUGAUAGAUGUAGUGACAGCAUACUUAUAUGGGUCACUCAAAUCGGACAUAUAUAUGAAAGUCUCUGAAAGACUUAAAAUGCCGAAUCCAAAAGCAAAUCGCAACGCAUGUUGUGUAAAAUUACAGAAGUCACUAUAUGGCUUAAAACAGUCGGGUAGAAUGUGGUAUAACCGACUAAGUGAGUUCCUUAUUCAGAAAGGCUACUCAAAUAAUGAUGAUUGCCCUUGUGUAUUUAUAAAGAAGUCCUCAAAUGGAUUUUGCAUCAUCUCAGUGUAUGUUGAUGACCUCAAUAUCAUUGGAAGUACAUCUGAUAUCGAAGAAGCACGCAAUCAUCUAAUGGCGGAAUUUGAGAUGAAAGAUUUGGGAAAAACCAAAUUCUGCUUAGGCUUACAGCUUGAGCACCUUCCCUCAGGAAUUUUAGUAUACCAACCUGCUUAUAUUCAAAAGGUUUUGGAAAAAUUUAAUAUGGAUAAAUCAUAUCCAACCAAAACACCCAUGGUUGUCAGAUCCCUUGAUAUGAAUAAAGAUCCUUUUAGACCUUGGGAUAAUGACGAAGAGAUAUUGGGACCUGAGUUCCCAUAUCUCAGUGCCAUUGGUGCGCUAAUGUACCUUGCAAAUUGCACGAGGCCUGAUAUUGCAUUUGCGGUAAAUUUACUAGCUAGACAUAGCGCUACUCCAACAAAACGUCAUUGGAUGGGAGUAAAGAAUAUCCUUACAUAUUUACAUGGCACAAAAAACCUUGGCUUAUUCUAUCACAAAAACCAAGGUAUGACUAUGGUAGGAUAUACUGACGCUGGCUAUCUAUAUGAUCCUCACAAUGCCAGGUCACAGACAGGUUUCGUAUUCUUAUAUGGUGGAACUGCUUUUUCGUGGAAGUCAACAAAACAGACUCUCGUAGCAACUUCCACUAAUCAUUCUGAAAUUAUUGCAUUAUUUGAAGCAUCAAAAGAAUGUGUAUGGCUUCGUAGGAUGAUUAACCACAUUCAAACUACAUGUGGUGUUGGUUCAUUAGGAUCACCAACUAUUAUUUAUGAAGAUAAUGCAGCUUGUAUUGCUCAAAUGCAAAUGGGUUAUAUAAAAAGCAAUAUCACAAAACACAUUUCUCCUAAAUUGUUCUAUCCUCAUGAAUUACAGAAAAAAUGGAGAAAUUGAUAUUUUGCAAACUAAAUCAUGUGACAGUCUAGCAGAUUUGUUCACAAAGUCUUUACCAAAUUCAACGUUCCAGAAAUACAUUCAUGGAAUUGGUAUGAGACGACUUCGUGAUUUGCAAAGUUCAGGGGGAGAAAUCUCCUGAAAAUAUAACCCUUUAAUUAUCAUCAGAUAAUGAAUAUUGUACUCUUUUCCUUUAUGAGUUUUUCCAAGAGGUUUCUCAUAAAAGGUUUUUAACGAGACAAUUAAAUACAAGCAUUGAUGCAUGCCAUAUCAUAUUUCUCCUUAUAUUUUUCCUACUAGGUUUUAAAGGAGUUUUUCAUGGCACAUCUCAUUGCACUCUUUUCAUUAUGAGUUUCUUUGAAAUUUUCUCUCAUAAUGUUUUUAAUGAGGCAAUAUCUUCAUUAAUAUCAUAUGCUAUACUUGCUAUUUUUCCUAUUAAGGUUUUUAAAGGAAAGUAUCUAAAGCAUAUUUAUUGUCCUCUAAAACUCACUAAUAAUUUUCUCCUUCUUUGAAGGUUUUUCUCAUAUGAGUUAUCAAGAGACAAUAAUCACUAUAUGUUGUAUUAUUUUCUCCUUAUAAUUUUUCCCAUUGGGUUUAAAAGGAGUUUUAACAACAUAUCUAUACAUUUCUCCUCAUAUUUUUUUCCCACAGGGUUUUUGGGGGAGAAUCUCAAGAAUUGACUGAUGGAUAUACAAGGAGUUUUCAAUAAUGGAUUACUCAAGAUGGCGUUGUACAAGGGGGAGUGUUGCGAACGGACUAAAUCUGGGCCGUCAAUUAGCAAACCGUCAUUAGGACGUGAUUAGUCAGUUAUUAGUCUAAAACGUCGUACGGAUGCGUCCGUCCGUACAAGCGCCUUUUUGUACAGACGCCUCUUCGCAUGCGUCCCAAACCUUGUAUAUAUAUUUCAGAUCAAUGAAAGAGAGACAGUGAUCCGCACAACAUUUUGCUUUCGUUGUUUCACACAUAUAAGGUUGUCCGUAAUGGGAGUAUCAUAGCUAGUAUCAUGCAUGCGAACUAAGCAAUUUUGAUGAAGUGGCAUAGAAUUAAAUGAAGAAAAAGAAGGUUGAGUAUCAUAUUAUGAUACUGUAUCAUAUUAAAUGAUGUGCUACUAUGUGGCUUGCAUGACAAUAAAUGAACUAUCUUAUGACACUAACAUAUGAUACUAUGCAUUACGGGUGUGGUAUCAUACACUAGUAUUAUAUGCAUAAUACUAGUAUAUGAUACUACCCAUUACAACCAGCCUAAUGCAUAGGUGUUUAACUUGUUGUUGCUAAGUAUCCUUCACUUAAUGAUUUAGGAACUAAAGUUAUUCAUACAUUGGCGUGUUUCUUUCAUUUAAGUGUUUUGUCUAAGUUCAUGCGCUUGGCAUUGUUUCUUCAUGAGGUUACUACACUCAUCUCUUUCCUUUUAAUUAUCUUGCACAUCACAUUUUCCAUCUACAUUGCAGCCUUAGCACCUAUACAAGGUGGAGCACCAGAUGUAGUCAUUUUGCUUUCCGAAGCAGAUGUAGUCAUUUAUAACUUGAUUUCGAUAUACAAAUGGAAAACAUGUAAGAGCAUCACCAACGACGAUCCGCAAACCGUCCGCAUAUGUCCUAAUUGUGUUGUUCGGAUCACGAAAGACAUCCAACGCGGGCCUGUAUCGGUCCGCAAGUCAGUUCGGACGCACUUUCUCCCGCAAACCGGAACCAAAUGGGAGACUUUGCUGGAGUACGAACACACGAAACUUCACUUUUUGCCCCCCUCCCCCGGCCCACCCAAAAGGAAGGCGUGCCCCCUCCCCCGGCCCACCCAAAAGGAAGGCGGAGCACGCGCUUUGUAGCAACCCGCACUGUUUCCGCACAAAAAUCGUCCACUCUCUUCUUCCAUCCCCUGCCGCUCUCCGACUAAUUCCCACUCUUUUGUCCCACCCUCUCCUUCCUUCCGUCGUCGAUGCAUGGAACCACCGGAGAUGGAGGCGUCGGAUGAUCCGAGCAUCACGCUCACCCAAAGAUGAACUCGGCUACGCGGUAGGAUCACCGCGUCAAAGCGAAGGCCGCAAAGGAGGAGAGGAUUAAGAAGCGAUUGGCCACCGGUGGGCUUGGUGGUGGCGUUGUGUGUGGCGGUCGUGAUGGUCAUGGAGGGCGUGGCAGACGUCGCCGGACGAGCACACCCAUGGUACAUACGGCACCGUGGAUGGAGCAUUAUAAGCCUCCAUACUACUACGCCGCCAAGCAUCUCGGAACCCUCUCCGAUAAGGUUCCUUUCAUCAUUGUCGUAAAUGGGAUGUCGUUCUUCUCCGAGUAUUGUUCAUUGCAGCUCGUGUGGGCGCGAACAAUGGUUGGGGAGCAGAUGGAUGACCGCACAUUGUUCGCUACAAUGCCUAGAGCGGAGGAGGGGGUGAAGUACUAUGAUAUGGACACGGAGAGGGUCAACAUGUUGGAAAUAUGCCCUAAAGGCAAUAAUAAAUUGGUUAUUAUUAUAUUUUCUUGUUCAUGAUAGUCGUUUAUUGUCCAUGCUAGAAUUGUAUUGAUUGGAAACUCAAAUACAUGUGUGGAUACAUAGACAACACACUUUCCCUAGUGAGCCUCUGAAGGACUAGCUCGUUGACCAAAGAUGGUCAAGGUUUCCUGAUCGUAGAAUGAGAUGUAGUUUGAUAACGGGAUCACAUCAUUAGGAGAAUGAUGUGAUGGACAAGACCCAAACUAUGAACGUAGCAUAUGAUCGUGUCGUUUAUUGCUACUGUUUUCUGCAUGUCAAAGUAUCUGUUCCUAUGACCAUGAGAUCAUGUAACUCACUGACACCGGAGGAAUGCCUUAUGUGUAUCAAACGUCGCAACGUAAUUGGGUGACUAUAAAGGUGCUCUACAGGUAUCUCCGAAGGUGUCUUUUGGGUUGGCAUGGAUCAAGACUGGGAUUUGUCACUCCCUAGACGUUGCCACCCUACCCUCCUCCCUUAAAAACUUCGGCCUCCACCAAAGGAAGCCGGUAGGCAAUCCCUGCCCAUUAGAUAGCAAACCCUGAUCUUCCCGCUCGUGAGACAAGAGAUCGACAUCCUGGAGCACGGCGUUGGCCCUAGAUGACGACCAUAUAAGAAGCGUAGUGUGGAUUACGGAGCGGCGACACGAGGACGAUGGUGGUCGGGUAGCCGGCGGUGGCCCGAGGAGGUGCCGAGGUUGCGAUGACCUCGUUCUUCGGGCAAGAGGCCAGUCAAGAAGGACAUGUUGUGUCUUGAAGUGAGAGAUUGGCGGUUGAUGAUGCGUAGUAGCAUGGUGGCUAGUAGGCGACCAAGGGGUAGAUGUCUGGUCGAGAUCAAGUCAUUGUGACGUUGUGUGAUGGUAGUGCUGGAGUUUGGUGAUUGGGGCGAGCGUUGAUUUCUUCUUCAUCGGAAGUGGCCUCUGUGAUCAUGAGGGAGAUGUAGAGGCUAGAUUUCGAGAUAGUGAUGUCCUUUCUGAGGCAUGCGGCGGUAUAGGACGCCCCCUCCACCUCUAGAGUCGGUUCGGUCUAUCUCCCUAGGUGCUGCACACGACGACUCUUGUGGAUGUGCUGAGUUAUGCAUGCCACCGCGAGGUGAUACGCACAUCGGCUCAUGCAGAGGCACCAAGUCAUGAUUCUGCGGGCAGGUGCUACACACUCUUGCUCCUAUAGACGCGACAAGUCAUGCAUGUGGCUGCUAUAACGAUGGUGCGAUAGUGAAGGGAGGCGAGACGAAGUGGUGCGUCUUGUCCUUCCGGUACCUUCUCUAGAGAUAACCGGGCAAGGGAUGAUGGUAGAGGCGGCUUCAACACCGAGUAUGCGCACUCCGAUGGAACAUAAGUCCCCUGAUUAGACUAUGUCAACAUGUGACUGCAUUGUGACCUUGCCAAAUAUGUUGGAUCGAAGCUCGGCUUAUGGGACGAAAUUCCGAGACCAAACUAUGUUUGGACUCAUCACUACCGGUGCAUGGAUGCCGCUUCCUUCGUGAAUGAUUAUCUUAGGAGUUGUGUAGUUUGCCUUUGUUCCUGUUUGUUUCCAUAGGGUUAGUGUUUGCUUAGUGUAUGUAAUGUCGUGAGGCAAGCGACCUUUCUUUUUUCUUUCCAAGUCAAAUUUGUUCGGUUGUUGGAGUUUGUUUUAUGAAUGAUAUAUGACAUGUGAUGCAAAACCUAGGGUUAUCCUCCUUUCCUAAAAAAUAUGCACACAUGUAUUAACAUGAUUUUCCGUUUGUCUCUUCUUGAGAGAAGUCUGUUUAUGUGGAGAAAUGUUCAUUGAGAGAUCCUUUAAACAUGUUCAUGUUAUUACACUUGAUAAAUCAUGUGCCGACUCUAAGUCCAUGAUUGGUUUGUUGACACAUGCCGAUAUUUGAAAAUAUUGAAAUGCCAAAUAUUGGCUAACGAUUGCUUAUUUACCCAUUUUUCCCGUCAGCCCCACAAAAAAGUUGCCAGUUUUUGAUAAACUUUGAUUUUUGCCACAUGUCAACAAACCAAUCAUGCUCUAAGUUGAUCGUACGCAUAAGGACUUAGACAUGACAUGGAACUAUACUUUGCACAUAGGUGUGCACUCCUUGUAGCCAAAAGGACAAAAAUGCAUAUACAUUUGGACACGUUACGUACGUGCUUCACGUGUGCGCCCUUUGGCCGGUGCAGUGAGCAUGCGCCCGUACACAGCCCUGAAAGCAUCCGCACGCAAGCGUCUAUGUAGGUGGAAAAGUCAGCGUUCUCUAUCUCCUUCAAAUAUCUGUUGUCACUUGUCAGUUUGUCACGUCCUAGCACCAUCCAUAUAUGGUAUGUGAAAACUUUAAACUAUUUUUUCUGUAUCUAAAUGAUUGUAAUUAAAGAAAACUAAUCUAAGUAUGCUAUUUAAUUACCCAUAAUUUUUCUUAAAGUUAAUCACCGAUAAAUCUUGAAGCUUAGGCCAUUUUCAAUGCAUUGGUGCUAAGAUGAGGUGCUAAGCAUAUUAAAUAGUUUAUCAAUUGAAGUCCACAAUGCAUAGUUGCUUAGUUUAUUGUACUACUAAAGUUUUGCAUAUUUAAUGCUUUUACAACUAAAGUUGUGCAUGCAUUGGUGCAUUUCCUUUAUUUAAUUGGUUUACCUAGUUUCACGCGCUUAACAUUGUUUUUUUCUGGGGUCACCACACUCAUCUCUCUCCUAUUAAUUAACAUGUCACAUCAGAUUUUUUGCCUAUGUGACAGCCUUAACACAUGUACAAGGUGGAGCAUUGGGAGUAGCCUUACCGAUGUGUUGUGCUGCUUUGCUUAGAGCAAGUACAAUAAGGUACAGUCAGCAGGCUGUAAGAAUUAAAAUACUAUAUUUUUGCUGAGUUGGAUGAGAGAGAAGAGGAGAGAGAAGGAAAGCGGGCUCUUCGUGAAGAGUCAGCUGUAGCACGUGCUCCUAGGUGAUUUGUGAGAAUGAAAGAUGGACCAUAUAUGAUAAAAAUAGUACUAUUUUAUAGCUAAUUAUUAUAAAAGCUAGCUAUAAGAUGAGCUAUAAGACUGCUUAUAGCCAGCAGUUGGCUAUACUAUUAAUCAUGCUCUUAGACGCGUAGGGAUAAGAAUGGACACGUUGGACGUUUUGCCAUGUCCGGGAGAGACUGGCCGACUGCAACGAGGAGAUUCGUUGACAUUUCAUUCCGCAAAAGAUAUUCCUUUGGCAUUUCUCCACAUAGAUGGGUGCCAGCAGGGCCAUAGCCCAGCCCGUGCACUCACGUACGUCAAGUGUGGGAAAUGGCCGAACGCAUGAUGCCGUUGCAGCCAACGGGGCGCAGAUAGAGGCCAGGGCAUGCAUGCCGCACUCCGGCGAGCUCGAAGGGACCGGACAAUUGGAGGAGGUCCAGGAGGGACACGUGUAGUAUGGUCCUACAACAGCGCGGCAGGCAAAGGGCCUGGCCUGGUCCUGGUCCUGGUCCAUCGUCCACGCGACGUAGGUCGUGGACCAACAACGUAGUACGACGCUCCGCCCCGGACGGACGUGUUAUCUUUACUAAAUGGCCCCUAAAGGAUUUUAUGUCGCACAUUGACCCUCCAAAAAACUUGUUUCGUCCUCUGAUCCUCACAUUCAUUUCCCGAUCUGCAUCAUAUGGUUCUCCAACGUGUUUAUAUUUUUUAAUUGUUCUAUGCUAUUAUGUUAUUAUUUUAGGAUACUUUUUAUAUUAUUAUUUACCAACUUAUAUUAUUUUUGAGCACUAACUUAUUGACCCGGUGUCUAGUGCCAGUUUCUGUUUUUUUUGUGUGUUUUUUGUUUCACAUAAAUUCCAUAUCGAGCGAAGUUAAAACGCGAUAAAAACUUACGGAGACUAUUUUGGAAUAUAUGUGAAUUUUGGGAGUUAGAAUCAACGCAAGACGAUCCUCAAGGGAGGCACAAGCCAAGAGGGCGCGGUCUGGGAGGGUCGCCCCUCAUGGCUCUGUGUCCACCCCUUAAGUCGGUCGGAGCUUUCUUUUGGCCGCAACAAAGAUAUUUUUUUAAUAAAAAUUCCCUCAAAAAUUAAUUGUGGUCGGAUUUUGGGAUAUCAGGUUAUUGAAGUAACGGUGAAGGGCCAGAAACAAGUCGUGCAAACAGGAGAGAAACACACACAGACACGCACACACACACACACACAUAGAGAGAGAGAGAGAUCCAAUCCCGGAGGGGCUGCUGCCCUCCGGGUCCCAUGGCGGCCUUGGACCAGAGGAGAAACCCUCCUCCCACCUAGGGAGGAGGCCAAGGAAGAAGAAGAAGAAGAAGGAGGAGGAGGGGGCUCUCUCCCCUCUCUCCCGAUGGCACCGGAGAGCUGCCGGGGUAACCCUCGUGACGGGGGUCCACACCAACAACUUCGCCGCCGUCACCACCAACUCUCUCCUCCUCUAUGCGAUGGUGUAAAAUCUCUCUUCCUUGUUGUAAUCUCUACUUGAACAUGGUGCUUAAUGCUAUAUAUUAUUAUCCAAUGAUGUGUGGCUAUCCUAUGAUGUUUGAGUAGAUUCCUUUUUGUCCUACGGGUUAAUUGUGAUAUGAUGUUAUUGAUAUGAAUCGUGUGUUGAUAUGAUGCUAUCCUAAGGUGUUUUCCGUUAGGCGCACACUUGAAAGAUUCACGCUGGAGGGUUUGCAAUAUAUUCUUGAUUCGCUUAUAGUGGGUAGCUAGAGUGACAAAAUCUUACACCUGAGUAAGGAAGUUGUGCGCAUGUGGAAGUAAAGAGGACUUGAUGUUUAAUGCUAUGGUUGGGUUUACCUUAAUGGUUUCUAGUAGUUGUGGAUGCUUGUUAGAGGCCCAAUUGUAAGUGCAAAUGAUCCAAGUACGGAAAGUGUGCUAGCGUAUGCCUCUCCCUCAUUGCAUAUGAUAUGUAUCUAUUAUGUUAUAUUCAAUUGCCUAUUGACAAUCUUCCUAUUGCGUUGUAGAGAAAAUCUGUCUACUAAAUAGCCCCUUACUUUUAUUCACUUGCUCUUUUUUUUCUUGCAAAACUAUCUAUUUCACCUAGUAAGUACUUCUAGUCUCCUUCCCGAAAAAUAGGUUCAUACUUGUUCUAGAUAAAGUAAGCGUUAGCGUGCGUAGAAUUGUAUCAGUGGUCGAUAGAACUUGAGAGAAUAUUAAUUCUACCUUUAGCUCCUUAUUGAGCUCGGCACUUACUUAUCGAAAAAGACUACAAACGAUCCCUUACACUUGUGGGUUAUCAAGACCCUUUUCUGGGGUCAUUGUCGGUGAGAAAUAGCGUAGUGGUCGAUAUUCUCGUGUGCUUGUUUUCUUUAUCACAAAGUAAUUUUUAUUUUCUGUUAUUGAUUGUUUUAUAUCUUUAGUUAUGGACAUGGAACACAAAACACCCAAAAAAAUAGUUAUACUUGCUACUCAUGGAGAUGGGGAACCUCCUAAAAUUCUCGAUGCUAGUUAUGUGAAACACAUUAAUUACUGCUUUGAUAAUACUGAGAAAUCCUCAUUCAACUUGAUAAUUGGAGACACGUUGGAUCAGCGUGAGUACUUUAGGGAUUAUCAUUUGUCUCAAAAAGGAAAACACUUAUGGGAUCAAAUUAAAAUGUUGCGUUGGUAUGUUUGGGAUUUAUGCGUGAUAAGUGAUUAUACUUGUUGCUCUAAAAGCAAGGGUCUAAACCUUCCCUUUCAAUGUAAAUUUAAUGAUAAUAGAACCAUAGACUCUUAUGCUAAUGGUAUAUAUGAUUACUAUGAUGUGAACAAAAUAAAAGAAUUUGUUGCCUUUAAGGGUGCAUAUUAAAUUGCUUCUUUGAUUGGAAAGUAUGAUGAUAUUCCUUAUAAAUCUGAAAAUUUUGACAUACUUAAAUAUUGCUAUGAGAAUUAUGAAUAAAAUGUUGGUAUUAAUGAAUUUCUUGAAAGAAUGACCGUUGCCUUGGAAUAGAUUAACAUUUUGCAGGAAUCUAUGGAAGAAGAAAUUGUUGAAUCUCUGAGCUCAUUAGAUGAAAAAGAUGACGAGGAGAGCGAAGAGAGGGAGGGUUGCAGCACCCAAUGCCACAGCACGGCCUCUCCCUCUCCCUAUAGAUCGUCUCUUCCUCUAGAUAUUCCGGUAGUGCUUGGCGAAGCCCUGUCGGGACAGCAACAUCACCAUCACCGUCAUAUCGUCGCGCUGCCAGGGGACUCAUCUACCACUCCGCCCUCGCUUUCUGGAUCGAGAAGGAGAAUACGUCAUCGGGUUGUACGUGUGCUGAAUGCGGAGGUGCCGUCAGUUCGAAACUUGAUCGGGAGUUUGCGGGACAGAUCGUGAUAGGAUCGCGAAGACGUUCGACUACAUCAACCGUGUUUCUUAACGCUUUCGCUCAGCGAUCUACAAGGGUAUGUAGAUUCAAUCUCUCCUCUUGUAGAUGUGCGUCUCCUAGAUUGAUCUUGGUAAGCGUAGGAAUUUUUUUGUUUCCUAUGCAACGUUCCCCAACACUUCUAUCUGUGUUAACAUGGGAAAUCUCACAAACACAUUAGUCCCUCAACCACGUUUGUCUUCAAUACUCCAAAACCAACAAGUGGUGGAACUAGAUGCACUUACGAUCUCCCCCUUUUUGGUCACUGGUGACAAACUGGCUGAAGUUUUCAACGGGGAUAAGAAUAUGUGAAGAUAAAUACUUGGAGAUUAUGAGAGCUCUCCCUCAAGAUGUUCUUAUGAAGGUUUUUCUUUGAAUGCAAAAGCACAUGGUAGGUUGUAGUUAGUGGAUAUCUCCUCCUAUAUCUUGGAAUCCAUUCACUAUGCAUUUUAAAGGUUUCAUGAAGAUUCUGUAAUGCAUAAUGAAAAAUAGGCAUCUGCUGAAUGACUUCAGACGCAUAUGAUAAGAUAUGGAAUAGCGCCAAAGAUACGAUAAACAUAGAAUAUGAAGACGUCCAUCAAGACUUAAGUUUUACAACCCAAAAGUGCAAUUGUUCAGAACAAGAGUUCUAAACUUAACAAAAUAGCAGCACCCAACCCUUAUAGACCCAUUCGAAUACUAUCAAUCCAAUGCUUCUCCCCCUUUGUCAUGGGAUGACCAAAAAGGGCGAAGACAUUGGGAACUACUCGUCCCCAGCUUGUGAAUACGUUGGUGCAGCAGGGUCAUCAAAGGUUGGUGCAGGUUCGCCUGGUUUAGUGUCGAUGCGAUCUGUUGGUGCAACAGGGGAAGUACAUCAUCAGUGUCAUUGUUUGCAAGAUUGGUAUGACCGGAUACUGCUGAAGAAGAGUAGUAACUUUAUUCGAUGGAUGGUGUCUUGCAUCAUUUCUCCGUACGAGGAGGAGGGGCACAAAAUUUGAAGUAUUUUUCAUAGCCAUCCUCACGAAGAUCUUCCUCCGGAGACAUGAGAGUCAAUUUCUUCCAAGAAUGCCUACAAGUUUCAUGUGCAACAAAGAUAUUCUUGGUGGAGAGGUUGCGAAUGCGAUUGAUAUCUGUUGCCAUAGAGUGCAUUUGUCUUCGCGUCACUCAUGGUGACAAUCCUACUUUUGUAUGAGCGAAACAAGAAGCUCUUGAUUAGUCAUAGCAUGUUCCCGUCUGGGUUGGGGAUGUUGAGGCAGAGUGCUAGCAGUGGCUUCAGUUGAGGUGGCACUUGGUUGUGGUUGACGGAAUGUGCCAAUCAGUCUUGCCUUGACAGGAUCACAAGGAAUGUGAAGCCCUUCAAUAUGUGUGGUGCCACUAGUGCCUUCAAUAAUGGGAUUCUUGCCCUUGGAUGGAUAAAUGUCUUUGUGUCUGACUUCCACAUCCAGAAGAUAUAUUCCAUGAUUAUGAGCGGAGGGUAGAAACCUUGUAUUUGUUAUGCGCUUAAUGAAGUGCAUGAUCCAUGGUGCAUAGAUCUUGAGUUCAGAGAUUGAUGCUAUUGGCAGCCAGGGUUCUCAAAAAUAAGUCUUGAAGAUUGAACCUGAUGCCAUAGACGACAUUGUAGAUCAACGUCUUCAAUGCCCCUUAAACCUUGCUUGAAGAAUAAUGUCAUUUGAUUGGCCAUAUGGUGUGACAAAGAAUAUGGUAGAUAGUCUUUGGUAGAUAUUGAAGAUCAUCAACAAAGAAUGUUGUGGGCAAGUCCGCAUCUGGGUCUAAAGGUGAAAGGACGUGGAUGUCGCCUAGAGGGGGGGUGAAUAGGCGCUUUAAAAUAAUUAAGGUUUAGGCUUGAACAAAUGCGGAAUAAAACUAACGUUUAAUAUGUCAAGCACAAAACCUCAAACAACUAGGCUCACCUAUGUGCACCAACAACUUAUGCUAAGCAAGAUAAACAACUAAGUGAUAGCAAGAUCUAUGACAAGAGACAAUAUGGCUAUCACAAAGUAAAGUGCAUAAGUAAAGGGUUCGGGUAAGAGAUAACCGAGGCACUCGGAGACGAUGAUGUAUCCCGAAGUUCACACCCUUGCGGAUGCUAAUCUCCGUUGGAGCGGUGUGGAGGCACAAUGCUCCCCAAGAUGCCACUAAGGCCACCGUAAUCUCCUCACGCCCUCGCACAAUGCAAGAUCCCGUGAUUCCACUAAGGGACCCUUGAGGGCGGUCACCGAACCCGUACAAAUUGCAAACCUUGGGGGCGGUCACCGAACCCGUACACGUGGCAACCCUUGGGGGCGGUUACCGGUACCCGUACAAAUUGCUCGGGGCAAUCUCCACAACCUAAUUGGAGACCCCGACGCUUGCCCGGAGCUUCACACCACAAUGAUUGAGCUUCGAGACACCACCAAGCUUCUAGGACACCAAAGCAUCCACGAAGAACAAUAUCUAUGGUACUAAGUACCAAAGGUAAUAAGCUUCUCAAACUUCACUUCCACGUAUCACCGUGGAGAACUCAAACCGAUGCAACCAAUGCAAUGGCAAGAACACACGAAGUGGUCAAGUCCCUCACACUCAAAUCCCUCCACAACAACGAAAGCUAUGGAGAAAUAUGAGAGGAAGAACAAGGAGCUCACAAAGAACUCCAAGAUCUAGAUCCAAGGGGUUCCCCUCACAUAGAGGAGAAAGUGAUUGGUGGAGAUGUGGAUCUAGAUCUCCUCUCUCUUUUCCCUCAAGAACAAGCAAGAAUCAUUGGAGGGAUUGAGAGUAAGCAAGCUCUAAGAAUGUCAACAAUGGAGGUAGAACAAGAGCUCAACGGAUGGAUAAGGCCAAGGGGCAAGAAGACCCCCUUUAUAUAGUGGGGGAAGGAAUCAGACCGUUACCCCCACUUACAACCCGAGUCCAGCGGUACUACCGCUGACCCUGCAGAGGUACUACCGCUGAGCCCAUGGUAGCGCAAAGAUACUACCGGGCCAAUCACCGCCAAGAAAGUCUUCGCAAAAAGGUCCGACGAAGUACAGCCGCUAGGAAGGCCGUACUAAGCUCCUGGAGCGGUACUACCGCUGACCAGGGGCGGUACUACCGCCAGCACAGCGGUACUACCGCCAGCUCUAGCGGUACUACCGCCAGCUCUAGCGGUACUACCGCUAGGGCCAGCGGUACUACCGCUCGCCACUGAAACAACCAUAACUUUCGCAUACGAGCUCCGAAUCGAGCAAACCCAAGCUUGUUGAAUUAAGACCAUGCUGAUAUGAAAAUGCCAAUGAUCUAGAGAUGUGAGACCUCUAUAAAUGAAGAACCGGCAAAAACUCCAACAUCGAAAACAUCAUAGUAGUUGCAUAUGGACUCCGUUUUUGAUGAACUCGAGCUUGUCAUGAAGAUGACCAUAAGCUCUAAAACUCACAAAGAGAAACACCAAAUAAGAACCAAGAAGUAUGAUGCAAGGAUGCAAAUGGUUUGAGCUCUCAACGAACGAUACGAUCAAGCUAAUCACUUGAGAGCCCCCUUGACAGUACAUCAUUCUAUCCUAAACAGAAAACCUAUCAAGGGAAAACCUAUACCUUGCACCUCAAUCUCUUGAGCUAGAUGAUGAUGAUCUUGGCUUCCUCAAGAUGGACCACCUUUCUUGAUUGCGUUGGCUUGAUGAAGACUAGGUUAUUGCUCCCCCAUACUCACUAUGGAUGAGCCACUCUUCAACAUACCUUCACAAGUCCAUUGCCACCACAAUGGACGGCAAGCUUCAAGCACGAUAUAUUCGUGUUGAUCCUCUUGAACUUGCACACCGCAAUCUUGAUGACGAUCACCACUUGACGUCAUCCUUCAUGGGUUGUAUGAGAUCUUCAUUUUGACACAAGCCCAUGGAAACACACCUAACCCACACAUAGAACUCUCACGAAGACCAUGGGUUAGUACACAAACACGUAAUGGAUAAUGCUUACCAUACCAUGGGAUCACUUGAUCCCUCUCGGUACAUCUUGUACGCUUUGUGUGUUGAUCAUCUUGAUUUACUCUUUGUCUGAGAUCUUGAUCAACCUUGUGUCUCUAUGACCAUUCUUUGGAUAAUACCUUGAAUACCACCUUGGUCAUCAUAUAAACUCCUUGAACCCAACAGAUGGACUUCAAUAAGUGCCUAUGGACAAAUCCUAUAAAUAUAACUUAAGGCAACCAUUAGUCCAUAGGAAUUGUCAUCAAUUACCAAAACCACAUAUGGAGAUAUAUGCUCUAACAAAAGGCUUCAUAAGUGUCAAAAUUUCAGACAUGUUAGGCUCACGCAUUUGAAAGAUGCUUCUUAUGGCUUCUUCAUAGGUGGGAGAUUUUGGAUCAAGAUCUUAGCCUGAUGCAGCAAGUGGAGUGGUGGCAAAGAAUUACAUAGCAAGAGCUUUCACAUGCCCAUCAUGGAUCAUGAAAUCCAUAACCCAUGUCUUCAGAUCUCAUCCAUAGCCAAAGAUGUGGAGAGUUGCAUAAAAUUGAAGAAUUGGUUCUUAAUUCCAAUCUUCAUGAUCAACAGCAAACGACAACAAUCCAACAUCUCAAAGACAAUUGAAGGCCUGGUCAAAACAAGGAAGACCACUCAUGGCUUCCAUGCUGAGAUGCUUGGGGGGAUCCUUUUUGGUCAUAUAGCACACAUGUAUAAUAGGUACGUUGAGGUACACUCCAGAAGUGAUCAGAUUGAAUCUUUAGACGCGUAUAAGGAUUCUUUUUAGAAUCAAGGAAAGUGUUGUCGAGCCGGAAUUCCCUCACGCUAAAGACAAGAGGACGUGUUGUUCCUAGUUGUCAAAGACUUGGAAGCCUAGGCAUUGGAUUCAUAACUUUUGGGCGACGAAAGAUGUUUAAUUCAUAUUGUGGACCCAUUCUGUUGGGUGGUGAAACAAGCUUGGGCCAUUUUGUUGGCACCAUCUCUCCCGCCCUAUUGCGAUCCAUGACAAUAUUGUCAGCAUUGUCGUCGGUCAAUGGCGUAGCACGCACAGGAGAACCAUCAGGGGAUGGAGCAUUGGCUUCUCCAUCAGUAAUCGGUGCUUCUAGAGGUGCAACGGUGUCAUCAGCAGCAAUGUCUUCACAUGCACUCGCUUCGAUCUAAGGUUGUUCACGAGCAACAUGUUCAAGUAUGAGAACUUCAUCGACUGAUGCAGUCAGAGUCACACGCACUUCAUCUUCUGGAAUGAUUUACAUUGAAGAUAUAGGUGGCCUUGGUCCUUUGUGAAUCCUUUUGAGAGGCGAUGCAUGUUCAGUUGUUUCAACUUCCAUGGGAGCAAAUGGGAAUUUAGGAGAUCUUGCCACUAGAGUUGGAAAUGGACUAGGCAGAGUGCUAGGAUUGGCUUCAGGCACGUUUCACCUUAGUGGAGUGCCAAUGUCCACAAAUUCACUGCCUUCAUGCAUUGGCGAUGAUACCAUUGGUGCAUCACGUUGAGGCACAUCAGUUUCUAUUUCAACAUUGUCUUCGGCAGAAGCAACGUUUUCAGCAGGNNNNNNNNNNNNNNNNNNNNNNNNNNNNAGCAGGAUCACCUGCAUUGUCUUCGGUUGCGGUGGUUUCAGCAGCUGGUGCAUCAUCUGUUGUUUGAGCCUUUAUGGUAACAGACUCAUGAAGAACAACUUGCCUCUCGACAUUUUCCUAGGGAUUUUAUCUCAACAAAUUUAAAUAAUCUCUAAAAUAAAUUCUCUUAUGCCACCGAGUAAACAAUUUGAUUAGGGACUAGUAGCGAAGGGAAUUAAAUCAAUAUAAAUUUGUGUUUAAAAGAUAUUAGCAAUCUAGGGUUUUGAGCAAAUUCAAAAUCUACUAUGCAAAUUUUAAAACUUCUGAAUCUAUGCAAAACUUCAUGUUAUUUGUGACAUGUUGCCAAAAGAAUCAACUAAAAACAAUCAAAAACUUAAAAGAUAUUAGCAAAACAAAGUCAUGAACUCCUCUCGAUUUGAAAUAAAGCAAAUAAAACAAAACAAGAAUUAAGUAUCGGCCAGGGGUGAUGUGGCACAUUCCUAUUGUGGCAGCGAAGUGUGCGCGAGAAAGAACACAGCGGCUAACUGAACACUAGCGUGUACCGGUUCGUGAGUUUAAGUGAUCUAAUCUAGAUCGUUCAUUGCAGAUCUGACGGUGGACACGAGAGAGAAGCUUACAACGGCGACGAUGGAGUUCUCCAGCGAGGCAGAUGGCUUGGGGUUGACGGCGAUGGUGCUCCAAUGGUCUUCCGGCAAUGGUGUCAGCUCCAAUCGAUGCACGCGAAGACGAUGGUGAGGUUGGUGGCAUCGGACGGUGUCGGGGCAGACUGCGGCGAGCGGCACGAGCUCAACGGGCUUCGGGCAUGGCAAAAACUAUGACGAGAUGUUGGGGUGGCAGUGGAGCAUGGAGGAAGGGUUUUAGGGAGGAAUCGGGUGCGGGAGGUCGGGGCUUUAUAGGAGAGGCAUUUGGUGGGGUCAAACGGAACGGGAGCGGCGAGAUGGAUCAGAUCCGGAGAUACGUCGGAAAGGGAAGGUGAGGUCGGGUAAAGGAAGGCGCUGACCGAGGGGGGUUCGGGUCGGGCAGGUGGGGUCGGUGCGCGAGAGGUAGGUGACCGAUUCGUUCGCGAUUCGGAUCCGAUCAGAGAGAAAAUGAAAAAUAAAGCAAAGAAAGUAUAUAUAAUAUAUACCUAUUAUAUAUCAACAAGUUCAGAAAAAAUAGCUCUACAACAUGAACAUAUUUUCAAGAAUUUUUGAAAUACUUAAUAUUUUUUUCCAAAAUUCAAAAAUGUCGUUGAUCCAAAGAUCAAAUAUUUUCCAAACAUUUUUCUGAGUUUGUAAAUUCAAAUGAAAUCAAAUUUGCCCCUGGUUUUGAGUGUGAUGUUUCUCCUCUCUUUAUUUUUAAUAUGAUCAUGUGCAUUUGAAUUUAUUCCAAUUCAAAAAUUGAAAUGGAUCGAAUUUGCAAAUGGAAAUACUCCAAAUGGAAACUUUUAAGAACUUUCAAAUCCCAUUUCAAAUUCUUCCAUUGAAGAAGUCGUGUCAUAUUCUCUCUAUGAUUUUAAAUUUGAAUUGGAUUUGAAUUCAAAAGCAAGGAAGAAAGUUUUGGGAAAGUCAUUUUAUCCCCUCUCUUCUAUUUUCCAAAAGUUUUCAAAUUCACUCAGUUUCACACAAUAAUUCAGACAAUCAAUCAAUAUAGUUCAUUUAAUAUGACAUUCCAAAAUUUAGAAUUUUGGGACGUUACACGCAAUCCUUCAAUGUUUUGCACCCAGAUGUCUCCUCAUUUCGCUUAGUGCUACAGAUAUAAAUGGUUGGUGGAACAAGAUCUCCGGGAAGUGGAAACGCAAAACUGGCCCAUGAUGAUAACUCGGUGGCGGCUUGCAUUGCUUAAAACCACUGGAAAGGGAGGAAUCACGGAAUUUUGAGAGGAAGGGGGUAAACCAUCCUUGGUUUGUGAAGCAUCAUAAUUUUUCUUGAAAGGAUUUAUCUGCUUGAUCUACUCCCUUUAACAGUGCGUUAUCCAAGAUGGGAUUUAUUUUCCAAGCGAAUGAGAUAAUUGUCCCCGGUUUGCGUAGCAUGAUGAAAUUUUUUUAGACACACGAAGCAUAAUGAUCUAAGCCUCCUGGACAAGCCCGUUGGAGACAUGGCCCUUAAUCUUCGUGCAGUCCAGACCCAGUUGCACCUUUGCAACAUCUGUUUUACACUGUUUCCCUCUUCUUAAUCGGGAAGCAGAACAUUUGCUGCGCUUGUGAAAAAAUUAUAUCCGGAUCACUACAUGGGUAGUGGUUCAGCAAGAUCCACCUUCAAUUUCACUGACUGAUAAAUAUGCUAGGACAAAAGAAACUGCUUACUGUUCCUCGUGAAGAAACGAUGUAGUUUAUGGAGUAUGUACGAGUCUUCCCAGAUUUUGCGUUUCCAUACAUAUAUUACGACCAAAAGGGUGCAACACGGCCACUUUUAUAACCGGAUGAGCACUUGUCCGUUGUCACCAAGUUCCCAUCGAUCUUUCGUACCUGGACCCGAGUGGCCUGGACGCUGCAGCUGAAGAACACUGUACCGAGUUUCAGACGGUGCCUCUGAGUCGAACAUUGUGUGGACCUGGCACGGCGCCUCAUCCCAUCAGACAAGGAGGCACCCGUAUCUUUCCGCAUUGUACAUACGAAUUGUAAGGCAGAAGCUGUGCUGGUGCUGGUGCUGGUGCUGCUCUAGCUCUACCCUGUGCACAAAGCCAUGCUACAGUGACAGAAUUCCUCUGCGCAUCAAGCAUUCCUGNNNNNNNNNNNNNNNNNNNNNNNNUCAAGCAUUCCUGCACGGCCAAGGUUUUAAAUUAUGUACUCUCACCAUCAUGGCCCAUGAAUUGGUUGUUCGGUUCGCCCGACAAACAAACCAACCAACAAGACGUAGUACUUGCUGGUCAGACAGAAACGGGCGUGUCCAUUAAAUCCUCUCGGAAAAGGAGUAUUUUUGAAGAAAAAAAAAGGUAAGCAACUCGCACGGGGUGAACUGAAGAUAACACUGGCAAGAGUUAGAGUAGCAACGAACUGACAAGGAAAAACAGACAAGGAUUCAGUACAACAGCAAGAGUUCCGCGUGGUAAAAAGGUCUCAGAAGUCUCAUGCUACAGUAGGCAAGUUGUGCUAGGUUUCCAUGGAACACUUGCCACAGAAGAGAUUUGAUUCUAGAUCUUACCCUCCCAGAGGCACUCAGGGGAGGGGCCGCCGUUGUUGCGGUUGUUUCCAGAGGCGGCGCGCGCUAGGAGAUCACCAAGGUGGGGCGGUGGCUGGAGGCCCAUGGCGGAAGCACGCUCCCAGCGCUGAAGCCUGUUCACACCGAUGCAUGGGCCAAACUUCAUGUCCAUGUCAAACUGCCGCAGCUGCUCCUCUUGCUCACUGAAAUCAUCUGCAGCAUCAUAAGCAAGAGUUAUUGUUUGCAAACAUAAAGCACUUGUGAGUUUAAACUGUAUGCAUAACAAUCUCUCCAGCGGGUACCUUUGAGGUCAAAGGAUCCGUGAGAAAUUAGUGCUGCUGUCUGAGCCUUAUUCGAGGCCCCAACAGAGGCCCCUCCAGUAUAAUUCUGUGGUUUCUUCUUAGAAGAUGCUGAAGUUUUGCCGGCACCUCCUUUCUUCUUCUGCCGGUAGAAAUCUUUCACGCCAGUAGAAGCCAUUCUUGUCUAUUAUUCAGUCCUACCUGUGUUUUCCUGUCAAAGACCCCCAACGGAAACUUAAAAUCACUUCUGCUGUAGCUUUUGUGUUUCAUUUGCAUUUUAUUCAUUUCACCACAAAGAAUGCUAUGAGCUAUAAUAAGUACGAUGUGAACAUGACAACAGCAGAAACCUUUCAUGGUUUGUUCAUAGGUCUUACAUAGCCAAGUCCUUAUUCCCGAACACUAACGACCCAAUUUAAUAGAAGGAAUCUGAUAGCUGACGUUGUUCUAUCUACGAGAAUAUCAGUUUUUCUGUGACGACUUGUAAACGGCAUACAGUAUGAUUUAAGACUACGAUAAACUAGGUGCGAAACAGUUACUGCAAGAAGCAGCAACUACCAAGUAAUAUUUGCACAUAGGUUGUAAGACAUUAACCCAGCCAGUUCAAGAGUAAAUAGUCCGUUUGCCUGCCAACGUCAGAACAAAUGGAGCAAUCAUCUGACAAAAACAUGGAGCAUAAAUAAAACAGCAAGCAGGCAUGAAGAGAAGACAUAAAGCAUCAUUGUUCCCCAUCAGCAUAUAGUAUACCGACGACAACCAAACUACAAAAGGCCUACCUAUCUCUGUCAUUUCAAGGUCUAUUAAGCAGUGAGUUUAAGACACUGAAAUGCAUUGAUACAAGAGACACAUCUUGGUUCUUGAAACUCUGUAAAACAAAAACUCAUACUACUAACUAGUUAUGCCCAUGGUCAGCCACCGAACCCGAUGCUCCAAAACCAGAAUUGGCACUCUAGUGGAGAUGUCAUUUGUUCUACUUCCAUCACCCCCUGGGCUUAAAUACACAUAAUGUGCUCUUCUCUUAAGAACACCCCACCCCCCCCCCNNNNNNNNNNNNNNNNNNNNNNNNNNNNNNNNAAGAACCCCCCCCCCCCCCCCCCCUCCCUCCCUCUGGAAAAUCGGCCAAAAAGAGAGGCAAAACGAUACUAAUAAAACACAAUGAUAGCGGCUACUCCCCUUGCAAAUCUGAGGCUGUACCUCCAACUCCAGGCGGUCGCUCAACCAUUACAGUGUACAAAACCUAUCCCAAUCCCUUCCUGGUAAAGAAAUGUAUCCCCUAGACCUAGAAUCUCCCUCCCUCGAACUUGCCGCUGCGGUACAAAAUUAGGCGGUGAACGGCUGGGUUCUACGCAGGGAGGAACUCGGAAGUUGAUUGGAUGGAGCGGAGGGCGUACCAGGGGAGGCGGCGGAGCGGACCGAGCGGAGAGCCGGAGAACGGCGGCGAGGUCAGGUCGGUAGCGAAUCAGGUCUUCGCCUCUUUCGCGUUUGACUACGACGAUACUACAGUACUACUUUGUAUCGUGGCGUAAGAUAUGUAACGUAAACAUGCUGGCCCAGCGACGGCCCAUCAAGUCAGUGGGCGCUUAUAAACCAGACGUAGGGCAACCCAUCAAGUCGGGAAUUCCUACCUGCCGCUCGCUGCGGCAGGGGGUCGCUCCCAAGCACACGCAGGCGUCCUACUGGGCCUGCCCAUCUUUUUUUCUAAAGAAAAACGAUAAUUUCCUUUUUCAUUUCUUUUUUACUGUUUCUUCUUUCCUUUACUGCUUUUCCGCACCUUUUUUGGCUCCUUUUUCUUCCCGUUUCCUUUUUUAUUUUUGUAUCAAAACGAACAAAUGUUCAAUUUCUCAAUCUUUUUUUGAAAUACUAAAUGAUUUUUAAAUCAGAGAACAAAAAAUAAGGAGCUUUAUUUUUUGAAAAGUCAUGAACAAAUUUGGAGACGCGGACAAUUUUCUAAAGCAUGAACAUUUUUUGAAUCUUGAUAAAGUUUUUUGAAACAGAGAACAAUUUUGAAAAAACACAAACAAAUUGAAAGCACGACAUUUUUUGAAUUUUUAGAAGAAACAAAUUAAAGCACAAACAUUUUUUGAAUCUUGAGAACAAAAUUUUCAAAAAUAUAACAAUUUUGACAAACCCCAAACAAAUUUGAAAGCGCAAAUAAAGUUUUCAAGCACAAACAUCUUUUGAAUUUCUAGAACAAAUUUUGAAAUCAAAAACAAAAAUGAAAAAUCGUGAACAUAUUUGAAAGCGUGAAUAAAUUUUUUAAAGCAUGCCCAUUAUUUGAAUUUUGAGAUCAAAAUUUUGAAAUGAAGAACAAUUUUGAAAAACUCCGAACAAAUUUGGAAGCGCGAACAAUAUUUUCAAGCACAAACAUUUCCUGAAUCUUGAGAACAAAAUUUUGAAAUGGAGAACAUAUUUGAAAAACCCCGAACAAAUUUGGAAGCGCGAACAAUAUUUUCAAGCACAAACAUUUCCUGAAUCUUGAGAACAAAAUUUUGAAAUGGAGAACAUAUUUGAAAAACCCCGAACAAAUUUGGAAGCGCGAACAAAUUUUUAAAGCACGAACAUUGUUUGAAUUUUGAGGAGUUUCGAAACCAAUAACAAUUCUCAAAAAUCCUGAACUAAUUUGAAAGCGCAGACAAUUUUUUAAAGCACGAACAUUUUUUGAAUAUUAAUAACAAAUUUGAAUCUCAAGAAGAAAAUUUGAAGAAGUUUUCAAGUUGUGUACAAAUUUUGAGAAAAGAGAAACAUUCUCCAUAAAACAGGAACAUUUUUAUAAAAAAGUGAAAACAAUAACAUUUUCUGAAAACACAGACCAAUUUAAGAAAAAAUGAACUUUUUAAAAAAAACGAGCAAUUUUUUUUAAUACGAGAACAACUUUUGAAACACGAACACUUUUAAAAAUAUGAACACAUUUUGAAAGCAAGACGAAUUUUUGAAGCGCAAACAAUUAAAUAUAAAUAUUGAAAACGGGAACGUUUUUUGAAAUUCAAAACAAAUAUUAGAAAAUGUCAAACACAAAUAUAGGAAAAGGAAAAAAGGAAUAAAAGUGAAUGAAAUAAUGAAUACCAAAACAAAUAACAUUUUCUAAAAUUCGAAUAAUUGUUCUGAAAAUGUCGAACAUUUUUUUCAAAUCGCGAAAAAAAAUAGAAUUUAGAAAUGUUUUUGAAAAAUGGAAUUUUUUUACAAUUCCGAUUUUUUCUAUAAAAUUAAGAACAUUUUCUGAAUUUCAACAACAAUUAUCAAACAUGAACUUACUUUAAAAAAUAACCAUAGAAAAAAUGAGAAACAGAAAAAAGGACAAAAAAAGGGGGAAACGAAACAGAAAAAAGGACAAAAAAAAAAGCAAAAGAGGAACUGCCUGCAGAGGGAGAUGGGCCUCAAUGUGGUGAUUAAAGUAAUUAUAUUUCCAUUCCUCAAUGUGGUGAUUGAAAUAAUUAUAUUUCCAUUCCUUUGCUCACUUUUUUCCAACUGUUACAAUUAUCCUUGAUACCUAUAGAAAAGAUACAUUGGUCUAAAGAGUUUUGUGCAUUGUAAUAUUUGCACACAAUGUGUCUUCGUACCCACAGUAUACUAGGAUAUGAUUCCUGACUUGUUCACAUGCCACAAAUCUAAUUUUGAUUGUUUACAAUUAUCGGUGUUAAUGAUGCUUGUUCUUGUAAUUGACAUAAAGAAAGAAAAAUAUUAGUGUAGAUUCAUUGAUCUUAGAGUUCAAGAUUUAUGUUAGAAAUUGAAUGUGUCCUCGUUAAGAGGAGUUAAUCGUGUCCUUGUUGGGUUCGACACUCUUACUCAUCGAAAGGACUACGAUAGAUCCCCUGUAAUUAUGGGUCAUCAGGGACCCACAUGAACGUGGGUAGGCCCCACACCCCUAGUCAAGGUGCACCAAGAUCCCCCCUUAGAAGGAAUAAGAUCAUAUCCCGAAGGGAUAAGAUCAAGAUCCCUAAAAAAGGGGGAUAACAAUCGGUGGGGAAGGGAAAGGAUGGGACUUCUUUCCUCCCACAUUUGCCAACGCCCCAAUGGACUUGGAGGGCAAGAAACCGACCCCCUCCACCCCUAUAUAUAGUGGGAAGGCGCAUGGGAGCUUAACCCUAGCCCCUGGCGCAGCCCUCCCCCUCCUACACCUCCUCCUGCUCCAUAGUGCUUAGCAAAGCUGUGCCGGAGAACCACGAGCUCUACCGCCACCACACCGUCGUGCUGCCGGAGUUCUCCCACAACUUCUCCUCUCCCCUUGUUGGAUGAAGAAGGAGGAGACGUCCCCGGGUUGUACAUGUGUUGAACGCGGAGGCGCCGUUCGUUUGACGCUUGGAUCGGAUCUUCUGCGAUUUGGAUCAUCAUGAGUACAACUCCAUCAACAGCGUUCUUUGCAACGCUUCCGCUUAGCGAUCUUCAAGGGUAUAAAGAUGCACUCCCUCUCUCUCGUUGCUAGCAUCUCCUAGAUUGAUCUUGGUGACACAUAGGAUUUUUUUUGAAUUAUUACUACGUUCCCCAACAACUACCGCCAAAGAGUAGUAGUAAAAAACUACUACCACUCUUCCUACGGUACUAACGCUGGCACUAGCGGUACUACCGCUGUAAGUGCAUCUAGUGCGCCUUAGUGAUUUUGGUGGUUUGAAGACUUAUAGGUUAAGUAUCUAAUGUGUUUACGAGUGUACACAGGAUCUAUAAGUCACUGAGGAGUUUGAAAUAUUUGAGGAAUAUCGACCCCUAAAAAUGUAUAUCUUCGGUUGAAGAAAUUGGUCUAAAGCUGAAAAAUUGAAUCGCGAAGAAUCCGCGAUGAAAUUGAUAUUCCUCAUGAAGAUAUUGAAAUUGAGGAAUUCGGUGUGUCCUAAAGAAAAUCAUUCUGAAGACUUUGAAGCAUGAGGAUUUACUCUUUCUGUUUUAUUUUCUUCACACUUGAGUAAUAGGAACACCGUACUGUUAAAGGGGGUCGAAGUUACACUCUGGAAUGAAUUUCUUCAUGAUGCUCAACCCAAGCCUAAUCCUACCAAAAGCCUCAAGUGAGGAAUACGAGUGACAUGAGGACUCUCACAGUUGAGGGUUCCGACCGUUUCGAUAGCCACGCCACAUCAUUGGUCUUAUCCACACCAACGGUCAUAUUAUUUAAGGGCAUUAGUGUCAAAUCAUGUCAGGAUGCUCCCAGGCUAUAAAUAGCCGCCCCCACAACCAUUAGCUGGUUGGCUGCUCUGUUAGAAACUGACACUUGUCAUAAGAGCAACCCAAUUCCUCAGAGUCUUCGAGAGAAAUUUAUCAGUGAGGAAAUACCCCAAACACCAAACCACAAACUUAGAACCAAGUGAUUGAGCAUCACUGAAGAAGUUGUUCGUGUGUGGUACUGAAGCCUUUUACCUUUGAGGACUGUGCAUCCUCCAAACGGUUAGGCGUCAUGGUCUAGAGCAAUCGAGCAGUCAAUUGUGGAUCGCCGGGUGACCAAGUUUGUGAGGGUUUGGAAGUCUGCCCUGAAGACUUACCACGAGUGUUGGGUGAGGGCUGUGUGUUCUUAGCCCAAGGAGAAUACGGUAGGGACUGUGUGUCCCGGGACUGUGUGUCUUUUGGUUUCAAUACCAAACCGCUCCAAACCAGAUGUACGACUGUCAUAGCAGUUGGAACUCGGUCAUCAACUACUGUCUUCGCUGUGAAACGGAUUCUAAUUCCUCAACCCUUUACAUUCCUCAGAUUAUGUGUUGAUGACUUUCACUGUGACUGUUUGAAUAAUUUGCUGAAGACUUUCUCUGAAAUUCCUCAACCCCAAAUUCUUCAAACUAGUUAAUCCUCAUCUAUUUUCUGCCUGCCUGCUCACUGUGCAAUCUGUUUUCACAUUCCUCACACUGAAAAACUAUUGUUGUGAAACUUUGCACUUCUGAUCCUUUACUGUUUCCAAUGUAAGUUAGUCAUUAGUGAGGAAUUUCGUCAAAAGGAAUUUCCUGAGUAAUGAAAUUCUAAAAAUCUCCUAUUCACCCCCCUCUAGUCGAUAUAACGCACUUUCAACCGCUGGACACAGAAACUGCCAUAACUUUCGCAUAUGAGCUUCGAAUCAAAUGAACUGCAAGCACUGGGAGCUCGAGACAUUACUGAUCACGAAGUUGUGAAGAAACUGCUAAGAUCUUUGGAUUCUUCAUUUGAUACUUUAGUACUGAUGAUUCAAGAAAGACCAGACUACAAGAUGCUUGAUCCAGCUGAUAUACUCGAAAGACUCAAUACUCAUGAAUUCCAUGUAGAAGAAAAGAAAGAUCUAUAUGGACCAAGCUAUUCUAGACCACGUGCACUGAAGACUAGAGCAAUUUCCUCAUCUGAGGAAGAAAAUUCGGAUGAUAGCAUUGGUGACCCUGAAGAAUUUGGACAGGAGCUUGCAAUGCUCGUGAGGAAAUUCCAGAGGUUUACACGACGUGGUCAGUUCGGUAAAUCUUCAAGAAGAGACAUGAGGAAAUCAGAAUCUUCAUCUGAGGACUACAAGAAAAGAACCUGCCACAAAUGCAAGAAAUCAGGUCAUUACAUUGCUGAAUGUCCCCGUUGGGGAAAGGAAUCAAAGAAGAAGAAAUACAAGGAUGACAGUUCUGAUGACUCGUAGAAGAAGAAGAAAUCUUCAAAAUCCUCAUCUUCAAAGCCCUCAUCGCACAAGAAGACUAGUUUCAGAAAGGCUCGGGCACUUAUUGGCAAGGAAAUGGAUUCCGAGGCAGAAUCAGAGGAAUGUGAUGAAGAAGAGGGUUCUGAUGAAGACUCAGAAUCCGGACAGGCUAGUCUUGCACUUGCAACCACUUUCGUGAGCAAGUCAAUCUUCAACCUUGAAGAAGAUGACAACACCAUCCACAGUGAUGACUAUGCUGAUGACUUUGCUCCAACCUAUUGCUUCAUGGCAAAAGGUUCAAAGGUACCGAAUGAUGCUUCCUCCUCUGAUUCAAGUGACUCUGAACCUAAUGAUUAUAAAAAACCCAGUUACAGUAAACUUGCUAUCAUUGCCACUAAACAACAAACUGCCCUGGAAAAGCUUCAGAAACUGCUAGAUAGAAGUGAUGAUCUGUUGAAUGAUGAAAUGAAUCUUACCCAAAUCCUCACUGAAGAUGUGAAAAGUCUUCAGUCUAGAUUUGAUAAUCUUCAAGAUCGUUAUGAUACCCUCCUCGCUGAUCAUGAAAAACUUUCCUAUGAAUUUAUUCAAAGGAAGCUUGAUCUAGAGAAGUUGAGGAUUUCUCAUGAUGAUCUUCGUAUAGAAAAUGAUUCAUUUCUAGCUCAACAGAUCAGCGCUGCUCAAGCUGAAUUCAUUCCUCCAUGUCUUAAAUGCAUUGAAUGCGAAACUGCUAAUUCUUCACCAGAAUCAUCAAAUGCUUCUAUUGCUACAAAUUCUUCAACUGCACCUGUAGUGUCACUUGAGGAAAACACAAAUGUUACUGAUGAAAAUGCAGGGUUGAAGGAAUUGUAUGUGACAGGCAUAUACAAAAGCCUCAAAGGACAUCAAACCCUUUGUGAUGUUCUCAAAAAGCAGAUCUUGAACAGGAACCCGAGGAAAGAAGGAAUUGCCUUUGAGAGGAAAUUAAAUGCACAUGGAUCUUAUUGGAAACCUGAGCAGUAUCCAAAAACCUCAUGGGUUGCUGCUACUGGGCCUCCUUUUGAUCCAUCCAAUCUAACUGGCUUUUCAUGUGAAUUAUCCUAUUCCUCACAUGAGUCAUUUGACUCCAACUAUAAACUGUUCAAAUAUCAAUCUGGUGAAGUAUUUGCUCGAUAUGUUGGAACUAACUGCAGGAAUGGCCCUCCUUUGAGGAAAAUCUGGGUUCCCAAAAGUUGUCUUGAAAAUCUUCAGGUGAAUGUCCUCAUGACACCACCAAUGAAGAAUCUGAACCCCAGAUCAAAAUCCUCAGGAGGACCAAAGUCUUCAAGAGGAUCAAAAUCCUCAACUGAUCAAAAUUAUGCUCAUUCCCGUGCUAAUACUUCUAACAUGCAGGGAAACUACAAGGAAUAUGAAUAUGAGCGUUACUCUUCAAAUCAUUAUGUUCGUAAGUCCUCAAACCAGUUCUCUGCAUAUUCAUAUGAGUACUUUAACCCCCCUACUGUUAAGAGAAGUGCAUUAGCUUCAAUGCCACCUUUUUCAUAUGGUACUCGCAGGAUGAUGAAUGCUUUACCACCCCUUCAGAUGUGGAUGGUGAAGAAAUCGAACUAAUCACUUCUGCAGGUCAGGUCUCCACUUGAAAAUCACCAUCUGAAGAAUUUGCUGGAGACCUGAGGAAAUGCUUGAUAGGACGCAAGCUAAUAUUGAUGAAAUAGAAAUAUUUCACACGUCUUUUUUAAUUCUGUUAUGAUGAAAUUCUUAUCUUAUGAAAUUGAUAUCAUAUUCUUCAAAUCUGAAGUGUAUGAGAUGGUAAGCUGUACUAAUUCAUCUACAGGAUGACAAACCCAAGAAUACUGUGUGGGUUCUUGAUAGUGGCUGCACCCAUCACAUGACUGGUGAUAAAAGCUUGCUGAUGAAUAUGCCACUAACUCCAUCACCUCUGAAGCAAAUCACAUAUGCUGACAAAGGUAAAAGCAAGGUAUUGGGACUUGGCAAAGUGGCUAUUUCCAAGGAUAGGCAUAUGGACAAAGUGAUGCUUGUUGAAUCCCUUGGUUUUAACCUCAUGUCAGUCUCGAUGCUUUGUGAUCUUGAUAUGAUUGUUAUCUUUGGUAGAUAUAGAUGUGUAGUCUUCAUGGAAUCUGACAGAUCCAAAGUCUUCGAAGGUGUAAGAAGAGGGGAUUUGUGCAUUGUUGAUUUCUCUACAAGUCCUCAACCAGCCACUUGCUUACUAGCAAAGACCUCAGAAGGAUGGGUGUGGCACCGAAGACUAGGUCAUGCAGGCAUGAGGAAUUUGCACACGCUUGCGAAGAAGAAGCAUGUCAUCGGCAUCGAAUCAGUCAAAUUCCUCAAGAAUCAUCUCUGCGGUGCAUGUGAAUCUGGGAAAAUGACCAGAUCCAAGAAUCCCUCGAAGACUAUCAUGACCACUACACGUCCCUUAGAAUUGCUUCAUAUGGAUCUAUUUGGACCUACUCACUAUGCCACACUAACCAAUGCAGCAUCUUUAUAUGGCUUCGUCAUAGUUGAUGAUUAUUCCAGAUAUACAUGGGUGCAUAUCAUCAUAUAUAAAACUGAAGUGCAGGAAAUCUUCGAACGAUUUUCUUCAAGGGCCUCGACGAACUUUGGCAUCAAGAUCAAACAUAUCAGGAGUGAUAAUGGAAUAGGGUUCAAAAACACUGGUCUCGAUGAUUAUCUUGAUGAACUUGGUAUUACUCACGAAUUAUCUGCUCCUUAUAUUCCUCAGCAGAACGGUGUCGUCGAGAGGAAGAACAGGACUCUGGUUGAGAUGGCAAGAACUAUGCUUGAAGAAUAUCAGACUCCUCGUCGCUUUUGGCCUGAAGCAAUCAACACUGCAUGCCAUAUCAUCAACAGGGUAUAUCUUCACAAAUUCCUCAAGAAAACCUCAUAUGAACUCAUCACUGAUAAGAAACCCAAUGUAAGUUAUUUCAAAGUCUUCGGUGCAAAAUGUUGGAUUAGAGAUCCUCACCAUAGCUCAAAAUUUGCACCUAAGGCACAUGAGGGUUUUAUGCUCGGUUAUGGAAAGGACUCGCACACCUACAGAGUCUUCAACAACUAUCACAACAAAGUUGUUGAGACUGUAGAUGUGCGGUUCGAUGAAACUAAUGGCUCGCAAAGAGAGCAAUUGCCUUGUGAUCCAGAUAAGUUGUCUCCUGAGGAAGCAAUAAAGCUCAAGCCUACUGAAGACAUUGUUCCCACUGAGGAAAUUGAUGAAGAAACCAUCCCCAUCACUGAUGAAAAUCAAGAAGAUGCUCUUGAGGAAAUUGCUCCAGAACCUCUUCCUCAGCCCAGACGAAAUCCUCAACCAGCUCAUCCGAGGAUUGCAAAUGAAGUAGAACUUGACAAAAUCCUCAACGACAUCAACGCGCCAGGUCCUCUCACUCGCUCAAAAGCUUCACACUUAGUUAACUUUUGUGGGCAUUUUUCCUUUGUAUCUAUCACAAAACCCUCAAAAGUUGUUGAGGCUUUCUUGGAACCGGAGUGGAUCCAAGCUAUGCAAGACGAACUUCUUCAAUUCAAGCUGAAUGACGUAUGGGAGCUAGUCAAACGACCAGAUCCUCGCAAGCACAACAUCAUCGGAACAAAGUGGAUUUUCCGAAACAAGCAAGAUGAGGAUGGUCAAGUGGUGAGGAAUAAGGCAUGACUCGUAGCCCAAGGCUACAUCCAGGUUGAAGGAAUAGAUUUCGAUGAAACUUCUGCACCUGUUGCUAGACUUGAAGCUAUUCGAAUACUACUUGCUUAUGCUAAUCAUCAUAACAUCAUCUUAUAUCAAAUGGAUGUGAAAAGUGCAUUCCUCAAUGGUAAGCUUGAGGAAGAAGUAUAUGUUGCUCAACCCCCAGGUUUUGAGGAUUCAAAGAAUCCAGACAAAGUAUUCAGACUCAAAAAGGCGCUCUAUGGUCUCAAGCAAGCCCCUCGGGCAUGGUAUGACACAUUGAAGGAAUUCCUCAUGAAGAAAGGCUUCAAACCUGGUUCACUCGAUCCAACUCUUUUCACUAAAUCCUAUGAUAAUGAGCUAUUUGUGUGCCAAAUAUAUGUCGAUGAUAUCAUAUUUGGCUGUACUGACAAACGAUACAGUGAUGAAUUUGCUUACAUGAUGAGUGAAAAAUAUCAGAUGUCUAUGAUGGGGGAGCUGAAAUUCUUCUUAGGUCUUCAAAUUCGUCAACAACGCAAUGGAAUCUUCAUAUCACAGGAGAAAUACCUCAAGGAUGUUCUGAGGAAAUUCGACAUGCAUGAAUGCAAAGGUGCCAAGACUCCAAUGCCUACAAACGGACACCUCGGCACUGAUGAAAAUGGUAAAGAAUUCGAUAAACAGGUAUAUCGCUCUAUGAUUGGCACUUUAUUGUAUCUGUGUGCAUCUAGGCCAGAUAUAAUGCUUAGUGUUUGCAUGUGUGCACGUUUUCAAGCAAAAUCGAAGGAAUCACACCAUAAGGUUGUGAAAGCAUAUUCUUCGAUACUUAGCUCACACACCAACACUAGGAUUAUGGUAUCCCAAGGGCUCAAAUCUUCAUCUGGUAGGGUAUUCUGAUUCUGACUAUGCUGGUGAUCAUGUGGAUCGCAAGUCAACUUCUGGUACAUGUCAUUUCCUCCGAAGAUCACUAGUUUGCUAGUCCUUAAAGAAGCAGAAUUGUGUAUCACUCUCCACUGCCGAAGCUGAGUACAUUGCUGCUGGUUCAUGCUGUGCUCAAUUACUAUGGAUGAAGCAAACCCUCAAGGACUACGGCAUCAACAUGAAGAAUGUGCUUCUCUACUGCGACAAUGAGAGUGCAAUCAAGAUUGCAUACAACCCAGUACAACACUCGAAGACCAAGCACAUCCAGAUUUGUCAUCAUUUUCUUCGGGACCAUGUCCUCAAGGGCAAUAUCCUCAUCGACCAUGUGAAGACUGAUGAUCAACCGGCAGAUAUCUUCACUAAGCCCUUGGAUGAUAAAAGGUUUUGCAAGUUGCGGUGUGAGCUAAAUAUCUUAGAAUCUUCAAAUGUUUUGUAAAAACAUGCACACAUCCUAACACUUAUGCAAAAUUGAUGACUUAGAUGUGCAACACAUGAUGAAUCGAUUUUCUUCAACUAAUGAAGAAUAUCACUCUGAAUGUGGAGAAAUCAACGAAGAAAUUGAUUCUCACGGCCCUACGACAAUUGUACGCGGCGUCUGUAAUCAACAUUCUUAUAUGGUGGGUCACGCCACCGCCCAACGUGAAAUUCCUCAAGUUGAUUUUCUUCAAAGUUCCAUUUCCUCAAAACUUGUUUUUCUUCAAAAACACUUGAUGACUUUCGUUUAACUACAUAGACUGUGAUUUCAAGUCCUCAACAGCAUUCACUUAUAGCUAUUUCUUCAAGUUGAUAUUUCAUCUAAGUGAAUGUGAUCGGACCCUACUUUCCCUCUAUGCUAUUCUCAUCCAGUCUAUUCGAUUCUUCAUAUGCGUUCUGCUUGAAACUUUGUUCAAAAUCCUCACUGCGUCCUUGUCAGCUGAUGAUUUUGUAACUAAAAUCCUCAACUCUUCAAAAAUGUUUCUUUAAUGCACAGUAACCGAACCCCACUUCCCACGUUCGGAUAACCACGAUCUCCACUAUCUCCACCGCCUUGCUCGGGAGCUACACGUGUCCUGCGGAGACGUAGAGGCAGGGGUUGUUUGGUCCGAAUUCUUCGCGCCGACAGUAACUGCCUGGCUAUAAAUAUGUCCUUAUACCCCUCGGCAAACACUUCUUCGCUCCAUUGCUCUCCUGCUAUAGCAAAAGCCCCGAACCCUAGCGCCACCGGUGGAAGUCUCAUCGCCGGCAAAGAAGAGCUUCACUGCCUCGACUUCUCCGUCGCCGGAACCACGCCGGAGUCGGACCAUCUUCGUCCGCCGCCGCCGUAGACGUCCUCUGCUGCCGGGUUAGGGCGCAUUGGACACGCACCGAAGAGCUUCUCUCUGCAACUCUUCUCUGUUCUUCGUGCGCGCCAUCUAGGGUAAAUAAAAACCCUAUUUUUACAGCAAGUUAGAUCUACUAUUUUACAUCUCAGAUGUGAAAUCUAUUUUUCCUCAAGAAUCCAUAUGCAUCUGAUUCCUCAAACACUGCCUAUCACCACACUGUUGAUGAACUUCACUAAGCAUCUAAGAUUUUCACGAGAUUCCUCAAUUGUGUGAAUUUUUGGAUCUGUACAACUCUGGAACCCAAGAACGGUAUGCUUAGGCAAAUUCCUCAACCACUGGUUAAAUGUUAGAAUUAUGCCCUAGAGGCAAUAAUAAAUAUAGUUAUUAUUAUAAUUCNNNNNNNNNNNNNNNNNNNNNNNNNNNNNNNNNNNNNNNNNNNNNNNNNNNNNNNNNNNNNNNNNNNNNNNNNNNNNNNNNNNNNNNNNNNNNNNNNNNNUAAAGUGAAUGCAGCUGUUUCUAAUGCAUAACCCCAAAACGAUAACGACAAAUCAGUAAGAGACAUCAUAGAUCGCACCAUUUCUAAUAAAGUACGAUUACGACGUUCGGACACACCAUUACGCUGUGGUGUUCCAGGCGGUGUUAACUGCGAAACAAUUCCACAUUGUCUUAAGUGAGUACCAAACUCGAAACUCAGAUACUCACCCCCACGAUCAGACCGUAGGAACUUGAUCUUCUUGUUACGAUGAUUUUCCACUUCACUCUGAAAUUGCUUGAACUUUUCAAAUGUUUCAGACUUGUGCUUCAUCAAGUAGACAUAACCAUAUCUACUCAAAUCGUCAGUGAAGGUGAGAAAAUAACGAUAUCCGCCGCGUGCCUCCACGCUCAUCGGACCACACACAUCGGUAUGUAUGAUUUCCAAUAAGUCACUUGCACGCUCCAUUGUUCCGGAGAACGGAGCUUUAGUCAUCUUGCCCAUGAGGCAUGGUUCGCAAGUGUCAAGUGAAUCAAAGUCAAGUGACUCCAAAAGUCCAUUAGCAUGGAGUUUCUUCAUGCGCUUUACACCAAUAUGACCCAAGCGGCAGUGCCACAAAAAUAUGGCGCUAUCAUUGUUUACUCUAACUCUUUUGGUCUCAAUGUUAUGUAUAUGUGUAUCGCUAUCGAGAUUCAAUAUGAACAAUCCUCUCACAUUCGGUGCAUGACCAUAAAAGAUGUUACUCAUAGAAAUAGAACAACCAUUAUUCUCAGACUUAAAAGAGUAACCGUCUCGCAAUAAACAAGAUCCAGAUAUAAUGUUCAUGCUCAACGCAGGCACUAAAUAACAAUGAUUUAGGUUCAUCACUAAUCCCGAUGGUAGGUGAAGUGACAUGGUGCCGACGGCGAUUGCAUCAACCUUGGAACCGUUUCCUACGCGCAUCGUCACUUCGUCUUUCGCCAGCCUCCGUCUAUUCAUCAGUUCCUGCUUCGAGUUGCAAAUGUGAGCAACAGAACCGGUAUCGAAUACCCAGGCACUACUACGAGAGCUGGUUAAGUACACAUCAAUAACAUGUAUAUCAAAUAUACCUGAUUUUUCUUUGCCCGCCUUCUUAUCUGCCAGAUACUUGGGGCAAUUGCGCUUCCAGUGACCCAUACCCUUGCAAUAGAAGCACUCUGUUUCAGGCUUAGGUCCAGCCUUGGGUUUCUUCGGCGGAUUGGCAACAGGCUUGCCGCUCUUCUUCGAAUUGCCCUUCUUGCCUUUGCCGUUUCUCUUGAAACUAGUGGUCUUGCUCACCAUCAACACUUGAUGUUCUUUACGGAGUUCAGACUCUGCGACUUUCAGCAUCGCAAACAACUCGCCGGGAGACUUUUUCAUCCCUUGCAUGUUGUAGUUCAACACGAAGCUUUUAUAGCUUGGCGGUAGUGAUUGGAGGAUUCUGUCAGUGAUAGCUUCUUGCGGGAGUUCAAUCCCCAGUUCAGCUAGACGGUUUGAGUACCCAGACAUUUUGAGCACAUGUUCACUNNNNNNNNNNNNNNNNNNNNNNNNNNNNNNNNNNNNNNNNNNNNNNNNNNNNNNNNNNNNNNNNNNNNNNNNNNNNNNNNNNNNNNNNNNNNNNNNNNNNGCCGCCAGGAUAGCCGAUUCUCUCUAGCGGACUGAUUCAGAGGCUCGUAGAGGAAUCGAGCAGAUCCGCGCCUUGUUGCUUAUGGUGCAAUAGCAAAAUUCGGCGAUCUCCCAGUCGCACAACAGGAUCCACAACAGUUCUGUUCAAGCGAACACGCAUCGGUCGGUUUUCAGUCCCGACUCUCACCAGCGAUGCAGAGGGGGCAGCCGUUCCAAGGACCCGAGUCGGAAUACGCUUCCCAUUUGGUCUCAUCCCGAAGAUCGUCGCCGUUCGCGUACUCCUCCAUGGUGUGGGCCUUACGGGCCCCGGCAUUACGAUGAUCGUCGUUCGGGCGGUGGCGCGCAUGAUCCAAGGCCUGAUGCAAGAGGGUACAUCACCCAGACGAAGGUCGACAAAAGUCGAGCCCACCGUGAUGGUCAGGAUAGAGACCAUCCGAGUGGAAGCAGGACCGUUGUUUCUGGCCCCGAGUGCUUCAGUCGGGCCAUCCGCUCAGCUGACAUCCCUCCCAACUUCUGAUUGGUGACGGGAAUCAGCAAAUUCACAGGAGAGUCCAAACCAGAAACUUGGUUGGACGACUACAGAGUGGCGGUCCAGAUCGGUGGCCGAGAUGACCAUGUCGCCAUGAAAUAUCUCCCACUGAUGCUCGACGGUUCGGUGCGAGCUUGGCUAAACUAGUUAGCUCCGUCAAGGAUCUACAGUUGGGCAGAUCUGGCCCGAGUCUUCAUAAGGACCUUUCAGGGAAUGUGCAAACGCCCUGCUGGUCUCGUGGAGCUUCAUCACUGUGUCCAGAAGCAAAACGAGCCCUUGCGCGAUUUCAUCCAGCACUGGACGACCCUCUACCACAAGGUGGAGAAUGUCACAGAGCACCAAGCAGUCUGUGCCUUCAAGGUAGGCGUUCAAUACAGAGAUCUGUACCUGAAGUUUGGUCGGACAGGCGACAUCUCCAUGAGCAAGAUGAUGGAGAUAGCCACGCGCUAUGAAAUGGCGAAGAGGAGGACCACAUAUGUAGCGGCAAGCAUAAGUCAGUCGCCGAUGGAGAUGGGAACAACUGUUGGAAGCAGAAGCAGAAUUCUCAAUCCACUCCGCAGGCAUAGGCAGCAGCCGUCACAAAUGCCAAGUUCAAAGGCAAGGGGAAAGCACAAUACGCCCCCAAGAAGAGGCAAUCAGGAAAUUCCAUCCUAGAUCAACCGUGUCCAAUCCACACGAAGACAGAUGAAGAAGGCAAUGUCAUAUUGUCGAAGCAUACCACUCGGCAGUGUCGCCUCCUGAUCCAAGGAUUCGGCGAAGGACAACCGAGUGAGAAGGACACCGAGCAGGAUGAUGAGGACAAGGAGGAUCCGUUCCCCCUAGUCCAUGCAACAUUGAUGAUUUUUGUUGAUGUGGAAAGCAAAAGUCGACUGAAGCUGGUCAACAGGGAGGUAAACAUGGCAACCCCAUCCACUCCCACGUUCCUCAAGUGGUCACAGACUGUGAUCACCUUUGAUCAGUCAGACCACCCAGCACACGUACCCACCCCAGGGAGGCAGGCUCUGGUCAUCGACUCGGUGGUGGAAGGAGUUAGGCUGCGCAAAUUCCUCAUGGACGGCGGCAGCGGCUUNNNNNNNNNNNNNNNNNNNNNNNNNNNNNNNNNNNNNNNNNNNNNNNNNNNNNNNNNNNNNNNNNNNNNNNNNNNNNNNNNNNNNNNNNNNNNNNNNNNNACGCACACACUACAUGUACUAUGUUCGUUUCGUUUCAUUUUCUUUGUUSCGMRAARGGGUUAGGUUUUGGGAAGUUUGGGGUACCGUUGGGGUCGUUAGUUCGAGGAUGUAGGUGGGCAACGGGUASGCACACGGCAUGCACACAGGAGAUGCGGUCACUGAUCACGUAAGCUACUUGGUGAGUUUCUUGCACGAGGCCGAUGAUUUUCUUGAAGAAAAACUCAACGACCGAUGACGAGAGCUAGGGAGCGAGUGCGACACCAUACAACCGCGCAACUUCUGUAUGAUGCAAACCUUGACCUUUCGAAUCAUCUAGUUGCCUUCCCCGCCAAAAUUCUAGUUAAAUUUGGUGCGAUCACCCUCGGAGUGUGAAAAAACGGGUUCGGUUUGGUCCUAUGUUCAAACUGAAAAUGGUUGGAUGCAGAGAAGCAGCCAGGGAUUGGAUGGUUGGAUCAUCUCUAACAGAUUCCUUAAAAAUGGUUAAAUUUCAUAAGAAAUAACGUACAGUUGUCAACAAACAUCUCAAGUAACUAUUUUCAAACCGAAUAGUAGCCCGUAAAAGUGGUUAAAUCCGUAAACCCCUGAGCAUCCACCCCAUGACUCCUUUAUUUCCAUAUUUGGAGGCAGAACUGAGGAUACCUUAAAAACCGGUCAACGUUACUCCCUCCCUCCGUCCACAAAUAAGUGUACAUAUAGAUUUUUACUUAGUUAAAUUUUUUAAAAUUUGAUCAAUUUUAUAGAAAAUAGUAGCAACAUAUAUGGCAUAAAAAUGAUAUAUUUAAAAACUUCAUGUAAAGACGAAUCUAUUGAUACUUAUUUGAUGUCAUAAAUGCUAACACUUUUCUCAAUAAAGUUAGUCAAAGUUUAACUAGUUUGACUGACAGAAAAGGAAAAAGUACACUUAUUACCGGACGGAGGGAGUAUAUGAUAAAGGAUUUUGUCGUGCGCACACGGGCUCCGAUGACCUUUCACCAUGAAACUCGCCAACUCGAGCAGCUACGGACUAGCUAGCUACGCUAGAUCGAUUUGUAUUUGGCUGCUUCGUGUGCUGUUCGUCGGCUUUUUAGAGCGAGCUAGUUGAUCGUGGAUAUGAACGAGAUGAAGAAGAAGACUGAGACAAAUAUAAGCAAAUAUUCAGUUUUAUAGUUUAAGUUUGAGAGGUUUGUUCGACCGCAACUCAAAUCGAUUCUUAAAAUGCGUUUUUUUCUGAAUUGAAAACCGCGCUUCAGUUUCACGAUUUAAGGGUUCUGCUGGAGGUGCUCUUAGGAGGGUGUCCGUGCCCCGGGCUAUCACUCAUCAAACCUCGGGUAAUGGGCAUCAUUUAAAAAAAUAAGAGACGACAUUCUGGUGUGAGUGCACGCAUGCAUGAGUCUACAUUGUAACAUGUGUUUAAAAAAGGAUUUUGUUUUAGAGGAUUUGAUGCUUAUGAUCACCUAGUCAAGGAAAUGAGUUAAGAAACUCGGUAACUGGUUUCUUGUAAUCGGUGUUUUCCAUGUUGAUAAUUUUCUUCGUCGAAAAUUAAGAUAAUUUGGAAACAAAAAUAGGAAAAGAGUUUCUUUUGUUGAAAACUAAGAUAAUUUGAAAUGAAAACUAGGAAAAGGUGAUUUAAAAUAUAAAAAAUAUAUGUGACCAAAAACAAGAAACCGGUUGUGUAUAAAACUGCAAGCUUACACAAGGAAUUUUGACUUGAAAUUUAUCGGGAAACAUCCAUAAUCACAUAAGAACUCUAAAAUGUUUAGACAAAUGUGAAAUAUUCCACAUAAGGAUUCGAAAACUUUUGAGAACUUUUAGAAGUAAAAAAAUGUUUAUAUCUAGUCCCAUGUUCAAACUAAAAAUGGUAUGAUACUAUACAUUGGACAAAUGAAGUAGAAAAGUAAGGAAAAAAGGAAGUGUUGUAAAUAAAUAGUCGAAAACUUAAGUGAUUCGAAGGAAAACAAUGAAAAGUAAUGUUAAAAACUUACGGAUAUACAAAAGAAAAAAAGAAACCAAUUGUGAAAAAGGUAUACAUUCAUAGAAACAUGAUAUUUCAAAAUUGAAAUUGUCUUGGAACAUCUAUAACAUCAAAAAUUCUGAAAUACCGUUAUAGUGUAAAAAAACUGUCUGCAUGGAUUGUUUUUGUCUAGUUCACCUCUGUUUUUAGAAUAAAUGUGUCUGUUAGGCAUAAAAUUCAUAGGAGAUAUUAGCAUUUCUUUAAUAUUUUUAGCUCCUUGUUUGUUUUCAAGUUUCUUGUUUUCCCUACUUAUUUUUGCUAAGUGUAUGUCUUUUGCGUGAAUAAGUGGAUGCAACCUCGUCAUAAAAAACAUUACUUGGGUAAUUAACCAACUUCUAGACAAUUUGACAAUUUUUUAUGCUUUCAAAAACAAGAAURGCCAAUACAGAGUUAAGAUAUGACGAGGUUAUUUGGGUAAUUGACCAACUUUUAGACAAUUAUUUAUGUUCUCGGAAACAAGAAGUUGAGAUAUCAAACGGUUAUUUGGGUAAUUGACCAACUUUUAGACAAUUAGUUUGACCCACAAAAUAAUCGCCAAAAUAAGGGUUUGCACGGAAAAUGUUGCCACACAAGACCCUGCAAACGCGUCCGACCCGCAAACUUUUUUGACGGGCGCGGCAAAAUCCCCUCCCGACCCACGAAAACACAGGUUUCCGCCUCGCCUAUAGGAUGCCCUGCAUUCGAGGGAAGCGGUUAGCGGGACGGACAUUUCAGCCCACGCCCUUUCCCCACCCCCUUCCGCUGCCGCGCCGCCAUUAGUUCCCCCUAUCCCCCGUCGGUGAUUCUGCCGAAUCUACCGGGUGAAUCGCGCCGCUGGGCACCACUGUCCUCUUCCGCCAAGCCGCUACAUCGACUCCCCCGGAUCCGCCAAUCCACGGCGGCGGGAGAGCCACCGCCGGAGAUGGACUUGAGCCUGUGCGAGAAGUUUCCGCUCGAGGAUUCAUCCGAUUCGGACGACCCAGAUGUUGAGACGAUGUUCUCAUAUUUUGCCAGCAUAGUUUGGUGAUGGCCCUCGCCGUGAAGGAGCACGAAGACGAGCACCGAAAGAGGCGGCGUGGAUCAACUAUUAGUCGUCUUUGCAUUCCUCGAAAUAGCCAUCUCGGCAACGAGAUGCUGAUGCGAGACUACUUCGCCGCCAAUCCAACAUACCCGCCGCACCUCUUCGGGAGAAGGUACCGUAUGUGCAGAUCCAUGUUUGUUAAAAAAAGUUAAGCUUGCGAGGCUAAUUGUCGAUAUUUUACUCAAAGAAGGAAUGUCGCGGGCUUGAAGGGAUUUAGUGCAUAUCAGAAAAUCUCGGCAGCUAUGCGGGUAAUUUCAUACGGCGUUCCGGCUGACUAUACCGAUGAGUACCUUCGCAUUGGGGAAGACAGUACAAUUGAGUCGGUGCGUAGGUUUGCCAAAAUGAUUGUCCGUGUCUUUGAUCCUGAAUAUCUUUGGGCACCGAACGAGGAAGACACAAAAAAUUGAUGACAUUUAACGAAAGAAGAGGAUGGCUCGCAUGCUAGGAAGCAUAGAUUGUAUGCAUUGGACUUGAAAAAAUUGUCCAAAAGCAUGGCAAGGAAUGUACCGUGGCAAGUCUCGUGAUGCAACAAUUGUGCUAGAGGUCGUACCUUCACAUGAUUUAUGGAAUUGGCCUUGAUUUUUUGGUAUGCCGGGUACUCUAAAUGAUAUAUAUCAAUGUGUUGCAACGGUCUCAUUUGCUUGCUAGGCUUGCUAGUGGUGAUGCUCCAGCUUGCAAAUACACUAUCAAUGGGCAUGAAUACACAAAAGGAUACUAUCUUGCAUAUGGUAUAUACCCUUCUUGGUGCACAUUUGUGAAGAGCAUCAAAGACCCCCAAAGUAGAAAGGAGUCUGAAUUCGCAAGGGCACAAGAGGCAGCCUGAAAAGACAUUGAAAGAGCAUGUGGGGUUUUGCAAUCUAGGUUUGCCAUUGUUCGUGGUCCUGCUCGAUUUUGGGACAAACGAUCCUUAAAAAACAUCAUGACAUGUUGUGUUAUUCUUCAUAAUAUGAUUCUCGAAUAUGAGAGAGGCAUGAACUUGGAGUUCUUCUAUGCAAUGUGGACAGUCGUGUCAAACCAGCUAGAGACCCUAACCGAAUUAGAGCUUUUCUUUAGACCUACAGUGUAAUGACCCAGAUGUAACCCUUGCCUUUUGUGGAACCCUUUCCUAUUUUGGGUCAUGAUGGCAAUGCUAUAAGAGUAUCAUUUCAUGCGGUCAUUUCAUGUCAUCACUUUUGGAUCAUGCCAUUCAUUGCAUUCAUGUUUUCUCCUUUGUGUUGAUGUUGUUGCUUGAUCCUUCAUUAGUGGAGUGUGUUGUGUUUGAUGUGGUGAUGUCUUCAAAACAUUGUUGCUUUCAACUAGGUUUCAAAAACCCCUUCUUCUUUAUUUAUUCGAGCUCAUGUUUAACUUGCUCAAAAUCUAUUUUAGAAAUGUUGUUCAUUUUGUAGUUUUACCUUGUGGAUGAGGGAUACUGUUUUGGGGUUUUUAAAACUUAAAUGAAUGGGAGUUUAAAUACAAAAACAGCAUAGAUUUUCUGUUUUUGCAUUUAAAUUACUUGCUCUAAAAAUCUGGUUUUUAUUUUUUUUAAAUAGGGCAUAAUUCCCUUAUGCCCUGUGUGCUUUAGUUUUUAUUUUUCCAAACACUCUGGAGCACUGGGCUUUUUGCUUUCUGCUUGGUUUAAAUAAAAUAGGAAAAACCCUUGUUUUAUUUUUUUCCUAUCAUGCGCUAGAUAGGAGUGGGCUUCCUUUUCUCUCCCUGGGCCGCCUCCUUUUCUCCCGAGCCAGGCCCACCCGGCGACCCUCUUCUUCCUCCUCGCUGUCGUCACUGUGUACGACGCCACCUCCACCACUGAUCUUCCUCCCCCUUCGAUCUGGUGGCUCCAAGCAUGCCUCCCGAGGUCAUAUAAGGAGCCGGUGCCUCCCUGCGUCUAGGGUUCUAUUUUCCCCUCCUCUUCUCCCUCUAGCGCCGCCAGGAACAUAGCAGAGCAUCCCCAUCGCCAUGGAGACCUCCGGCCCGAGCUCGACGCCGGCGUAGCCUCGACCUCGCCUCCUCCCCGAAGCUGCCGGGAGCAAGAGGACUGAUGUCCCAUAAGCGUAUGGGAUCGCAACAGUUUUCGAGGGUAGAGUAUUCAACCCAAAUUUAUUGAUUCGMCAAGACGGGAAGCGAAAGAAUAUUCUCAAGUAUUAGCAGUUGAAUGUGUCAGAUUCAACCACACCUGAAAGAUUAGUGUCUGCAAGCAAAGUAUCAGUAGCAAGGUAGUAUGAUAGCAACGGUGCCAGAAACGAUCUGUUGACGGCAGACUAUUCCUAACUGUUGUAUCAAUGGCGCUAGCACGUUGACGGGGGAUUAUUCUUUAGAAGAAUGCUUCCCCGGCUACGGCUCCAACAAAGUCUUGCAACAAGUAACAGCGGAGUAGCAAGGAACAGCAGUAGCAGCAUCAACAAAGUAACAAGUAACAGCAGUAGCAAAGUGGCCCAAUCCCUUUGUAGCAAGGGACAAGCCUAGGCAAAGUAACGUAGCGAGGACCAGUAGUAAAAGACUCGUACGCAGUGGAUCGGUGAUGGAUGAGUAUGACGGAUGUGAUUCAUCAUGUAAUAGCUAUAACACGGAGAGAUAUGUAACUAGCUCCCUUUCAUCAAUCUAAUGUAGGCAUGUAUUCCAUAUGUAGUCAUACGUGCUUAGGGAAAAGAACUUGCAUGACAUCUAUUUUCCAUCCCUCCCGUGGCAGCGGGGUCCUAAUGGAAACUACGGGAUAUUAAGGUUCUCCUUUUAAUAAAGAACCGGACCAACGCAUUAACACGCAGUGAAUACAUGAACUCCUCAUACUAUGGUCAUCUCCGGGAGUGGUUCCGGCUAUUGUCACUCCGGGGUUGCCGGGUCAUAACACAUAGUAGGUGACUACAACUUGCAAGAUAGGAUCUAAAACACACAUAUAUUGGCGACAACAUAAUAGGUUAAGAUCUGAAAUCAUGACACUCGGGUCCUAGUGACAAGCAUUAAGCAUUGCCAAGUAGUAGCAACAUCAAUCUAGAACAUAGUGGAUACUAGGGAUCAAUCCCCGUCAAGAACUAACUCGAUUACAUGAUAGAUCUCAUCCAACUCAUCACCUUCCAGCAAGCCUACGAUGAGAUUACUCACGAACGAUGAAGAGCAUCAUGGAAUUGUCGAUGGAGAAAGGUUGAUGAUGACGAUGGCGACGAUUUCCCCUCUCCGGAGCCCGAAACGGACUCCAGAUCUCCUCCAGAUGAAGAACAAGAUGUGGCGGCGCCUCUGUAUCGCAAAACGCGAUGAAACCUUCUCUUUGAUUUUUUCCAGGCGAAACGGAAGAUAUAGAGCUGAGUUUGGGGGCGGUGGUGCCACGUGGGCCCCACAAGCCUGCACGGUGAGGCCUAGGGGGGUGGCCACGACCUGUGGACUUGUGGCCCACUCGCACGCCCCCUCAGGUGGAUUUUUGCGCAUGUAGUUUUCUUUUAUUCCAGAAAAAAUCUCCGUAAAUUUUCAGGACAUUCCGAGAACUUCUAUUUCUGCACAAAAACAACACCAUGGCAAUUCUGCUGAAAACAGCGUCAGUCCGGGUUAGUUCCAUUCAAAACAAGCAAAUUAGAGUCCAAAACAAGGGCAAAAGAGUUCGGAAAAGUAGAUACGACGGAGACGUAUCAAGGACCCAGGAGGGGUUCCAUUUUUGCUCAGAGCGGGAGCAGGGUCUUCUUCCACGACGUCCACGACGGCCGGCGUCCUCGUCAACUCCGGCGGCCUCUCCGUGCAGCAACACGUCGUCGGGCCUUCUUCCUCCACGGCGUCUCCCUCUCCUCGGCACCCUAGGUGACGCGCGGUUCCCUUCUCCUUCGUUUUCCCCUUGUAGCCGAGGCCCCGCCGUCGGUAGCCAUGUCCGCCGGCGAGCUGCUCGUGCAUGCGGUGCGUCUGUAGUGGUAACACCAGGAGUAGUUACAGGUUCAGCAGCNNNNNNNNNNNNNNNNNNNNNNNNNNNNNNNNNNNNNNNNNNNNNNNNNNNNNNNNNNNNNNNNNNNNNNNNNNNNNNNNNNNNNNNNNNNNNNNNNNNNCCUUUUGGGGCAUCGCCCUCAAAAUAGGAAAGGGCCGUAUCUUAGUCGUUACAUACAGGGAGAUUGAAAAUGCAAACACCGAGUGCCAACUUCAGAAGGAUCUCAUUGAGCACCAUUGACAAAGGGCUGGGCAUUAACUCAUUCUAUUUUUCCAUUCAUUUUCAUUUCAUUCAUGUGUGAUUUGUAUACGGGACAAGUUUUGUAUUCAUGUGUGACAUUCAUUUAGUUUGCUACGGUGAUUUGAAUAAUUAUUGUACUUUAGAUGAUUACUGUAUUUGUAAUAUUGGCAUUUUACUUAUAUUGCACAUGAUGAGUAAUUCUAAUUUACGGGGUAUCCGGGUUGUGGGUCGACGCGGUGGCGCCCAAGCAGACCCCGCAUUGACGAUCCGUAUAAUAGCAUCUUCUGUGAAUAUCCUUUUAUACGUAUCCAUUUUGGAGGGUCUACCUCUAUCCACGCCCGCGUCGAUCCGCAAAAACCGUUUUUCAUGAACUGUAAAAUAUUUUUUGCGGAUCGGCAUUAUACGAGGUCUUCUGGAGAUGCUCUUAGCGCAUCCUCAAAGCGAACCCUCAAAGCUUUGGUACACCGUGUCCGAACCAGUUUUGCUAACCUUUAUAAUUUAAUGGGACUUUAAACGUCUGCAGAUUAGUGUGGACCCCGAUUUUUGACAAAUUUAAAACAGAAUUGAGGAAGCUAUGGUGAAGUCGCGACAUGCAAUUGACCAAUAAAAAGCCCCUUCACGGUCCUCCUCUAUUUUCUCUCUAGUCACAUGCAUGACCACCCUCCUCCUCUCAACCGAACACAACAACACAAUAUCCCACUACAUGCAUAGUCCUCUUCUACUCUCUCUCUCUCUCUCUCUUCUUUCAUAUUAGUAAUUAUAAAUAAAAWUAAAACAACUAWUGCUAAAAACUAACUUAKUUGCGGUCGGUUACCGGUUUAGGGGUCUAGUGUUAGGAAAUCGUACCCUUAAGUAAAACGAAAUUAGNNNNNNNNNNNNNNNNNNNNNNNNNNNNNNNNNNNNNNNNNNNNNNNNNNNNNNNNNNNNNNNNNNNNNNNNNNNNNNNNNNNNNNNNNNNNNNNNNNNNCGGGUUUGGGGGGGUUCCGGGGGGGUAGGGGGUCGGGUAGGGGCCGGGAAGGGAAGGGAGGACCGGGACGGGUACGGUACGUUAGUGUAGUGGUGUGGUGUGGUGGUGURGGGGGGGGGGGSGCGGACGGCGCGACCGCACGUUGUGGUGUGGUGACGCACACACUAUGGGGGGUUCGUGCUCUGAUCUGCGGCUUGGAUACGUAAGGGGCUUGCGUUGGCGUGGCCUGGAGCGCAAGCAAGAGCCUGGAAGCGGCGGGGAAAAGGGGGCGAUGCGUAGCGGGGCCGUUGACCUUGGGGCUUGGCGCGCGCCUUCGGUGGUGCCCUCUCUGGUCUGGUGCAGUGGGUGGGCUGGCGCGCGCCGUCUUCCUCCGUGCGGUUUUCUAGAGCGCGUGCGAUGACGGUGACGGUGACGGUGACGGUCAUCCAACACGUGCAUCAAACAUCCGCGAACUGAUGAGAAUGCACCAAUUAACCCGUGGUUAGAUGGAUAGAAAGGCAGUGGUAUUACAGUCCAUCAGGCUUGAAGUCUUGAUACUCGUAUUUCUGAAUUUAUUCGGUAUUUUUUAUGACGCGUAUUUAAUGGAAGAAGACGUGACACUUGCUCUAUACUUUGUUAAAAAAAGAAGAAUUGAUAAGGCGUAUGAAAUCUCACAAACCAAAAACAAAACGAUAGACAAUCCAGAUGUAUCACGUGGACGUCCGACAUCUUUGCCCACAAUAAACCCUCUUUCUCGUUCCGCUUUCGCUAGAAGUAAGAACCAGUAAUAUAUUAUGAUUUCUACGUUUCAAGCCUUUCUUAGCUAUUUUAUUAUUCAACUAACAAUGUUCUUAUUUUCUUGGAUCAUAUGUGUAAGUGCAUCUAGUGCCAUCCUUUGUUGGUUUUGGAGUAUUGAAGACAAGCGUGAUUGAGGGAUUUAAUGUGUUUGUGAGAGUUCACAGGAUAACACGGAUAAAAAUCCAUGAAGAUUUGGUUUAACCAUCGAAGACGACCCCUAAAAAUAUCUGAAGACACUGAAGAUGGUUGAAGGCAACAAUAGGUGCGCGAAGAUAUAUGCAUGAAGCUAAUGAAACGUGAAGACGAAGUCUUUUGGUAGUUCCUUUUUUUCUUUCCUUAGUCAUAUGAACCAAUAUAUUGUUAAGUGGGGUCUAAGUGAUUGAAGUCAGAAUCUGACGUGAUGCUCAACCCAAACACCUAUGUCUUCGAGUGAAUACAAUAAGAAGAAAUCUCUUUCAGAGUUGGUUGAGUCAACAUUGCUUGUACCCCAAGUAAUGUUGCCAUGUGAGUCGUUGAAAUCCGACCACUGUGACAUGUGUCGGUUGGCCAUUGACCCAGGAUAAUUUCGGUCAUAUCAUGUCGGGUUGCCUGUUGGCUAUAAAUAACCCAUCGCCUCCAUCAUAAGUUGGUGGCUACUCAGAGUUAUUAUACAAUUAUUGUCGUUUUGGAGCGUCCCACUUCUAAGACAUUAAGAGCGAGAGCUAUCGUGCAAGGAUAAACCCAAACACCUAGAGCCAGAGUGUUUGGAGCAUCAUCGAAGUCAUUCUGUUCUAAGAGAACUAAAGAUUUAUUACCCUUAAAGACUGUGAUCUUCUAGCCUGUUAGUCGUCGUGGUCUAGAGCAUCCAAGAGUUACUCUGGAUUAUCGGGUGAUCGAGUUUUUGAAGGUUUCAAAAGUCUACCUUGAAGAUUUACCAGAGUGAUUGGGCGAGGUCUAAGAGACCUUGGCUCAAGGGGAAUAAGGUGAAGAUGAGGUCUUUAUAGUUAAAUCUCAGCCUCCCCAACCAGACGUACAGUUGUCACAACAACUGGAACUGGUCCACAAAUCUUGUGUCUUCGUCAAGCAGUUGGUUCUAUCUUUUCACUCCUUUACAUACUAUUUAGUAUUGUGAAGCCAUUGCUUGCUUAUUCUUGUAUGAAGACAUUCACCAAAGACAUUCAUCUGAUUUGCAUUUGUCUUCAUACUGCUCAAGUUUAUCUUUGAUUCACUUUUGUUUGCAUGAUGAAUGUGCCAUACUUGCCUGAAUGUCUCCGUAUCAUUACAUGCAUUGCCUAGCUCCUUGACUGUAAUCCCUAACUGAUCCUAAGUCAUUUUUGCUCACUUCGAAGACAUUUACUGGCUCAACUAGGCUUAGGGUUUUGGUUUGGAACUGGGGAUUUUAAAGCGGCGGGACGAUUUGAGCAAUUUCUUUCUCUUGUAGCUACCUAGGACAACCACUUCUAAGGAAUGGAGCGGGGUAGGUGAAGACAUGCAUGUUCAUGAUCGACAUAAAUUUCCAUCCGUAAAGUUAUGAGCUUUUGAAUAUGGUACAGUGGGAGGAAGUUUCAGCCACAUACAAAGAAGGUUAGCCUAACUCCCGCCGUUAGAAAUCAUUUGUUAUAUUAGGUGUGAUUCAAACACUUGAUUUUUUAUUUUGGAUGUGAUUAAGACACUGCCAUAGUUCUACGACUGUGAGUGCCAUUUUAAUUGAUAUCAAUAGCAAUACAUUAUAAAAGUUGUUUGGAUCACAUGGUAGGAAUUCACAAGAUGACUAUAAAACAUAACAUUUAGAGACUUGGUGCAAAAAACAUUUUUCACAAACUCUUUUAACUUGAAGGCAUAUUGACAGUAAGAAAACUAUAUGCUACAUGAUUUGAGAUGACAUAAAAAUUUACAGCAUGGUAGUAGACACGAUGCACUUCAUUUUAUUCAACAUGAGCAAAGGUGUUAGAGCAUAUUUAUCCAUAUGUGGUUUUGGUAAUUGAUGACAAUCUCUAUUGUCCAUAACGCUUUUGUGUACUAACCCAUGGUCUUCAUGAGAGUUCUAUGUGGGAUUAGGUGUGUUCCCAUGGGUUUGCGUUAAGAGGAAGAUCUCAUUCAACCUAUGAAGGAUGACAUCAAGUGGUGAUCGUCAUCAAUAUUGCGGUGUGCAAGUUCAAGUGGAGCAUCACGAAGAUAUCAUGCUUGAAGCUUGUCGUCCAUUCUGGUGGCAAUGGACUUGUAAGAUGUGCUGAAGAGUGGCUCACCCAUAGUGAGUAUGGGGAGCAAUCAACUAGUCUUCAUCAAACCAACACAAUCGACGAAGGUGGUCCAUCUUGAGGAAGCCAAGAUCAUCGUCAUCUAGCUCAAGAGGACUAGGUGCAAGGUACGGGUUUGCCCUUGAUAGGUUUAUCUAUUUUAGGAUAGAUUACCAUAUGUCAAGGGGGGCUCUUAAGUGAGUAGCUUGAUCGUAUCGUUCGUUGAGAGCUCAAACCAUUUGCAUCCUUGCAUUAUAUUUGUUUGUUCUUGUUUCGUGUUUCUCUUUGUGAGUUUUAGAGCUUAUGGUCAUCUUCAGGACAAGCUCGAGUUCAUCGAAAACGGACUCCAUAUGCAUCUUCUAUGAUGUUUUCGAUGUUGGAAGUUUUUGUCGGUUCUUCAUUCAUAGAGGUCUCACAUCUCUAUAACAUUGGCAUUUUCACAACUGCAUGUUCUUAAGAUUUCCAACAAGCUUGAUAGCUCUUGUCGUCCAGAAUCCACUGUUUUGAUAGCUCUUGUCGUUCUGAAUCCAACAAGCUUGAGUUUGCUCGAUUCGAAGCUCAUAUGCGAAAGUUAUGGCAGUUUUUGUGUCCAGCGGUUGAAAGUGCAUUAUAUCGACUAGAGGGGGGUGAAUAGGAGAUUUUUAGAAUUUCAUCACUGAGGAAAUUCCUUUUGAGGAAAUCCCUCACUGAUGACUAACUUACAGCGGAAACAGUAAAGGAUCAGAAGUGCAAAGUUUCACAACAGCAGUUUUUCAGUGUGAGGAAUGUGAAAACAGAUUGCACAGUGAGCAGGCAUGCAGAAAACAGAUGAGGAUUAACUAGCGUGAAGAAUUUGGGGUUGAGGAAUUUCAGAGAAAGUCUUCAGCAAAUUCUUCAAACAGUCACAGUGAAAGUCAUCAACACAUAAUCUGAGAAAUGUAAAGGGUUGAGGAAUUAGAACCCGUUUCACAGCGAAGACAGUAGUUGAUGACCGAGUUCCAACUGCUGUGACAGUCGUACAUCUGGUUUGGAGUGGCUUGGUAUUGAAACCAAAAGACACACAGUCCCUACCGUAUUCUCCUUGGGCUAAGAACACACAGUCCUCACCCAACACUCGUGGUAAGUCUUCAGGGCAGACUUCCAAACCCUCACAAACUUGGUCACCCGGCGAUCCACAAUUGACUGCUGGAUUGCUCUAGACCAUGAUGCCUAACCGUCUCGAGGAUGCACAGUCCUCAAAGGUAAAAGGCUUCAGUCCCACACAGGAACAACUUCUUCAGUGAUGCUCAAUCACUUGGUUCUAAGUUUGUGGUUUGGUGUUUGGGGUAUUUCCUCACUGAUAAAUUUCUCUCGAAGACUCUGAGGAAUUGGGUUGCUCUUAUGACAAGUGUCAGUUUCUAACGGAGCAGCCAACCAGCUAAUGGUUGUGGGGGCGGCUAUUUAUAGCCUGGGAGCAUCCCGACAUGAUUUGACACUAAUGCCCUUAAAUAAUAUGACCGUUGGUGUGGAUAAGACCAAUGAUGUGGCGUGGCUAUCGAAACGGUCGGAACCCUCAACUGUGAGAGUCCUCAUGUCACUCGUAUUCCUCACUUGAGGCUUUUGGUAGGAUUAGGCUUGGGUUGAGCAUCAUGAGGAAAUUCAUUCCAGAGUGUAACUUCCACCCCCUUUAACAGUAUGGUGUUCCUAUUACUCAAGUGUGAAGAAAAUAAAACAGAAAGAGUAAAUCUUCAUGCUUCAAAGUCUUCAGAAUGAUUUUCUUCAGGACACACCGAAUUCCUCAAUUUCAAUAUCUUCAUGAGGAAUAUCAAUUUCAUCGCGGAUUCUUUGCGAUUCAAUUCUUCAGCUUUAGACCAAUUUCUUCAACCGAAGAUAUACAUUUUUAGGGGUCGAUAUUCCUCAAAUAUUUCAAACUCCUCAGUGACUUAUAGAUCCUGUGUACACUCAUAAACACAUUAGAUACUUAACCUAUAAGUCUUCAAACCACCAAAAUCACUAAGGGGCACUAGAUGCACUUACAGCGGUAGUACCGCUAGUGCCAGCGUUAGUACCGUAGGCACAGUGGUAGUAGUUUUUUAUACUACUCUUUGGCGGUAGUUGAUAGGAAUACCAUGAAUGAUGUUGAAGAGGAUAUUCUUCAUGAGGCCUACACCAUCUUCUUCAUCAUCGUGUCCCUUGAUUGGUGCAAGGACGCUGCAGAGGAUUCUGUAAACAGAUCUUGGUUCAUACUUGAGUUCGUGGACAGGAAGGUUUUUCUCGGUGGUUGCCCUUUAGCCAAAGGCUUCAUGAGGACUUCCAUCAUCCUGUUGGGCAGCUCACGCUCACCAUAAAGCUUCACAACCUCCUCUCAGGGAAUUGAUACUGGCAAUUCACGCAGUAGCUCAGUAGCAGGAGCCUUGUAGUGAGUGUUUUGUGUCAUCCAGUCAAACACCCAGGUGUUAAUGUCUUCAGGAUCGCCAGAUAUGUGAAGAGUGGCAUAAAACUGAAGAAUGAGCUCACUGUUCCAAUCAGAGAUGUCUGAGCACAUUGGUAGCAGUCCAGCUUCAUGAAGAACAUUGAGGACUGGAACCAGGCAUGGAAUUGCUUCAAGUUCAACAUGAGGAAUAUGCUUGUGCUGGAAUAUCUUAUUUCUUCCACACAGCACAGAGGCAUAGUAAUUCAGCUGUGUCCUCGUCCAAAACUUCAGAUGUCUGAUUUGAGGCUUGUCAUAGGGAUUUUCUCCAAUGAAGUACAUGUGUUCUUCAAAGAAGUUCUCCUUUUGAAACUUUGGACGCUUGGAGAAUGGCUGAUGCUGCAUUGGCUGAAGAUUUUGCUGAGGAACUGGAGGGGAGACAACAAUUGCAGUCUCGGGGUUGAGCACGACGAAAGCAUUGUCUUGGUCAAGUGCAUUUUCCUCAACAUUGUCCUCAGGGUGAGGAAUUUCAUCAGCUUGGGCUUCAGGCUGAGGAGCUUGCUCAUGUUGUGCUUCAUGUUGAGGAAUGGGAUCUGGCUGGGCAUCAGGCUGAGGAAUUUCAUCAACUGGAGCAUCCUGUUGAGGGUUCUGCUCCGGAGAAGGAAUAGGUUCAUUCUGAGCCUCAGUGUGUAGAUCUUGUUCAGGUGGAGGAGUUGGUCAGCCUGUUCCUCAUCUUGAGGAUUUUUCUCAGGACUUUGAAUUUCAUCAGCUUGAGGAAUUUCACUUUGCUCUUCCUCAGCUUGCGUGGUGACAGAGACAGUUUCAUCAGCUGGUGCAGCUGAUCCUUGUACAGUGUCUUCCUGAGGAAUGGAGUGCUGAGGACUGUCGUCAAUACGAAUUUCUUCGUCAGUAUGUUCCUCAGAUGCAGCAUCCUUCAUUUCCUCAUCUGGCCCUUUCUCUUGGUCUUCAAAGGUGACCAUUUCAUAAGAUGGAGCGACGUUGAGGGGCACAGGGUCCAGUGGAGCAUUAUCUUCAAGCGCUUUGAGGCGCUUGGCCUCAGUGUUUUCUUCUGCUGAGGAGGCCUUUCUCUUUUUGGCUUCCUUCUCCGCGGCCCUCGUCUUCUUCACGUCUGAUGCAGACGGAGUCAUCUUCUACACCUUUGAAGCUUUUGGUGAAGGGGUUCUCUUGACAAAUUCAUCAGCUGGCUUUGAGGAACCAGCUGGAGUAGAGUCAUCAGCUUGCUUUGAUGCAGCAGCUGGAUCAGGGGCAGUCUCACCAGCUGUAGUAGAUUCAUCAGCUGGAUUUUCCAUGGUGAUUUCUUCAAUAGCCGGUACAUCCACACGGCUUUCUUGGGGUAUUUCCUUAGCUUGAGGAGUUUCAUCAGCUUGAGGAGAUUCAUAGGCUGGCUCUUCAAUCAGAGGCUGAGGAGUUGGUACUAGAGGGGCAGCCUUCUUGUUGUAGUCGUCAACAACUUUAGUGGCAAAUUUGAUGAAACUGCUUUUGAGACUCUGACGACCAGAUAGCUUGGAGUACUUAUCUGUCAAAGUCUUCAACUCGGCCUGUGUUGACACCAGUGCAUCAGGCGUCAAGUUGAGGAGAUUCUGCUUGAGGAAUUUCUCCUUUUUGAGCUUAGCAACCUUGGCCUGCUUGGCUUGCUGCUCCUUCCACUUGGCCUCAUUGAUGAAUGUGGCCACCAUGUGGCUGAUGCCAGGGGAAGUUUCAAAUCAUCAAGCGGAGUGUUAGGGUCCUCAUACCAGAUGUUUAUGUAGUCUAGGAGGACCUUGGGGUCCAUGGCCAGAGGAAUGGCGCUACCAGAAGCUUGAGCUACCCUCUCCUGCUUGUUUCUGAUUAUAGCUUGCAGGGUUUCAUCAUCAUAUUCAUCACUACCCUCUGAUGCAGACGGGACUGUGAUGAUUUUACUGGGGCUUGGUUGUGUUCCUCUUUCAGCAGACACCUGAGUCUUCAUAGGAGGUGGUGCAGACUUUGUCUCCGAGCUGGUUGCAGUUGGGAGUGAGGACCUGGAGGUAGCGGGCAGUGGCUUCAUGACCGGCUUCAGUUCUGGUUUUGAAACCUGUGGUGGUGCUGAGGAUUUUGGCGCUGAGGGUUUUGUAACUGUUGCCUGAGAUGGUUUCUCUUGAGGCUUUGGAGCCUUUGGUUUUGACGGCACAGACUUUGGUUGAGGAAUUGCUGAACCAGAGGUCUCAGCGGCAGAGGAAGUAGUUGCAGUUGAAGCAGUAGCUGAGGAUUCAUUGAAUUUCCUCACCGCAGCAUCUGCCUGCUUCUUAAUCUUAGCCAAGUGCUUGUCCUUUUCAUCAGGAUAGUCAUCAAGGGUCUUGAGGCUUGAGGGAUGUGCUACUUGAUGAGCCUCAAGUGGAGCCCGUUUGCCAGGAGGCUUCAGAGCGAAUUUCUUCGCAUACUUGGCAGUGACGAAUAUGUAUUCCUUCCACUCCUUUGCCCAUAGGCGUUCUAUCUUCUGAAGCCGAAUCUUUCUCUUUGCCAUUGUUUCAGAUUCAUCAGGUGUGCAAUAGUCUAAGUAAAUAUCCUCAGGGAUAUCCAAGGCUGUAUUCUGCUCAAGUUUCUUGCCUCCCUUUUGUUUCCUGUCAUCCUCCAUUUUCUUCAGCUGAGGAUUUUGCUGAUGAUAUUGAACUCUUGAGGAUUCUAAUGAGACUUGAAGAUUUUCUUCAAGAAACGCUGCAAAUGAGUUAAUGUGAUGAGAACCGAGAGAUUCAUCAGCUGACAUGUGUGUACCUGUGAACAAAGUAUAGUUGCGAGGAAUUUGGAGAGGUCAUAUGCUUUCUCAGAUUUGAAGAAAAUGAAAAAGUUUGACACUUGAGGAAUUUAAUGUUGGGGAACGUCGCAUGGGAAACAAAAAUUUUCCUACGCGCACGAAGACCUAUCAUGGUGAUGUCCAUCUACGAGAGGGGAUGAGUGAUCUACGUACCCUUGUAGACCGUACAGCAGAAGCGUUAGUGAACGCGGUUGAUUUAGUGGAACGUCCUCACGUCCUUCGAUCCGCCCCGCGAACAAUCCCGCGAUCAGUCCCACGAUCUAGUACCGAACGGACAGCACCUCCGCGUUCAGCACACGUACAGCUCGACGAUGAUCUCGGCCUUCUUGAUCCAACAAGAGAGACGGAGAGGUAGAAGAAUUCUCCGGCAGCAUGACGGCGCUCCGGAGGUUGGUGAUGACCUUGUCUCGGCAGGGCUCUGCCCGAGCUCCGCAGAAACGCGAUCUAGAGGAAAAACCGUGGAGGUAUGUGGUCGAGCUGCCGUGGAAAAGUCGUCUCAAAUCAGCCCUAAAACCUCCGUAUAUAUAGAAGGGAGAGGGGGGGCCUUGCCUUGGGGCUCAAGGAGCCCCAAGGGGGUCGGCCGAGCCAAGGGGGGAAGGUCUCCCCCCCUAAACCGAGUUGGACUUGGUUUGGUGGGUGGGAGUCCUUCCUUCCCUUCCCACCUCCUUCUUUUUUUUCUUUCUCUUUGAUUUUUCUUCCAAUGCGCAUAGGGCCCUUUUGGGCUGUCCCACCAGCCCACUAAGGGCUGGUGCGCCACCCUCAAGGCCUAUGGGCUUCCCCGGGGUGGGUUGCCCCCCCCGGUGAACUCCCGGAACCCAUUCGUCAUUCCCGGUACAUUCCCGGUAACUCCGAAAACCUUCCGGUAAUCAAAUGAGGUCAUCCUAUAUAUCAAUCUUCGUUUCCGGACCAUUCCGGAAACCCUCGUGACGUCCGUGAUCUCAUCCGGGACUCCGAACAACAUUCGGUAACCAACCAUAUAACUCAAAUACGCAUAAAACAACGUCGAACCUUAAUUGUGCAGACCCUGCGGGUUCGAGAACUAUGUAUACAUGACCCGAGAGACUUCUCGGUCAAUAUCCAAUAGCGGGACCUGGAUGCCCAUAUUGGAUCCUACAUAUUCUACGAAGAUCUCAUCGUUUGAACCUCAGUGCCAAGGAUUCAUAUAAUCCCGUAUGUCAUUCCCUUUGUCCUUCGGUAUGUUACUUGCCCGAGAUUCGAUCGUCAGUAUCCGUAUACCUAUUUCAAUUUCGUUUACCGACAAGUCUCUUUACUCGUUCCGUAAUACAAGAUCGCGCAACUUACACUAAGUCACAUUGCUUGCAAGGCUUGUGUGUGAUGUUGUAUUACCGAGUAGGCCCCGAGAUACCUCUCCGUCACAUGGAGUGACAAAUCCCAGUCUUGAUCCAUACUAACUCAACGAACACCUUCGGAGAUACCUGUAGAGCAUCUUUAUAGUCACCCAGUUACGUUGCGACGUUUGAUACACACAAAGCAUUCCUCCGGUGUAAGUGAGUUAUAUGAUCUCAUGGUCAUAGGAACAAAUACUUGACACGCAGAAAACAGUAGCAACAAAAUGACACGAUCAACAUGCUACGUCUAUUAGUUUGGGUCUAGUCCAUCACGUGAUUCUCCUAAUGACGUGAUCCAGUUAUCAAGCAACAACACCUUGUUCAUAAUCAGAAGACACUGACUAUCUUUGAUCAACUGGCUAGCCAACUAGAGGCUUGCUAGGGACAGUGUUUUGUCUAUGUAUCCACACAUGUAAAUGAGUCUUCAUUCAAUACAAUUAUAGCAUGGAUAAUAAACGAUUAUCUUGAUACAGGAAUUAUAAUAAUAACUAUAUUUAUUAUUGCCUCUAGGGCAUAAUUCCAACAGUCUCCCACUUGCACUAGAGUCAAUAAUCUAGCCCUCACAUCAUCAUGCGAAUUACAUUGUAAUAAAUCUAACACCCAUACAGUUCUGGUGUUGAUCAUGCUUAGCCCGUGGAAGAGGUUUAGUCAGCGGGUCUGCUACAUUCAGAUCUGUGUGCACUUUGCAUAUAUUUACGUCCUCCCCUUUGACGUAGUCGCGGAUGAGGUCGAAGCGUCGUUUGAUGUGUCUGGACUUCUUGUGAAACCGUGGUUCCUUUGCUAAGGCAAUGGCACCCGUGUUGUCACAGAACAAGGUUAUUGGAUUCAAUGCGCUCGGCACCACUCCAAGAUCCGUCAUGAAUUGCUUCAUCCAGACACCCUCCUUAGCCGCCUCCGAGGCAGCCAUGUACUCCGCUUCACAUGUAGAAUCUGCUACGACGCUUUGCUUGGAACUGCACCAGCUUACCGCACCCCCAUUAAGAAUAAAUACGUAUCCGGUUUGCGACUUAGAGUCGUCCGGAUCUGUGUCAAAGCUUGCAUCGACGUAACCUUUUACGGCGAGCUCUUCGUCACCUCCAUACACGAGAAACAUCUCCUUAGUCCUUUUCAGGUACUUCAGGAUAUUCUUGACCGCUGUCCAGUGAUCCACUCCUGGAUUACUCUGGAACCUACCUGCCAUACUUAUGGCCAGGCUAACGUCCGGUCUAGUGCACAGCAUUGCAUACAUGAUAGAACCUAUGGAUGAAGCAUAGGGGACGGAGCGCAUAUGCUCUCUAUCUUCAUCAGUUGCUGGGCACUAAGUCUUACUCAAUCUCGUACCUUGUAAAACUGGCAAGAACCCUUUCUUGGACUGUUCCAUUUUGAACCUCUUCAAAACUUUAUCAAGGUAUGUGCUUUGUGAAAGUCCUAUCAGGCGUUUUGAUCUAUCCCUAUAGAUCUUAAUGCCUAGAAUGUAAGCAGCUUCUCCUAGGUCCUUCAUAGAGAAACUUUUAUUCAAGUAAUCCUUUAUGCUCUCCAAAAACUCCACGUUAUUUCCAAUCAGCAAUAUGUCAUCCACAUAUAAUAUUAGAAACGCCACAGAGCUCCCACUCACUUUCUUGUAAAUACAAGAUUCUCCAACCACUUGUAUAAACCCAAAUGCUUUGAUCACCUCAUCAAAGCGUUUGUUCCAACUCCGAGAUGCUUGCACCAGUCCAUAAAUGGAUUGCUGGAGCUUGCACACCUUGUUAGCAUUCUUAGGAUUGACAAAACCUUCGGGUUGCAUCAUAUACAAUUCUUCCUUAAGGAAACCGUUAAGGAACGCCGUUUUGACAUCCAUCUGCCAGAUUUCAUAAUCGAAAAAUGCAGCUAUUGCUAACAUGAUUCUGACGGACUUAAGCAUCGCUACGGGUGAGAAUGUCUCAUCGUAGUCAACUCCUUGAACUUGUGAAAAACCCUUUGCCACAAGUCGAGCUUUAUAAACGGUCACAUUGCCGUCAGCGUCUGUUUUCCUCUUAAAGAUCCAUUUGUUCUGAAUAGCCUUGCGGCCCUCAGGCAGUACCUCCAAAGUCCACACUUUGUUCUCAUACAUGGAUCCUAUCUCGAACUUCAUGGCUUCUAGCCAUUUGUUGGAAUCUGGGCCCACCAUUGCUUCUUCAUAAUUUGCAGGUUCAUUGUUGUCCAACAACAUGAUUGACAAGACGGGAUUACCGUACCACUCUAGAGCAGCACGUGGUCUCGUCGACCUGCGUGGUUCGACAGAAACUUGAACCGGAGUUUCAUGAUCAUCAUCAUUAACUUCCUCCUCAACCGGCGUCGCAACGACAGAGGUUUCCCCUUGCCCUGCGCCACCAUCCAGAGGGAUGAGAGGUUCGAUAACCUCAUCAAGCUCUAUCUUCCUCCCACUCAAUUCUCUCGAGAGAAACUCCUUCUCGAGAAAAGCUCUGUUUUUAGCAACAAACACUUUGCCCUCGGAUUUGAGAUAGAAGGUGUACCCAACUGUCUCUUUUGGGUAACCUAUGAAGACGCACUUUUCCGCUUUGGGUUCCAGCUUUUCAGGCUGAAGCUUUUUGACAUAAGCAUCACAUCCCCAAACUUUAAGAAACGACAACUUUGGCCUUUUGCCAUACCACAGUUCGUAUGGUGUCGUCUCAACGGAUUUUGAUGGUGCCCUAUUUAAAGUGAAUGCAGCUGUUUCUAAUGCAUAACCCCAAAACGAUAACGGCAAAUCGGUAAGAGACAUUAUAGAUCGAACCAUCUCUAAUAAAGUACGAUUAUGACGUUCGAACACACCAUUACGCUGUGGUGUUCCAGGCGGUGUCAACUGUGAAACAAUUCCACAUUUUCUUAAGUGAGCACCAAACUCGAAACUCAGAUAUUCACCUGUUGGAGAACGUCGCACGGGAAACAAAAAUUUUCCUACGCGCACGAAGACCUAUCAUGGUGAUGUCCAUCUAUGAGAGGGGAUGAAUGAUCUAUGUACCCUUGUAGACCGUACAGCAGAAGCGUUAGAGAACGCGGUUGAUGUAGUGGAACGUCCUCACGUCCCUCGAUCCGCCCCGCGAACAAUCCUGCGAUCAGUCCCACGAUCUAGUACCGAACGGACGGCACCUCCGCGUUCAGCACACGUACAGCUCGACGAUGAUCUCGGCCUUCUUGAUCCAGCAAGAGAGACGGAGAGGUAGAAGAGUUCUCCGGCAGCGUGACGGCGCUCCGAAGGUUGGUGAUGACCUUGUCUCAGCAGGGCUCCGCCCGAGCUCCGCAGAAACGCGAUCUAGAGGAAAAAUCGUGGAGGUAUGUGGUCGGGCUGCCGUGGAAAAGUCGUCUCAAAUCAGCCCUAAAACCUCCAUAUAUAUAGGUGGGAGGGAGGGGACCUUGCCUUGGGGCUCAAGGAGCCCCAAGGGGGUCGGCCGAGUCCAAGGGGGGAGGACUCCCCCCCAAACCGAGUUGGACUUGGUUUGGUGGGAGGGAGUCCCCCUUCCUUCCCACCUCCUCCUUUUUUUUUCUUUCUCUUCGAUUUUUAUCUCUAUGGCGCAUAGGGCACUUGUGGACUGUCCCACCAGCCCACUAAGGGCUGGUGUGCCUCCCUCAAGGCCUAUGGGCUUCCCCGGGGUGGGUUGCCCCCCCCGGUGAACUCCCGGAACCCAUUCGUCAUUCCCGGCACAUUCCCGGUAACUCCAAAAACCUUCCGGUAAUCAAAUGAGGUCAUCCUAUAUAUCAAUCUUCGUUUUCGGACCAUUUCGGAAACCCUCGUGACGUCCGUGAUCUCAUCUGGGACUCCGAACAACAUUCGGUAACCAACCAUAUAACUCAAAUACGCAUAAAACAACGUCGAACCUUAAGUGUGCAGACCCUGCGGGUUCGAGAACUAUGUAGACAUGACCCGAGAGACUCCUCGGUCAAUAUCCAAUAGCGGGACCUGGAUGCCCAUAUUGGAUCCUACAUAUUCUACGAAGAUCUUAUCGUUUGAACCUCAGUGCCAAGGAUUCAUAUAAUCCCGUAUGUCAUUCCCUUUGUCCUUCGGUAUGUUACUUGCCCGAGAUUCGAUCGUCAGUAUCCGUAUACCUAUUUCAAUCUCGUUUACCGGCAAGUCUCUUUACUCGUUCCGUAAUACAAGAUCCCGCAACUUACACUAAGUUACAUUGCUUGCAAGGCUUGUGUGUGAUGUUGUAUUACCGAGUGGGCCCUGAGAUACCUCUCCGUCACACGGAGUGACAAAUCCCAGUCUUGAUCCAUACUAACUCAACUAACACCUUCGGAGAUACCUGUAGAGCAUAUUUAUAGUCACCCAGUUACGUUGCGACGUUUGAUACACACAAAGUAUUCCUCCGGUGUCAGUGAGUUAUAUGAUCUCAUGGUCAUAGGAAUAAAUACUUGACACGCAGAAAACAGUAGCAACAAAAUGACACGAUCAACAUGCUACGUCUAUUAGUUUGGGUCUAGUCCAUCACGUGAUUCUCCUAAUGACGUGAUCCAGUUAUCAAGCAACAACACCUUGUUCAUAAUCAGAAGACACUGACUAUCAUAGAUCAACUGGCUAGCCAACUAGAGGCAUGCUAGGGACGGUGUUUUGUCUAUGUAUCCACACAUGUAAAUGAGUCUUCAUUCAAUACAAUUAUAGCAUGGAUAAUAAACGAUUAUCUUGAUACAGGAAUUAUAAUAAUAACUAUAUUUAUCAUUGCCUCUAGGGCAUAAUUCCAACAGUCUCCCACUUGCACUAGAGUCAAUAAUCUAGCCCUCACAUCACUAUGUGAAUUACAUUGUAAUAAAUCUAACACCCAUACAGUUCUGGUGUCGAUCAUGUUUUGGCCGUGGAAGAGGUUUAGUCAGCGGGUCUGCUACAUUCAGAUCCGUGUGCACUUUGCAUAUAUUUACGUCCUCUUCCUCGACGUAGUCGCGGAUGAGGUUGAAGCGUCGUUUGAUGUGUCUGGUCUUCUUGUGAAACCGUGGUUCCUUUGCUAAGGCAAUGGCACCCGUGUUGUCAGAGAACAAGGUUAUUGGAUCCAGUGCGCUUGGCACCACUCCAAGAUCCGUCAUGAACUGCUUCAUCCAGACACCCUCCUUAGCCGCCUCCGAGGCAGCCAUGUACUCCGCUUCACAUGUAGAAUCUGCUACGACGCUUUGCUUGGAACUGCACCAGCUUACCGCACCCCCAUUAAGAAUAAAUACGUAUCCGGUUUGCGACUUAGAGUCGUCCGGAUCUGUGUCAAAGCUUGCAUCGACGUAACCUUUUACGGCGAGCUCUUCGUCACCUCCAUACACGAGAAACAUCUCCUUAGUCCUUUUCAGGUACUUCAGGAUAUUCUUGACCGCUGUCCGGUGAUCCACUGCUGGAUUACUCUGGAACCUACCUGUCAUACUUAUGGCCAGGCUAACAUCCGGUCUAGUGCACAGCAUUGCAUACAUGAUAGAACCUAUGGCUGAAGCAUAGGGGACGGAGCGCAUAUGCUCUCUAUCUUCAUCAGUUGCUGGGCACUGAGUCUUACUCAAUCUCGUACCUUGCAGAACUGGCAAGAACCCUUUCUUGGACUGUUCCAUUUUGAACCUCUUCAAAACUUUAUCAAGGUAUGUGCUUUGUGAAAGUCCUAUCAGGCGUUUUGAUCUAUCCCUAUAGAUCUUAAUGCCUAGAAUGUAAGCAGCUUCUCCUAGGUCCUUCAUAGAGAAACUUUUAUUCAAGUAACCUUUUAUGCUCUCCAAUAACUCUACGUUAUUUCCAAUCAGCAAUAUGUCAUCCACAUAUAAUAUUAGAAACGCCACAGAGCUCCCACUCACUUUCUUGUAAAUACAAGAUUCUCCAACCACUUGUAUAAACCCAAAUGCUUUGAUCACCUCAUCAAAGCGUUUGUUCCAAAUCCGAGAUGCUUGCACCAGUCCGUAAAUAGGAUCGCUGGAGCUUGCACACUUUGUUAGCAUUCUUAGGAUCGACAAAACCUUCGGGUUGCAUCAUAUACAACUCUUCCUUAAGGAAACCGUUAAGGAACGCCGUUUUGACAUCCAUUUGCCAGAUUUCAUAAUCGAAAAAUGCAGCUAUUGCUAACAUGAUUCUGACGGACUUAAGCAUCGCUAGGGUGAGAAUGUCUCAUCGUAGUCAACUCCUUGAACAUGUGAAAAACCCUUUGCCACAAGUCGAGCUUUAUAAACGGUCACAUUGCCGUCAGCGUCUGUUUUCCUCUUAAAGAUCUAUUUGUUCUGAAUAGCCUUGCGGCCCUCAGGAAGUACCUCCAAAGUCCACACUUUGUUCUCAUACAUGGAUCCUAUCUCAGACUUCAUGGCUUCUAGCCAUUUGUUGGAAUCUGGGCCCACCAUUGCUUCUUCAUAAUUUGCAGGUUCAUUGUUGUCUAACAACAUGAUUGAUAAGACGGGAUUACCGUACCACUCUGGAGCAGCACGUGAUCUCGUCGACCUGCGUGGUUCAACAAAAACUUGAACUGGAGUUUCAUGAUCAUCGUCAUUAACUUCCUCCUCAACCGGCGUCGCAACGACAGAGGUUUCCCCUUGCCCUGCGCCACCAUCCAGAGGGAUGAGAGGUUCGACAACCUCGUCAAGUUCUAUCUUCCUCCCACUCAAUUCUCUCGAGAGAAACUCCUUCUCGAGAAAAGCUCUGUUUUUAGCAACAAACACUUUGCCCUCGGAUUUGAGAUAGAAGGUGUACCCAACUGUCUCUUUUGGGUAACCUAUGAAGACGCACUUUUCCGCUUUGGGUUCCAGCUUUUCAGGCUGAAGCUUUUUGACAUAAGCAUCACAUCCUCAAACUUUAAGAAACGACAACUUUGGCCUUUUGCCAUACCACAGUUCGUAUGGUGUCGUCUCAACGGAUUUUGAUGGUGCCCUAUUUAAAGUGAAUGCAGCUGUUUCUAAUGCAUAACCCCAAAAUGAUAACGACAAAUCAGUAAGAGACAUCAUAGAUCGCACCAUCUCUAAUAAAGUAUGAUUACGACGUUCGGACACACCAUUACGCUGUGGUGUUCCAGGCGGUGUUAACUAUGAAACAAUUCCACAUUUUCUUAAGUGAUCACCAAACUCGAAACUCAGAUAUUCACCCCCACGAUCAGACCGUAGGAACUUGAUCUUCUUGUUACGAUGAUUUUCAACUUCACUCUGAAAUUGCUUGAACUUUUCAAAUGUUUCAGACUUGUGCUUCAUCAAGUAGACAUAACCAUAUCUACUCAAAUCGUCAGUGAAGGUGAGAAAAUAACGAUAUCCGCCGCGUGCCUCCACGCUCAUCGGACCACACACAUCGGUAUGUAUGAUUUCCAACAAGUCACUUGCAUGCUCCAUUGUUCCGGAGAACGGAGUCUUAGUCAUCUUGCCCAUGAGGCAUGGUUUGCACGUGUCAAGUGAAUCAAAGUCAAGUGACUCCAAAAGUCCAUCGGCAUGGAGUUUCUUCAUGCGCUUUACACCAAUAUGACCUAAGCGGCAGUGCCACAAAAAUGUGGCGCUAUCAUUGUUAACUCUAACUCUUUUGGUCUCAAUGUUAUGUAUGUGUGUAUCGCUAUCAAGAUUCAAUAUGAACAAUCAUCUCACAUUGGGUGCAUGACCAUAAAAGAUGUUACUCAUAGAAAUAGAACAACCAUUAUUCUGUGACUUAAAAGAGUAACCGUCUCGCAAUAAACAAGAUCCAGAUAUAAUGUUCAUGCUCAACACAGGCACUAAAUAACAAUGAUUCAAGUUCAUAACUAAUCCUGAUGGUAACUGAAGUGAAACUGUGCCGACGGCGAUUGCAUCAACCUUGGAACCAUUUCCUACGCGCAUCGUCACUUCAUCUUUCGCCAGCCUUCGUCUAUUCCGCAGUUCCUGUUUCGAGUUGCAAAUAUGAGCAACAGAACCGGUAUCGAAUACCAAUGCACUACUACGAGAGCCGGUUAAGUACACAUCAAUAACAUGUAUAUCAAAUAUACCUGAUUUUUCUUUGCCCGCCUUCUUAUCUGCCAGAUACUUGGGGCAAUUGCGCUUCCAGUGACCCAUACCCUUGCAAUAGUAACACUCCGUUUCAGGCUUAGGUCCAGCUUUGGGUUUCUUCGUCGGAUUGGCAACAGGCUUGCCGCUCUUCUUUGAAUUACCCUUCUUGCCUUUGCCGUUUCUCUUGAAACUAGUGGUCUUAUUCAUCAUCAACACUUGAUGCUCUUUACGGAGUUCAGACUCUGCGACUUUCAGCAUCGCAAACAACUCGCCAGGAGACUUGUUCAUCCCUUGCAUGUUGUAGUUCAACACAAAGCCUUUAUAGCUUGGCGGCAGUGAUUGAAGGAUUCUAUCAGUGAUAGCCUCUUGCGGGAGUUCAAUCCCCAGCUCAGCUAGACGGUUUGAGUACCCAGACAUUUUGAGCACAUGUUCACUGACAGACGAGUUCUCCUCCAUCUUGCAAGCAUAGAAUUUAUCGGAGGUCUCAUACCUCUCGAUCCGGGCGUUCUUCUGAAAGAUAAACUUCAACUCCUGGAACAUCUCAAAUGCUCUAUGACGCUCAAAGCGACGUUGAAGUCCCGGUUCUAAGCCAUACAAGACUGCACAUUGAACUACUGAGUAGUCCUGCUUACGUGAUAACCAAGUGUUCUUAACAUCCUGAUCAGCCGUAGCGGGUGGUUCAUCUCCUAGCGCAGCAUUAAGAACAUAAUCCUUCUUCCCAGCUUGUAAGAUUAGCUUAAGAUUACGAGCCCAGUCUACAAAGUUGCUUCCAUCAUCUUUCAACUUAGCUUUCUCUAGGAACGUAUUAAAAUUCAGGGUGACUAUCACGUGAGCCAUGAUCUACAACACAAAUAUAUUCAAAGUGGACUUAGACUAUGUUCAAGAUAAUUAGAGUUUAACUUAAUCAAAUUAUUCGCUAAACUCCCACUCAAAAAGUACAUCUCUCUAGUCAUUUGAGUGGUUCAUGAUCCACUUACACUAGCUCAAGUCCGAUCAUCACGUGAGUUGAGCAUAGUUUUAGUGGUAAGCAUCCCUAUGCUAAUCAUAUCAUCUAUAUGAUUCAUGAUCGACCUUUCGGUCUCAUGUGUUCCGAGGCCAUGUCUGCACAUGCUAGGCUCGUCAAGCUUAACCCGAGUGUUCCGCGUGCGCAACUGUUUUGCACCCGUUGUAUGUGAACGUUGAGUCUAUCACACCCGAUCAUCACGUGGUGUCUCGAAACGACGAACUGUAGCAACGGUGCACAGUCGGGGAGAACACAAUUUCGUCUUGAAAUUUUAGUGAGAGAUCACCUCAUAAUGCUACCGUCGUUCUAAGCAAAAUAAGGUGCAUAAAAGGAUUAACAUCGCAUGCAAUUCAUAAGUGACAUGAUAUGGCCAUCAUCACGUGCUCCUUGAUCUCCAUCACCAAAGCACCGGCACGAUCUUCUUGUCACCGGCGCCACACCAUGAUCUCCAUCAAUGUGUCGCCAUCGGGGUUGUCGUGCUACUCAUGCUAUUACUACUAAAGCUACAUCCUAGCAAAAUAGUAAACGCAUCUGCAAGCACAAACGUUAGUAUAAAGACAACCCUAUGGCUCCUGCCGGUUGCCGUACCAGACGUGCAAGUCGAUAUUAUCUAUUACAACAUGAUCAUCUCAUACAUCCAAUAUAUCACAUCACAUCGUUGGCCAUAUCACAUCACAAGCAUACCCUGCAAAAACAAGUUAGACGUCCUCUAAUUUUGUUGUUGCAUGUUUUACGUGGUGACCAUGGGUAUCUAGUAGGAUCGCAUCUUACUUACGCAAACACCACAACGGAGAUAUAUGAGUUGCUAUUUAACCUCAUCCAAGGACCUCCUCUGUCAAAUCCGAUUCAACUAAAGUUGGAGAAACCGACACUUGCCAGUCAUCUUUGAGCAACGGGGUUACUCGUAGCGAUGAAACCAGUCUCUCGUAAGCGUACGAGUAAUGCCGGUCCAAGCCGCUUCAAUCCAACAAUACCGCGGAAUCAAGAAAAGACUAAGGAGGGCAGCAAAAUGCACAUCACCGCCCACAAAAACUUUUGUGUUCUACUCGAGAAGACAUCUACGCAUGAACCUAGCUCUGAUACCACUGUUGGGGAACGUCGCAUGGGAAACAAAAAUUUUCCUACGCGCACGAAGACCUAUCAUGGUGAUGUCCAUCUACGAGAGGGGAUGAGUGAUCUACGUACCCUUGUAGACCGUACAGCAGAAGCGUUAGUGAACACGGUUGAUGUAGUGGAACGUCCUCACGUCCCUCGAUCCGCCCCGCGAACAAUCCCGCGAUCAGUCCCACAAUCUAGUACCGAACGGACGGCACCUCCGCGUUCAACACACGUACAGCUCGACGAUGAUCUCGGCCUUCUUGAUCCAGCAAGAGAGACGGAGAGGUGGAAGAGUUAUCCGGCAGCGUGACGGCGCUCCGGAGGUUGGUGAUGACCUUGUCUCAGCAGGGCUCCGCCCGAGCUCCGCAGAAACACGAUCUAGAGGAAAACCCGUGGAGGUAUGUGGUCGGGCUGCCGUGGAAAAGUCGUCUCAAAUCAGCCCUAAAACCUCCGUAUAUAUAGGUGGGAGAGGGGAGGGGGGGCUUGCCUUGGGGCUCAAGGAGCCCCAAGGGGGUCGGCCGAGCCAAGGGGGGAAGGUCUCCCCACCCCAAACCGAGUUGGACUUGGUUUGGUGGGUGGGAGUCCUUCCUUCCCUUCCCACCUCCUUCUUUUUUUUCUUUCUCUUUGAUUUUUCUUCCAAUGCGCAUAGGGCCCUUUUGGGCUGUCCCACCAGCCCACUAAGGGCUGGUGCACCACCCUCAAGGCCUAUGGGCUUCCCCGGGGUGGGUUCGCCCCCCCCGGUGAACUCCCGGAACCCAUUCGUCAUUCCCGGUACAUUCCCGGUAACUCCGAAAACUUUUCAGUAAUCAAAUGAGGUCAUCCUAUAUAUCAAUCUUCGUUUCCGGACCAUUCCGGAAACCCUCAUGAUGUCCGUGAUCUCAUCUGGGACUCCGAACAACAUUCGGUAACCAACCAUAUAACUCAAAUACGCAUAAAACAACGUCGAACCUUAAGUGUGCAGACCCUGCGGGUUCGAGAACUAUGUAGACAUGACCCGAGAGACUCCUCGGUCAAUAUCCAAUAGCGGGACCUGGAUGCCCAUAUUGGAUCCUACAUAUUCUACGAAGAUCUUAUCGUUUGAACCUCAGUGUCAAGGAUUCAUAUAAUCUCGUAUGUCAUUCCCUUUGUCCUUCGGUAUGUUACUUGCCCGAGAUUCGAUCGUCAGUAUCCGCAUACCUAUUUCAAUCUCGUUUACCGGCAAGUCUCUUUACUCGUUCCGUAAUACAAGAUCCCGCAACUUACACUAAGUCACAUUGCUUGCAAGGCUUAUGUGUGAUGUUGUAUUACCGAGUGGGCCCCGAGAUACCUGUUCGUCACACGGAGUGACAAAUCCCAGUCUUGAUCCAUACUAACUCAACGAACACCUUCGGAGAUACCUGUAGAGCAUCUUUAUAGUCACCCAGUUACGUUGCGACGUUUGAUACACACAAAGUAUUCCUCCGGUGUUAGUGAGUUAUAUGAUCUCAUGGUCAUAGGAACAAAUACUUGACACGCAGAAAACAGUAGCAACAAAAUGACACGAUCAACAUGCCACGUCUAUUAGUUUGGGUCUAGUCCAUCACGUGAUUCUCCUAAUGACGUGAUCCAGUUAUCAAGCAACAACACCUUGUUCAUAAUCAGAAGACACUGACUAUCUUUGAUCAACUGGCUAGCCAACUAGAGGCUUGCUAGGGACAGUGUUUUGUCUAUGUAUCCACACAUGUAAAUGAGUCUUCAUUCAAUACAAUUAUAGCAUGGAUAAUAAACGAUUAUCUUGAUACAGNNNNNNNNNNNNNNNNNNNNNNNNNNNNNNNNNNNNNNNNNNNNNNNNNNNNNNNNNNNNNNNNNNNNNNNNNNNNNNNNNNNNNNNNNNNNNNNNNNNNGAACCCCAACCCUACNCCSACCACCACCACACCACACCACACGCACGCGUCGGCGCCGCGCCCCCCCCCACCCCCCCCACCACACACACACAUCAUAAAGCUCCUCCCGGUCUCUCUCCGCCCAUCCACCCCGCCCCCAAAACAAUCGCGCCCGUGAGUCGUGGCUGCUGCUACCAAUCUGCCCAGCAGAGCCGGCUCUCGACACGCUCGCUCGCGCCGCGUUCGUUGCAUGCGCCGGGCCGCCGCCGCCACCAGCAGGGUCAGGAUCCACAUGGCGGCGGAGGAGGUCAGGCAGGCGUCCGCGGCCGCCACGGCGGCCGAGGCGGUGCCGGCCCCCGCGGGCUCCCGCUGGGCGCGGGCCUGGCCGGCCGCGCUGCGCUGGAUCCCCACCUCCACCGACCGCAUCAUCGCCGCCGAGAAGCGCCUCCUCUCCGUCCUCAAGUCAGUGCCCCCAUAUCCCCUACCCCUGUUCCUCUCCUCGGACCACGAUUACUUGUUUUCGUCCACGAUUACCACUUGUACCAUCUGCACGAUUAGUUGUUCCGCCUCUUCACUCCGCCAUCCCACGAUCCGUAACAGCUGAUUGACCUCCUCAUAGGGCCCAAUUUUGGGGUUGCUGGACGACUUGUAGGGCUGUAAUCCGCUCAUCCCCCCACCACGGUUCACUGGUUUCCGAGCGUCGGGCGAGGGCGAGUGCCAAAGCUGUCUGCUUGUGCUCAAAACCAUCCAGCCGGAUACUGAUUCUGCAGCCAAUUCUGAUGUUGAAGUUGCUACCUUCAUUGAUAGGACUAUAUCAGAGCAGUGUGUCACUUUGGGAUCACUAAAGCCUGGAUUUAUUUAUACGCACUACUUAAUUUGAACUGUUCGAUUGUUGUGCAUAUAUAACACUCAGUUUCGUUUAAGCAUGGAACCGGCGGCUGUUCUGUCUGCUUGUCAGUAUUGUCUAUUUGGUCUCAUGAAGCCCAUACAACAAUAUAUAGCAUAUGUUGUAGUCUUUGAUGAUAAUGUUGUUAAUACUUGAAAGCAUUGACGGGACUCCUUGACCAUUAGUUGGAUAUUGUCCAUUUGGUCUUUCUAUUAUACUGUUGAAAAGAUAUACUCAUGAACUGCAUGGUGAAACUUUGUUUGUUGUUGAUCUGGUACUUCAUUCCAAUGCAUGAUAGCUUGGUCAACACAUUGCUCUGUUUCGAUUUGUGCAAUAAGGAUUUAAAAAAAAAAUACAUUCUGUACCUGAACUCGCUAACGCCCUGAAGGGAUAAUGUUACGAGUUCGUUCCAAGACAUAAUAUUGUAUUACAGUACUACUGACAUGGGACUUCACAUCCCCGUUUUUUCGCCUACUUGGCCUUUAGUAGAUAUUCCAUGUCUUCCUUUGUUUUAUUGUAGAUAGAAGAGUUACUAUUUCAUUAUGCUGAUACAUGAUGUAACUUUUUUUAUCUUCACAGAACUGGGUAUGUCCAAGAACAAGUUAACAUUGGCUCGGCUCCACCUGGGUCAAAAGUAAAAUGGUUUAGAUCAUCAAGUGAUGAGCCAAGAUUCAUCAAUACAGUGACAUUUGAUAGCAAGGAGAAUGCCCCCACCCUUGUCAUGGUCCAUGGUUAUGGUGCUUCACAGGGGUUCUUCUUUCGAAACUUUGAUGCCCUUGCAAGCCGCUUCAGGGUGAUUGCCAUUGAUCAACUUGGGUAAGCUCUAAGAAAAUCAAUACACUAUUGUGACUAAUAUUCCUCAAUGUGGUGAUUGAAGUAAUUAUAUUUCCAUUCCUUUGCUCACUUUUUCCCAACUGUUACAAUUAUCCUUGAUACCUGUAGAAAAGAGACAUUGGUCUAAAGAGUUUUGUGCAUUGUAAUAUUUGCACACAAUGUGUCUUCAUACCCACAGCAUACUAGGAUAUGAUUCCUGACUUGUUCACAUGCCACAAAUCUAAUUUUGAUUGUUUACAAUUAUCGGUGUUAAUGAUGCUUGUUCUUGUAAUUGACAUAAAGAAAGAAAAAUAUUAGUGUAGAUUCAUUGAUCUUAGAGUUCAAGAUUUAUGUUAGAAAUUGAAUCUUAUCAGUGUGAGUUAAGAGGAGUCAAUCGUGUCCUUUUACCUCUAGGUAAGGAAAAUUAAUAUGAUGAUACAUAAAUGUUUGCCUACUAUUAGGAUAUGUGUCAUGGAUGAUAAAAAAUGUUUUAUACUGUUCUUGUAAUUACUCCACAUUGUUUGAUGUUGCAUAUUGUUGAAUUUUUCCUACCCUUUUGCAGUUGGGGUGGAUCAAGCAGACCUGACUUCGACUGUAGAAGUACUGAAGGUUAGAUACAGAUACUUUAUUUUAGUAUGCUACUGGUUCCCCUCGACUGCCACUAUCAUUUCUGUUGUUGACCAUGCCUUGGCAUCAAAUUUUAUGGUGAACAUCCUGUUUUAUUUUGAUUUUUGACGAUCCUGCAAGCAAUUGCUACUAUGGGAAACCCAUGUAGAUUUGUUCCAUCAUAUUGCUUUGUGAUGUAGUUUCUGCUAUAUGCUUUUUUUUUAAACAACGAGUAACAUGCUUCCUUUCGUUUUUUAUUUUGGUCAACUUUGUGAACAGAAACCGAGGCUUGGUUCAUAGAUUCUUUUGAGGAAUGGCGCAAAGCAAAGAACCUCAGUAAUUUUAUAUUGCUCGGUCAUUCUUUCGGAGGAUAUGUUGCGGCAAAGUAUGCGUUACAGGUAUAUUUAUAAUUAAUUUAGCAAGUGAAGCUACUCAACUGCUGCCUAUGAUAAUUAUACUAAAAUGUAUGCUUUAUUUCAGCAUCCUGAACAUGUUCAGCACUUGAUUUUGGUUGGUUCUGCUGGCUUUUCAUCAGAAACAGAUCAUAGUUCUGAGAGGUUAACCAAGUUCCGUGCAACGUGGAAAGGCAUGCUAGUAAACCAUCUUUGGGAGUCCAAUUUUACUCCUCAAAGAAUUGUGAGGUAAGGCUAGGGCUUCUUCUAUUUGUAUUUUCAUUUUUUUACCUAAUAAUGCAAAUGAAGACAAGAUGAAAAUGUAAGCCUCUCCACUUCAUAAUUAGCAAUCAUCCAUGUCUAGUUAAAUUUGGUUAGUGCACGUACCUUAACAAAACAGAGCAAUCCAUCACCCAUUUUAACUGGAAGUAUUAUGUAGCCAGCUGUGACCACCAUAUCAGACCAAACCUGCCAGCAUGAUUUUGUUAGGAAAACAGCAACGCAUAUUGAACGGAAGCUCCAAAAAUAAGCUGCAAUAUUAUUUGCUGUCAAAUAGAGAAGUGCCAAUUAUUAUCUGAAGUAACACGAAUUAACAAAAAUCGCAAUCAAAUUCAUUCUGCUGUCUUAGAAGUCCAUGAAGGCAUCAUAUAUACUCUGAACUGGCAGUCACAGCUGGGGCAUAUAACAACCUUGUCAUGCUUCAGUCAGUUAAAAUGGAUGGAAGGGCUGGAUUGCUCCUUCUAUCGAAGUAAAUGAGUACUACUCCCUCCGUUCCUAAAUAUAGGUCUUUUUAGAGAUUUCACUAGGGACUACAUACGGAGCAAAAGGAAUGAAUCUACGCUCUAAAGUAUGUCUAUAUACAUCCGUAUGUAGUCCGCUAGUAAAACCUCUAAAAAGACCUAUAUUUAGGAACAGAGGGAGUAUGUUCAAAUUGAAGUAGAGAUAGCUCAACAACGCAAAAAUAAUUUGAAGUGGAGAUAGCUGCAACAAUUCGAAAACUAUCGGAUUUCUUUAUAAGCUACCUCUUUGGUACCUUUUGUACUGAUGUCCGUUUGUUUUACUUAAACAGAGGAUUGGGUCCUUGGGGUCCUGAUUUAGUUCGGAAAUAUACCACUGCUAGGUUUGGCUCACAUUCAACAGGUGAAUUACUAACAGAACAUGAGUCCUCCUUACUGACAGGUAAACAUUUGUUGUUACAUUAAUUCUGUAAGUGCAUUUUCUUAGAUGAUGCUUGUAAUUGAACCUUAUUGUUGCUUUCUUGUAUAUGAAGAUUACAUUUACCACACUUUAGCUGCUAAAGCUAGUGGAGAGUUGUGCUUAAAACAUAUUUUCUCAUUGGGGGCAUUUGCAAGGAAACCACUUCUGCACAGGUUAGCUCCUCUUCCUAUGCACUUAGUUUCUUGGAACUGCCCCCCUGGUGAUAACAGCAUGUUCAAUUAUUAUGUUUCUCAGUAAUCAUUAAGAAUUUAAGAUAAGAGCCCCUCCUAUAAUACUACCUCUGUAACUUAAUAUAAGACGUUUUUUGACACUACGACGGUGUACAAAAACGUCUUAUAUUUUGAUACGUUGGGAAUAUUAUUUAGAACUGUAUUUAAUAAAAGUGAAAAAGGGUUGUGUGUGCGCCCAAGUAGCUGUGGAAAAUCUGCUUUCGUUGAUUGUGGCUUUUGAAUCUUUAGCGGACAGGAUGGAAUUUGUUUCACAUGUUCUUCCCUAGCAUACUUGUUAAUUUCUUCUCUCUUUAUAGCAUUAGUCAAGUAGAUAAGAUAACUAUGGCUGCCAAUAACCACUUAUUCGUUACCAUGAAUAGAUUUGAAUUCCAGAAUGGCUUAUCUAGCGAAAAGUUUGAAAAUCCGACUCUGUAACAAACUAGCUAUACUACCAAUUUUCGUCAGUAUAUUUGAUAUAUAAAACAUGAUAAGUUAAUGAUCUUGUAGAUGCAGUAAUGUAUUGACCAAAAGUACCAGAGUGAACUAUAUGCAGCGUAAAUAUAUUUGUGAUGUUUUCUCACUGGCCUAUGACUUGCGACAGUGCAUCCGACUGGAAAGUGCCAACUACUUUCAUAUAUGGCCACGAUGAUUGGAUGAAUUACCAAGGGGCGCAGCAAGCACGCAAGGACAUGAAAGUUCCUUGCGAAAUCAUCAGAGUCCCACAGGUCAGUUUUCCAUUCUGGCAGUAUGUGCCCAGCCAGCCAAAAGAUUAGUAUUGACGACAUAUACCUUAACUGCUAUGCAGGGAGGACAUUUUGUGUUUAUAGAUAACCCUGAGGGGUUCCACUCGGCGAUCUUCUACGCGUGCCGGAAAUUUUUAUCUGGAGAUGCAGAGGAAGGUCUCUCUCUUCCUGAUGGCUUGAUAUCUGCAUGAGGCGUCAUCUUGUGUGAUCUCGUACCGAAUAGCGGUGUCAGCAUAAAGCAAAGCUAUACAACAAUAGAAAUGUUUUUGUAUGUAUGAAUUGUGUGAAUAUGUCAUUCAUAUGUGCUUGCGUACCAACAACACUAGUGAGACUAUUAUUGUUUUUUUUUUUGUCAGGUCUAGACAUAAUUAUGUCAUAUAUGUAAGAUCUUCCUAGUCAGUUUUUAGGUCAAGUUGCUGUAAGUGAUGCUCUAUAUUCUUUCAGGGCAACUUUAUGUUUGCCUGCUACGAAACAUCUUCACAGUAUUAACUGCCGCUGUACAUUUGCUGCAGUCAUUGCUGCGUCGUAGCCAUUUUUAGAAAGUAUUUUGGAACAGUGGAAGUGCAUUUUGGUGUCUUACGAUGCUAUUAUCCUACCAGACUAUUUUGGUACUAGUACGUCUACGAGUAUUCUACAAUUAGUCAUGAGGCUGACAAUGGCAACGUCCGCGGGGGCUGUUCCUGUCCCUGAAGGAGUUUUUUUUGGCCCCGAUCGGACUUCCUUCCUCGAGCUCGGGGGAAUCCCUUGGUCCGGUCUCCGGACCAGGAGGCGGUGGCGGCAUGGUGUCACUAUCUUUUUGAAGGGGUCGUCUUGUUGUUCGAAGAGUCUCGAUGGUGCGGCUCGAGUCAAUGUUACCGGACUUCUUGGGCGUAAUGUAUGCCAUCUCCGGCGCCAUCUCAAAGACACCUUUCCUAGGUUUGGCCGUACCGUUCACUUGUUGAUUUUCUCUUGGCACAAUUGGUGAUAGUACGUUGGAAUGUGUUGAUGUUGAGGUGAUAGUACGUUGGAAUGUGUUGACGUUGAGUCUUGGUUUUGUUGUAGAGGUCUCGGUAUUGGUUGUGAUGUGACUUGGUUGCUUUUUGGCUUGAGUCAUUGUCAUUGACAUAAGGUUGGACUAGGGAAACAUAUAUCCUAGUAGACAAGGUGGAUAUGAGUGAUGAGUGUGGCGGCUAAUUCUCGUGAUUAACGUUGUAAUGGUCGAAAGGCUUUGUAUUCGGUUUCUUUUUUUAAUGUGAAAGGUGCUUCUUUAUACUUCUUUUAAUGCGAUGAUACGCAUAUUUACGUGUAUUCUAUAAAAAAAUCAUGGCAAAAAUAUUUGUGUUUACUAAGCUCAACAGCUUGCUGAUUCCUACUCUCUCAAAUAUAAAUCGCUUUAGAUAUUUUAAUAUGAACUAUAGUACGGAUAUGUAUAUAGAUGUAUUUUGAAACAUAAAUUCAUCUAUUUUACUUCCUACAUAUUUCCUCCGUUUUUAAAUAUUUGUCUUUUCAGAGAUUUAACUACAGACUACAUCGGAGCAAAAUGAUGAAUUUACAUUUUAAACUAUGUCUAUAUACAUUCAUAUGUAAUCGAUAGUGAAAUUUCUAGAAAGACAAAUAUUUAAAAACGGAGGGAGUAGUUUACGCACACACUAUCUUUAAAAUGAUUUAUAUUUAAAAACGAGGGGAGUAGUUCUCUUGGACAUUAUGCCUAACUUCCAACUCCAAACAAAGAAAAAGCUCGCCCUUUCAUUUCAGCAAAGAGGGAGCGAGCGUGCCGCUCUUUCGCGGUUUCGCCUACCCCAUUUGAUGAGCCUAAACCCACAGGCGGGGCGCGCCGCAGCUCGCGUGGCAGAGCAUGGAGCGCCCUCCGCCAUCGCCGGCCUGGCCGCCGCCACCUCCAGGAUCGCCUCCCACGGCCGCGCCGGCGACGCCGCCGCGGCGCGCGCCGUGUUCGACGCGAUGCCCCGCCGCGACGCCGUCGCCUGGAACGCCAUGCUCACCGCCUACGCCCGCGCCGGGCAGCCGCGCGCGGCCNNNNNNNNNNNNNNNNNNNNNNNNNNNNNNNNNNNNNNNNNNNNNNNNNNNNNNNNNNNNNNNNNNNNNNNNNNNNNNNNNNNNNNNNNNNNNNNNNNNNCGAACCCUCCAAAGACUUUUGGUUACAACCCGUGUCCGAACCAAGUUUUUGUCUAACCUUUAUUAAUUUAAUUAGGGACUUUAAACGUUACUGCAGAUUAGUGUGGACCCCGACUUUUUGUACAAAUUAAACUAAGAAUUGAGGAAGRCUAUGGUGAAGUCGCGACAUGCAAUUGACCAAUAAAAAGACCCCUUCCACGGUCCUCCUCUAUUUUCUUCUCUAGUCACAUGCAUGACCACCCUCCUCCUCUCAACCGAACACAACAACACAAUAUCCCACUACAUGCAUAGUCCUCUUCUACUCUCUCUCUCUCUCUCUCUCCUUUCAAUUGGAAUAAUUUGUAAAUAAAAUUGGACAUAAAAACAAACAUUUGCGGUGUCCGUUUAGGGGGUCAGUGUUGGAAAUGCCCUUAGUAAACGAAAAUGUAAUUCUAAGAUAUUUACUGUGAGAAAGGGGUGUUGGGAAUUAUUUGAAAUGCGAUACUCAUAUGACCAUAUGGGAUGCGGCGGGAAAAAAGAAAGAAAGGAGGAUAUUAUUUGGUUGGCUCCGUCGAGAGGAGAGAAGCGUGGGGAAAACAAACUGCAUAUAUACGGCCGGCGGGGUGGGUGGUGAAAACUAGGAGCGAGGAGAGAUCAGUUGGAUGGCGACUGGGAUAUGCGCCAUGUAGUAUACGGCCCGUGUCGUGUCAAUCAACACAUGUGUCGUUUGUUUGGCUUGUCCGUUUGUCAUUUCCUCCUUCGUAGGCACCACGACGAGCCCUGCGCCUAAACGGCAACCGCAAGUCUCAUAUGUGUUCGUCAGCUAGCCAGCUAGCUAUCCUCAAAGAAAAGGGAAAAAAGAAAAGUAGCUAGCUAGCUAUCCUCUUAGAAAAGGGAAAAAAGAAAAGUAGCUAGCUAGCUAGCGCCAUUGGUCGAUGGACGGGGAGGUUUGCGUUCCGUGUCCAUCACGGCCAUCUCCUGCCGAGCCACCGAGACCUUUCCAACCUUGGGAAGAACAUGGAGCGGAUCACUUCUAGAAUCUCUCGACAGUGGACGUUUGGUUUCUGGACUGAUGAAGCACCUGGACUCGGACGAUUGAGAUGUCAUCGCGGACACCAUGCUAUGUGGAGCAGCGUGCUGGUCACAGUCGAAAGUAUCGUAUAUUGAUACUACGUCCAUAAUGCAUAGAAUUAUGGUUUGAUAUCAUACUUAAUUUUAUUUAUUUAAUUAUAUGUUACCUUAAUAAAAUAUCUAAUUCACAUGUAUGAUACUAGCUAUUAUAUUACGGACGUGGAUUUUUUUUUGCUCUGGGGAGCAUAUGAUGCUCCCUAAUGAACAGUAAAAACCAAAAAAAAAAAGUAAAUAAGUUUUAAAAAUUCUGAAUUUUUUUUAUAGAUGUUCACAUUAGUGUGGCAAGUGUGCUUGCUAAUUUUCAUGACAUAUGGGAUAGCGGUGCUUCGUUGGUGAAAAAAUUAAAAUUAAACUAAACAUUUGAAGAUAACAUUUGACGUUGGACUUGUUCAUUUUGUGCAGACCAAAAUACUUAAGUUUUUGACCUGUAAAUUGCAUAUACCAUUUGAGUGUGACAAUGAACACAUCUGUUUUUUUCAAAAAAUUUGAUAUUUGUAAAAUACAUUUUUAACACGCAGAAGCAUAUGCUUCCUAGAAUCAAAUUGAAUAUCCAUUAUACUACCAGCCUAAGAGGCGACACAUCCGACAAACAAGUGUCAUUAAUAGGCACAUGCUCAGGUGGACAUGUUAUCAUAAAAUAAAUGAUCAAGUUAGAAACAAAGGAAUAUAAUACUCCUUCUUUCAAAAUAAAUGACUCGAUUUUAUAUUAAUUUUAUAAGGUUAGUAUAAAAUUAAAUCAUUUGUUUUGAAACAAAGGAAGGACAGGUCAAGGAGGAGGUGGCACAGACUAAAGAAAAGCUUAUCCUAUACCGACUAGAUGUGACUUGGACAUAUCCACCACAGGCAUGCAAAAGCGUCAAUGAAAAUACUCUAGGAAGGGUAGGGGCAACUAAAAUUAGAGCAUCUCUAGCACACCCUGUGUAAUGCCUCGUCCCGUAAAAUAACCGCCAAAAUAAGGAUCGAAAAUAUUACCACAUCAGAUCCCGCAAUGUGUCCGAGCCGUAAAAAACUUUGCGGGGCGCGAUAAAAGUUUGCCCUCAACCUUCAGAUUCACGGGGUGGGAGGCCGACCCGAGCUCGCCCCCUAUCCGCAACGAGAUUUAACGCGAGGGAAAUUUCCGCGCGGUUGUUCCCUGCUCCCCCCUCCUCGACUGCCAUUGCCACGCUACCGCGCGCUCCGGACCAUCUUCCCCACCAUUCCAUGCCGCCAUGGAAGCCUCUCAGCCGGCGGAUCUCGUCAACAUGGAGGUUACGCAUGCACAAUCCCAUCGGCGGAUCUCGUCAACAUGGAUUAAUACUUCCAACUCAUGGUCAAGUAUCCCAAUAAGACAGUACGAACCUUUCAGUCACUCCAAGGUCGUUGGGACGUGAUCAAGCCGACUUGUAGCCAUUGGGCAGCUUGCUUGGAACAAGUUCGCAAUGCUCCUCCAAGUGGAACCGUGGAAUCCGACUAUGUUAGUUUGUUUUCACGUCCCAAGUUCUACACACCAUUUGCAUCAUGUGAAAUGGUUCCAUCAUUUGACUUUGUUUUAAUUGUGUAGGAAAAAAUUGCCCAACACCGGUACAAAGACAUGGAAGCUUCAUAAGGCAAAAAAAUUAAACUAGAGCAUUGUUGGGAAAUGAUCAAAGACUGCGACAAGUGAAAGUUGAUUGACAAAGAAUCCCCACCGAAGAGAGGUUCACUUACGAACAUGGAUGAAGAUGAAGAUGAUGAUGACCCAAGAAACUUGAACAAGCCUGAUGGUGACAAGAAGACAAAGAAGAAGAUCAAAAGGGAACACGAAGCAUCGAGCUUGCGGGAUAGGAUAUAUGCCAUGGUAAAAUCAAAUGAGGUGAUGCUAGCGAAGUCUCUGGAGGCAAAGAUAGAGUUGGCCGAGAAGAAGGCAUGAGAGAAACAAGAGAGGUGGAAAUUGCUAAAGGACAUUGAGGAGAGAAGAGCACGUGUUGCUGAGAACAAAACCAUGGCCAACCUUCUUGCCGAAGAGAACAGGAUCAUGACUUUGAACUGUAAUGACAUGGACGACAUCAGCAAAGAAUGGCAUGAUAUGACAAGGAGAGAAAUCUUGAAGAGGAGGAUGCUUGCGUGUUACAAUGGCGGCGAUGUUUUCUCAUUGGGAAUCGGAACCAAUAUUGUCGAUGAUUUCAAUGCCGGAGUUGGAACAAGUGUCAGCGAUGGAUACGGGGGAGUCGAUGGAUUCAGGGGCGACGAUGACCUCGAUGGUGCGGAGUGAAGAGCGACCAGGAUGCAUGAAGUCCUUUUGGGUUUGUAUUUUAAACUAUGCUUUCAUUUUGCACGCGAACUAUGUUAUAUUGUUUAAAAUCGAAUUCAUUUCUCGGAACCGCUCUCAAAUUCGCUUAUUGGGAGGCUUUUCGGUUUACGGGUCAACGUGGCGGCAUCCGAGCAGACCCCGUAUUGCCAACCCGUAAAAAACAUCUUCUGCAAAUAUAUUUUUUACGGAUCCGUUUUGCGGGAUCUGAUUCCAUUCGUGCCCGCACUGGCCCACAAAACCCUUUUUUCUCGAACUGUAAACGACUUUGCGGGUUAACUUUAUACGGGGUCUGCUAGAGAUGCUCUUAACAUGAGAAUAGACAAUGCUCUUAACAUGAGAAUAGACAGUAAAAGGAGACAUCAAGGAGAGUGCAAAGUUUUAAUGGACGGGGGCAUUAGAGGACUUUAUUUCAAAAGAUUCAAAAAUGAUAUUUCUAUAUUUUUUUUAAAUCCCAAAAUAAAUAUUUGAAAACUUAUACGUAUUUGCAGUGGAUCUAUGAAAUUUCGUUUACUAAAAAUUUUAUUUUUUAACUAAGUCUGCAACAAAAAUUAAAAAAUUAAKUAGGACCCAAAAACAAAACCAAAAAAAGAAUACCUAACUUUUACUUAAUUUAAUUAGUUUUACUUUAGKUUUUUAUURUUAUACGUCYAMKUAUAGUAAAGUAUAUUAGUUAUUGUUAAUUUUUUCUACAACUAGUGUUGUGNNNNNNNNNNNNNNNNNNNNNNNNNNNNNNNNNNNNNNNNNNNNNNNNNNNNNNNNNNNNNNNNNNNNNNNNNNNNNNNNNNNNNNNNNNNNNNNNNNNNACGUAACGGUUUACGGUAACCCUACGUCCCGACAACCCCCUACCGUCCGUUACCCUUUCCCUAACCCUAAGACCACCCGGACUACGAGACGACUUAGUCACUUGUCAGCACGAUAGUCGUCGAUGAGCGCUGCAUCGAAGACACCAACCAUACGUCCACUGCAUCAUCAUGAGCGCCCAUCGGAGCUCCGACAACGUUGCGCCGCAGCACAAACAACCACCGACAAAGCUGCAUCGAAGCACCCGUUUCUCCCUGUAGAGUCGCAACUGUUGCAACGCAACAGCCUCGCCGCAGCACCGACUACUCACGCGAGCGCUCUAUUGCAGCAUUGUGACCGUUGCACUGCAGCUUCGGCAACACCGACCAGCAUUGCAUGCCGCCGGUGAGUACUCCAUUGUAGCACGACGAGAGCUGCAACGCCUCAUCCUCAAGCGGACCGUUGCCACUUUGCAACUUCACGGGUGCUGCGACAUCUCCUUUUGCGGCAGCGCCACACCCUCGAGCGGCGAUACGACGAGCCCUUAUCAGCAGCGAUGGCUGCCCUGCAACUCACGACAACAGGGUGGUCAGCGUUGUGCGGCUCUCCUCUCCUACAACAAUGGCAGAUGAUCCCCGAUUUUCAAUUGUUAGGGCAGCAACACGUGUGGGAUAUCGGGACUGCGACUGCACGACGAUCCUGCACUCGAUUCCUCAACUCCGUCGACAGUCCUCCUGAUUUCCCUCCAGUGUCUCAUCUAACAGCUGACGAAUAAGAGAACAAUGAAAAGGGAAAGGGAGAAACGAGUGGAGGGGAAGAGAUAAGGUGGGACGAGAGUGAGCGGUGGAUGAAUCCAUGAGGGCACAUGGCGUACGGAGGCGACGGUUUAAGGGAGAGAGAAUCAGUUGGUUGUUUUUAAUUGUUUUCUUUUUUCUUUCAAAGAAGGCAUUUUUUCUAAAACUGUCAUCGUUUAAUCUCGCGCCGUAACCAAAACGGUCAUGAAAAUGCAUUCGCUUGCCAUCUACCUUCCACAGAGGAAACGUUCGUCAGUUAGUAUUUCCGUAAAACAUUCACUCGAUGAGAUUUCGGUUCUAAGAGCAACUCUAGCAGACCCCGCAUCCGCCCUCGACCCGCAAAAUAACCGCCAAAAUGCGGGUCGGGGUGGAAAAGCCUGCCCGAUCAGACCCCGCAUCCCGCCCCGGCUCGCAAAAAUUUUCAGGGGGCGCGGCAAAUUCCCGACCCCAACCUGGGAAAACGCGGGUUUCCCCCUCACGGCUGCGGUGCCCUGCAUAACAGAGAGGCAGUUGGCGGGAGGGACAUUUCAGCCCGCGCUAUUUUCCCCUCCCUUCCGCCGCCGCCGCCCCGCCCUUGCUUCCUCCCGCCUGCUGGUGGCGAUUCCGGCCAUAUCUGCAGGCGAGCCGCUGCACCGCCCCUCCGGAUCCGGCGAGAAGAGCCCCCUCUAGCCGUCGCCGCCCGGGAUCGACCACCGCCUCAUCGCCGCCGCCGGUUAGUACCUUUUUUGUGGUUCCUACUAUCCUCCCGCCAACUACCCGAGAAGAUGGAGUUGACCCCAUGUGAGAAGUUCCUGCUAUCCGAUUCGUCCGAUUCGGACGGCUCGGAUGUUGAGACCAUGCUUGCGACCUUUCGUCAGCAAACAUUAGUCAUGACGCUUGCCGUGAAGGAGAAUGAAGACGAGAACCAUAAGAAGAGGCGAGGAUCGACUGUCGAGCGUUUGUGCAUUCCUCGGAAUCGCCAUCUUGGGAACGAGAUGUUGAUGCAAGACUAUUUCGCGGAGAAUCCUACAUAUCCUCCACACCUCUUCCGGAGAAGGUACCGAAUGCGCUGAUCCCUCUUUGUGAAAAUUGUUCAAGCUUGCGAGGAAAAUUGCCGGUAUUUUACUCAAAGAAGGAAUGUCGCAGGCUUAAAGGGAUUUAGUGCAUAUCAAAAAAUCUCCGCAGCUAUGCGGGUGAUUGCAUAUGGCGUUCCGGUUAACUAUGCCGAUGUGUACAUUCGCAUUGGUGAAGAUACCACAAUUGAGUAUGUGCGUAGAUUUGCAAAAGUUGAUCAUCCGUCUCUUCGGUCCUGAGUAUCUUCGGGCAUCCAAUGAAGAUGACACAAAGAAAUUGAUGGCAUCUAAUGAGAGGAGAGGUUGGCCUGGAAUGCUAGAUAGCAUUGAUUGUAUGCAUUGGAAUUUGAAAAAUUGCCCCAAGGCUUGGCAAGGAAUAUAUUGUGACAAGUCUCGUGAUGCAAUAAUUGUGCUAGAGGCCGUAGCAUCCGAGGAUUUAUGGAUUUGACAUUGCUUUUUUGGUAUGCCGGGCACUCUCAAUGAUAUCAAUGUGUUGUAACGGUCGCAUUUGUUUGCUAGGCUUGCUAGUGAUGAUGCUCCUGCUUGCAACUACGCUAUUAAUGGACAUGAAUACACAAAGGGGUACUAUCUUGCAGAUGGUAUAUACCCUCCUUGGUGCACAUUUGUCAAGAGCAUCAAAGAACCCAAAACAAAAAAAAUAAUAUGAAUUUGCAAAGGUGCAAGAGGCAGCCCGCAAAGACAUUGAAAGAGCAUUCGGUGUUUUGCAAUCUAGGUUUGCCAUUGUGCAUGGUCCUGCUCGUUUUUGGGAUAAGAGAACCUUGAAGAACAUCAUGACACGCUGUGUUAUCCCGCACAAUAUGAUUCUUGAAGAUGAGAGAGGAUUGAACUUAGAAUUCUUUUACGACAAUGUGGGUAGCCGUGUCAAACCAGCUAGAGACCCAAACCGCAUUAGAGCUUUUCUUCAGACAUACAAGGAGAUUGAAAACCCAGACACCCACUUUCAACUUCAGAAGUAUCUCAUUGAACACUAUUGGCAAAGGGCUAGACAACGACUUAUUUUUGUAUUCAUUUGUAUUUGUAUUCAUGACAAGUUUUGAAUAAUUAUUUGUAAUGCGGAUGAUUAUUGUAUUGUGUUUGAUUGGAAUAAUUCAGUUUGUUUUCGGCCGUUGAAUUAUGUUGUAUUUGAUAUUUACGGUCUAAUGAUACGGGAAGCAGCGGUGCAAAGAACGGACCCUUCAAAGUCGACCCGUAAAAAAGAAUAUUCCACAAAUAUAUUUUUUACGGAUCCGUUUGUGGGAUCUGCAUAUGUGACAGCCCAGGCCAGCCCGCAUAAGCAGUUUAGCACGACCUGCAAACGUGUUUUUCGGGUCGACGGGAUGCGGGGUGUGGUAGGGUUGCUCUAGAGAAACUCUUUCCAGCGGUUGACUGGUUUUGACUGAGCGUUACAUGCCACGUCAUCGGGUUUACCUCACCAGGACAAGUCCCGCCUCCCGAGCCCGAACCAAUCCGUCCCGUGAGAGGAGCGCCGCCACUGCCCCUCCGCCGCCGGCUUCGGCCCUCCCCGUCGCCCACUUUCCCCGCCCCUCCCCCGCGGCCCCGCUCCUCCAACUCCCCUCCUCGCCCGCACCCACCCCGUCGCCCCGGUCUCCGCCCACCCCCGCCCCACCCACCCCACCCAACYCCUAAACCCUACGACCCUACUCCCCCCUACAAAACCCCGUGGAAACGUACCCACGGUUCCUACGCCCGGAGCCCCGCCCGCCGGGGACCGGCGACGCGGUACGCCCCGGAGACCCCUNNNNNNNNNNNNNNNNNNNNNNNNNNNNNNNNNNNNNNNNNNNNNNNNNNNNNNNNNNNNNNNNNNNNNNNNNNNNNNNNNNNNNNNNNNNNNNNNNNNNGCAGAUAACAUCGUUGUGGCACUCUCCAACGGCAGGUGCGUAGCUGCCAACAGGUAUGGAGCACACGUCUACCUCUAGGUAGCUAAGCUAGCUAGGCGAUGUACCCUAGCCUCUGGAGCAGCGCGGAGCGGAGGGCGCCGUCGCCGUCGUCGUCCUGUAGUCCAGCGGGCACGUCGAUGACGACGUCCUGCACCGUCACGCCCUCCAUGCGGUGCACGCACGCGUGCUGCACCUGCAGCUCUAGCCGACCGGAGCGCACUCAUCAGCCGCGCCGGCGCGUGCCGGGCUCGUCCCGAGCUCAUCACGCGCACCGCCGCCGCGUCCUUCCCCACCAUCCGCACCUCCACCACAUCGUCGCCAGCCCCGGCGUGGCUGCCUCGGGACGAAGAAGCGGGCCCGUUCGACGCCUCCCACCUAGCGGCGGCCGCCUGCCGGCCCUCCUCCUCGAGCCGCGCGACGCGGGAGCGCAGCUCGGUGAUGUAGGCGACGGCGUCGGCGAGGAGUGAGGCCUUGUCCAUCCGGGACACGGUGGGCACGGCGGCGCGGAGGUCGCAGAAGCGUCGGUUCAGCUUGUCGCGGCGCUGGCGCUCGGCCUCCACGUGGCUGACGGUGAGACCAUCGGGCCGCGGCACGGGCUUCCGCCCACGCCGCUUUGUAGGCGUGGUCGUCGACGCCGGCGGUAGCUCGGAGUCCGGGGAGAGCGACGAGCUCCGGCAGGCCACAAGAAAUCUACACUCCUCGCUCGUUCGGACCGGCNNNNNNNNNNNNNNNNNNNNNNNNNNNNNNNNNNNNNNNNNNNNNNNNNNNNNNNNNNNNNNNNNNNNNNNNNNNNNNNNNNNNNNNNNNNNNNNNNNNNCUUCUUCGUCCGUUUUCCGUUUCGUUUCCGUUUACCCCUUACGGUGUUUAGCUAAGCCGAGACCCCUUGCCUCCNGAAAAGUCAUUCCUUUUCUAUCUUCGUCCAUGUCAACAGGAUCUGGACGUGCAGGUUUUGUACUCAGGUUUGGGAUCUAUCUCCCCAGGUCGCWACUUUCUUGGGUCAUCGUUAGGCUCAUAAUUCUCAUCCUUUGCACAGGCAGCAUCAAGCAAUUUUUUCAUAACGCUCGAGGCACUGGGAUGGUGUUCGUACCCACAAUAGGUGCAAUAGUCCUCCAUUGAGUAGGCAUUGAGCUUAGCBAAGAUGUAAGCAGUCUUCUCAUCCUCUUCCCUUGUCCACUCAGUCUGGGGUUAAUGGGCACUAGGUUAGUUAAGUAAACGUAAAUAGACAGAACCUCUAUAAUUAUUCGACAGACAACUAGAAAAACUGAAAAAUGGGGGCAGACCUAUGUCAUAAUAGAGCAAGAUAUAACCAAUUAAAAGAAACAUUAAGCAUACAUAUGACAGGUAAAGAUUGUACGGUUAUUUGAACUAAUUUAAUUUGAAUUAGAAUGUAGAAUUCAACACAGAACUAGAAAAUUAUAAGUUUAGUACUAAGUUAGUCGUUUAGGUUUUAAUUUAGACUUAACUUUAAAGGUUUUAGUAAGUUUAGGUAUUACGACAAACGUCCGUUAAAUUAGGAAAGUACCGUAAUUUAAACGGAAAUUAACUAAAAGUUUUAANNNNNNNNNNNNNNNNNNNNNNNNNNNNNNNNNNNNNNNNNNNNNNNNNNNNNNNNNNNNNNNNNNNNNNNNNNNNNNNNNNNNNNNNNNNNNNNNNNNNUAUACCAUUCCCUUUGCCCUUCGGUGUGUUACUUGCCCGAGAUUUGAUCAUCGGUAUCCCUAUACCUAUUUCAAUCUCGUUAUCGGCAAGUCUCUUUACUCGUUCCAUAAUACAAGAUCCCGUGACUAACACUUUAGUCACAUUGCUUGCAAGGCUUAUAUGUGAUGUUGUAUUACCGAGUGGGCCCCGAGAUACCUCUCCGUCACACGGAGUGACAAAUCCCAGUCUUGAUCCACGCUAACUCAAUGGACACCUUCGGAGAUACGUGUAGAGCAUCUUUAUAGUCACCUAGUAACAUUGCGACGUUUGAUACACACAAGGUAUUCCUUCGGUGUCAGUGAGUUACAUGAUCUCAUGGUCAUAGGAAUGAAUACUUGACACGCAAGAAAAAAUAGAAAACAAAAUGACACGAUCACAUGCKURCGUUUAUAGUUUUGGGUCUUGUCCAUCACAUCAUUUCCUACCUAAUGAUGUGAUCCAGUCAUACAAGUGAACAACCUACUUGCAUUAGUCGGGUACUAAACGUAAAAAACCCUUUAACCCGAUUUACCCGUUUAGUAACUUCCCGUAAAACGUUCGGGGUACCUUUAACGGUACCCGUAAACGUUCGGGGUAAACGGGUUCCCUUUAAACGGUUAAGGGGGUUUAACCCGUUUUUUUUGGGUUUUUUACGUACCUUUAAAGNNNNNNNNNNNNNNNNNNNNNNNNNNNNNNNNNNNNNNNNNNNNNNNNNNNNNNNNNNNNNNNNNNNNNNNNNNNNNNNNNNNNNNNNNNNNNNNNNNNNUUUUUCAUGAACUGUAAAAAUAUUUUUUGCGGAUCGGCAUUAUACGAGGUCUUCUGGAGAUGCUCUUAGCGCAUCCUCAAAGCGAACCCUCAAAGCUUUGGUACACCGUGUCCGAACCAGUUUUGCUAACCUUUAUAAUUUAAUGGGACUUUAAACGUCUGCAGAUUAGUGUGGACCCCGAUUUUUGACAAAUUUAAAACAGAAUUGAGGAAGCUAUGGUGAAGUCGCGACAUGCAAUUGACCAAUAAAAAGCCCCUUCACGGUCCUCCUCUAUUUUCUCUCUAGUCACAUGCAUGACCACCCUCCUCCUCUCAACCGAACACAACAACACAAUAUCCCACUACAUGCAUAGUCCUCUUCUACUCUCUCUCUCUCUCUCUCUCCUUCAUUGAAUAUUAGUAAAUAAAUGACAAUAAAACAACUAUUGCGGUGUCCGGUUAGGGUCAGUGUURGAAUCGACCUUAAGUAAACGAAAUGUUAAUUACUAAGUAUUAUUUACUGUAGGAAGGUAAAGGGGUUGUUAGGGUAAUUUAUUUGAAAUGCGUAUACUCAUAUGACCAUAUGGGAUGCGGACGGAAAAAAGAAAGAAAGGNGAUAUUAUUUGGUUGCUCCGUCGAGAGGAGAGAAGCGUAGGGAAAACNNNNNNNNNNNNNNNNNNNNNNNNNNNNNNNNNNNNNNNNNNNNNNNNNNNNNNNNNNNNNNNNNNNNNNNNNNNNNNNNNNNNNNNNNNNNNNNNNNNNGGACACUAACAUAAAUAACAAACGACUCUAAACAAUAGGCGAUCAUGACAAAAAAAAUAANACGAGUUUAUUAGUWAGUUGUCUCUUAAWAGUGAAAUCUGAUUUCACCAGUGGAUUCUUGGGAUGAUUCUACCCCAAAAGCAUAUAUAAUACAUGGGUACUUGCUUGUAACAUGUAGGCACAAAGCUAGCUCGAAAAACAACAUAGAAUCCUAUAAGAUCAUAUGAGACAUCAUCACAUGUGAACAAAGCAUUAUAGUAUCUACUACUCCUACAUAUGCACACACACAAGGUUCAUACACCACCACAUCACCAUAAUGGCAAGCAUGAGGGGUUAGCCCUCAUGCACAAGUGCAUAGGUGCACUCAUGCCCACACACACACAUGCAUAGAACAACACUACACACAAAUAAUAURUCGCCCMCCCCACCACACACUACAACCUAAGAAGGUGGCACUACAACGAAGGGGACGGUACGUACCGUCCYUYGUCGMMCWAUGUYGYGACUAGUUGCGACCAACCGUAAUGUCCACAACCACCAANNNNNNNNNNNNNNNNNNNNNNNNNNNNNNNNNNNNNNNNNNNNNNNNNNNNNNNNNNNNNNNNNNNNNNNNNNNNNNNNNNNNNNNNNNNNNNNNNNNNUAUGAUUUUUUUUUCGAACGGAAGAAGAUCAGGGGGCCUAUGGGCCAAGCCAGGAGGGCUACAGGGAGCCCACAAGCCCCCACUCCGCCACCAGGGGGAGGCGGCGGUGGGCAGGCUUGUGGCCUCCCUGGCGCCCCCCUGACCUAGAUCUAGCGCCUAUAUAUUCCCUAAAAAUCAGAAAAAAAUCAAGGGAUCCACGAAAAUACUUUUCCGCCACCGCAAGCUUCCGUUUCCGUGAGAUCUCAUCUGGANACCCUUCCGGUGCCCUACCGAAGGGGACCUUGGAGUUGGAGGGCUUCUUCAUCAUCAUCAUCGCCCUCAAUGACUCGUGAGUAGUUCACUUCAKACCUACGGGUCCGUAGUUAGUAGCUAGAUGGGUUCUUCUCUCUCUUGGAUCUUCAAUACAAAGUUCUCCAUGAUCUUCAUGGAGAUCUAUCCGAUGUAAUCUUCUUUGGCGGUGUGUUUGUCGAGAUCCGAUGAAUUGUGGAUUUGUGAUCAGAUUAUCUAUGAUAUAUAUUUGAGUCUUUGCUGUAUUUCUUAUAUGCAUGAUUUGAUUAUCCUUGUAAGUCUCUCCGAGUUCUUUGGGUUUUGUUUUCGACCUAACUAGAUUCUAUUGUAUUUCUUGACCGUAAGUGGGGAAGUAAGUUGGUCGUUUUGGGGUUUUUUCGGGUUACCUUUACCAGUUGGUUGGGUACGUACCCCUUUUCCCCGAAGUCCGGAACGUAGGGUUACGGGGGACAAAACCGAACGGGNNNNNNNNNNNNNNNNNNNNNNNNNNNNNNNNNNNNNNNNNNNNNNNNNNNNNNNNNNNNNNNNNNNNNNNNNNNNNNNNNNNNNNNNNNNNNNNNNNNNAUGUUCAACCAUACCGCAGGGCAACACUCGAUACGGCUAUAAUGUGUGAGUAAGGAUUGUUGGCUUACCCCUACUUUUUAGCUCUCUACCAAUUUUUACAAGGAACAAAACUCACUUAACAACUAUGUGAAUAUUUUUAAUGUUAAGCAAUCCAAACUGACUAAAGAAUUGAUCUCGAAAGACUGACGCCUGAGAGUACUGUCAAGGCAUUCGUAGAGUCGUGUUGGACGAUUACCGGCUURUUUGAAUGCUCAAUGGUCAAUGCCAUACCUUGCAUGAUUGCGUGAAUUUCUGCAUCAAGUGCGUCAUUGCAAUGAAAGAUAUACUUGUAUGCAUCAAAGUUCGCGGAAUCAUCCUCAUUUCACAGAACCAUUCCAGCACAUGCACGCCCAUCAUGACUACGAAAAUAGAGCCUCAAACCAAGAAAAGGACAACACCAUCCAGCUGUUAGGAAAUAUGCCCUAGAGGACAAUAGAAUAAAAUAAGUUAAUUUAAUUAAUUAUUUCCUUCUUUACGUAAGAAUUAAUUACGUUUAUUUAUACCUAUGUCUAAUUAAGUUAGUUAUUAGUAAUAGAAAGUAACAAUAAAUACNNNNNNNNNNNNNNNNNNNNNNNNNNNNNNNNNNNNNNNNNNNNNNNNNNNNNNNNNNNNNNNNNNNNNNNNNNNNNNNNNNNNNNNNNNNNNNNNNNNNAGAGGGCGAGUAGCCCACGUGGUGGUGCUGUGGUAGCAGGGGACCGUAGGGUUCCGGUAAUACCAGGGACCCCGUUUUUUUUACCCCCUUUCGUUUCAUUUUUUUCCCUUACUUUCUUUUCUUUCGUUGCAGCAAGCAUGANAGUUUUCUUUUUAGAUAGWGUUUUGGUGUGUAUUAUCUGCUGCCUAGGAUACCAUAUAUAGGUGUGUGCAAGUGCUUGUGUAUGCACUAGUGUGUGUAGGUGGAGUGUGUAUGAGUGUGUGUAUGGUGUGUGGUUGUGUGUGUGUGUGUGCACAUGAAUGAGUUGUGCACACAUGUGCAUGUGGGUGUGUGUGUGCAUAUGGUUGCACAUGCACAUGUGCAAGAGGGCCUAGCCCCUCUUGAUGCACCUCUUGUAGUGUGUGUGGGUGGGGCACAUAUAUUUGUGUGUAUGUGUUCAUGCAUGUGUGUGUGUGGGCAUGAGUGCACCUAUGCUACUUGUGCAUGGACGGGUCCCUAACCCCGUCAGUUGUCCUUUCGACCCUAUUUAGUGGGUAGUGUUGGGUUGGGUUGGGUUUUAACGUUACGGUAAACCCGUUUUGGUUAGGGUUGGUGGUUCGGCCUUAAGUUAGUUAGGGUUUAAAGGGUAGGUUUAAGGGUAAACGGUUAAUUNNNNNNNNNNNNNNNNNNNNNNNNNNNNNNNNNNNNNNNNNNNNNNNNNNNNNNNNNNNNNNNNNNNNNNNNNNNNNNNNNNNNNNNNNNNNNNNNNNNNCAUCACUCUCUUCAUCGAGACAGCUGAUCUGAAGACACACGGUGCGUGAACCGCGUCACUCCUUCCACUUAGDDACGACAGCUUCGUAUCUGAAGAUGCAGGUGCGUGAACCGCGUCACUCCCUUCAUUAGAGACAGCUUGAUCUGAAGACACAGGUGCGUGAACCGCGUCACUCCCUUCAUUAGAGACAGCUUGAUCUGAAGAUGCAGGUGCGUGAACCGCGUCACUCCCUUCAUUAGAGACAGCUUGAUCCCAAGAUACAGGUGUGUUCCCUACAUCUACACUUGUAGCAGCAGCCUUAGGAACAUUUCCCCCCUCUUCUUGGCUACCAGCAUCAACAUCCAUGCUACAAUUGGUAUUGUCCUGGUCAUCUAAUUUGGAUGAAUCAACCUUGUCAAUGGCGCCCUCGUUCAUGGUAACGCUGUCCCCACUAUGAGCAUUAGAAGUAGUCUGUCCAACUGAAGCCCCAUCGUUAUCCACUAGAGUGUCAGGCAAUGKAGGAAUAGGACCUACAAGGUCUCCAUCUACAUCUGCAUUGUCCAUGUCCAUCUGAUCCCCCUUGAUUUCUUUGCUUCCUGCAGCUUCUUCAUCAGUAACCAUAUUCGUCUGUCCUGAUUCCUCUUCAAUGUCAUGAUUCUUCCUCUCAUUUUUCUUCCUCAGCAGCACGUAUUUUGAGCUGCAGUCUUCCUCCUC